CGCGAAGUGCGCGCCCGGGACGGUGAGUGUGGCCUGAGUGUGGCCAAGCCGGGAGGCUGCGGCGGGGCUGGGGCCGCGGGGGCGCAGGCCGGGGAGCUGGGGUGUCUGCCCGCCGGCAGCGCCGCGUGCGCGGCCUCUGAUUGGGCGGGAGCCUCGGGGGCAGCGGGUGGGGGUGGGGUGUUGGGUGCGCGCCCGUGGGGGCGUGCACGCGCGGAGAUGGAUGGGGCGCGCUCGGUACCCCGGUCCGUGACCGCGCUCCCGCCCGCUGCGCGGCCCCGCCUAACCCUCGUCUGCCGCCGGAACCCUGGCGACUUGGAGCAACUUUGUGUGUGGGGGGAGAGGAGAUGGAGGCGUUUUAAUGGUGGAAUUCUGGCCUUGUCUUCCAGAGGAGAGAAUGCGAGGGAGGAAUGGGAUGGGGGGUGCGGGCUGUGCCGCCCGGCGGGCAGAGGGGUACAUAUCCACCACCCCAUCGGCGCAGCCGCCGGCUCUCUGGGACACCAGUCAGGCCCCGCGGCGCCGCGCUGGAGCCGCUCCCCGGCGCUGGACUCCUGUGCCUCCGGCAGGGUCCAGCGGGACCGCGCGGCGACAGCUACCAGGCCUGGGGGCCGCAAGGUCGUCUUUGCAGCCAGGCUGAGGACAACAGGGCUUGAGGUGGGAGUGGGGAGACGUGCCUAGUGUGUACGUGUGUGUGGUCCCGCACCUUCUGCCUCGUGGGACAGGCCUCUGGAAGAAGGGAACUGCUGGAAAGAUUAUCACAUUAGACCUGGCUCCCUGGAGCUCCAGAAAGGCCAGGGAUUGGAAGGGGAACCUCUAAGUCCCUGGCCUGGUGCCCACCCCACUGCGCGCAUGCCUUCUUUGUUUGGAGCCAUGCUCCUGUGUGCCUUACUAUGUGUCAAGGUUGUGCCUUGCUGUGUCCCCCACUCCCCUUCUUGAGUCUCCUUCUACCCCUCUGUGCUGGUUGCCGCAGGGAACUUCCUCGGCCCCCUCCCCAAAUGGCAGCCCUGCCCUUCAGAAGAUAUGAGGAUGACAUGUGGUCCCUUGAGAGGGAGGAACCAUGUGCUCCGCACCCUCCUCUUCCCCUGCCCCAGCACCCAAUGACAGGCCCAAGGAAAGCUCAGAGGUCAGGACCUUCCCCUUUACAAAUCCUCCUUGCUUCCAGGGCAGGUUCUUCCUCCUCUAGGAAGUCUUCUCUGAUUGCUCCUCAGUCUGUCCUUCCAGCUUGGGUUUCUGGAUUGGAGCGGCUGGGUUCCCCAGCAGCCCUCGUUCCUGUGCUCUCUCCAGGGGUCAGAAGUCUUGUUCUCAGCCUACACGUUAGCUGGAGGGGUGUGAUGCUGAAUAGUAUCUGCCUGCCUCUGGGGGAUGGUAAUAUUUUGUUUGACCAGCUUUCGGGCUUAAACCUUAACUUGCACUUCGUUAUCCCUCUGGAAUCUCUCAGCCACCUUGUGAGAGGCCCAUGGACAUGCUUCCACUCCAUUUCACGGAGGAGGAUUUUGAGGCAGAGAUGGAGUUAGGAGAAGUCCAGUGUCAGGGCAGCAACUUUCCACUGUGAAAGUAUCCUUUAACCCUGGUCUUUGGUGAGGUGCGGAGGGGCAGGGAGGGCACCCAGGCCCUCUUCGUUGACUUAGCAGCAGAGCUCUGGUGGCCUGCUGCUAGAGGGUCUCCCAGGACAGCUGUUCUGCCACCUGUGACCAGCACCCUCCCCAGAUGGGCAGGAAGGGGGGCACCUCAGACUGGCUCGCCAUGGCUUGACUUCUGGCACCUCUUGACCCUGGCUUCAUUAACCUUUGCUUCCUAGAUUUGGGGCCAGAGUCUGCCUGGGCUCUGCUCGAUGGUUUGCAAACCUGGUUCCUGUAAUCUUCAGCACUGGAAUGUCAGUAUUAUUCUGGGAUUCAGAGGGGUUUCUUCACCCCCAGCCUGGACCUGUAGGGUAGACCCUGGCAUUGUCUUCCUCCUUGGGCCCUGGAAUCCUUCCCAGUCUCCUGAGGUCUCCAUCCUGGAGCCCCAUGUGGGCCAGGGAGCUCACCCUCAGGGAAAUGGGUUCCCCAUAAAGGUCCAAAUGUGCACUGGGGGGAAUGGAGUCUGGUUACUUUUCGCACCACUUCUUCCCCAGGUGGCCCACCUGAGGCAGAGAAGCUAGAACAGCUUUCAGCCCCAGUCAUUCUUUUGUGAACCCCCCCCCUCUUCCCCUCCACCUGCCCACCUGGUAGCAGCCUGGACUCUUCCCCAGUGCUACUUUGGUCCUUAGAGGCCUCCAGGGUGGGGAGAGCUGUUACCCAGGAGUGACCAAACUCCCCCUGGGGCUGGGGGUGCUACUGGGCCCGGCGAUAGCUCCUUCAGCCUUUUUGUUGGCUUCAUGCUCAGGUAGUCUCUCCCUGUCUCUCCUAAUCCCUUUCUGCCCUGCUCUCACUCAGUGGCCUUUCUUAGCCAUUGUUCUCUUGCUGUCUCUCCCUCCCCUUCUCCAUCCCCCUAUGGCUCCCUGAGCUCUGGACUUUUGCCUUUCUGUGCAUUGACACCCAGGUGGCUGGAGCAUGGCCAGGUGCCCGCUUGGCCCCACCCCUGCCAUCCAGGUCCACUUGAAUCCCUGCCCUGGUUCGUCUGGCCCCCUCCCCACCCAAGUACUCCAGCAGGCUGAGCCCUCCAUUUGGGGUUGCAAGCCAUGGGGAAGGAGAGAGCAGGGCACUUCUUUGACCCCUGGUCUGUGCUUUCGGGUGUGAAUCCCAGUGAGGUGCACCCGGCCCCCACUUGCUGCUCCCUUUAGGAAGACAGCCACUCUCCCUCAAACCUCCUGACUGAGAAGGGGUAGUGCCCAGUGGGCCCCCCUCCCUUUCCCUCUCCAAUCAGGCCCUGACCUUGCCAUGGGUGUGUUUUAAAUUAUAAAGAUACUGUAUUUUAACAAAUUCAGUGAUAAGUUUUUGGGUGGGCUGGGCCUUUGGGUGGCUUGAGGGGAAAAAGUUACCCCUGACCACUCAAGCCUCUUUUGGGGGAAGUUGGGGCCACUCUGGCCAACCAGAGUCUUUUCCAUAGGCUUCUGGGGCCCAGACAUCUGCUCCCAAGAACCAUGCCUUGGCCUUACUCCUCAUGGCCUAGAAACCUACAAUUGGGGCCCAGUCCACAUUUGGGUUCGUCUCCUGGUUUGAGGCCUGGGCUGAGUACUGGGGAUUCUGAUGACAAGCCUGAGCCUCUCCCUGGGUGGGCUCUGAAAGGGGACACGGAUAUCCACCCACACCCCUGGGUGUGAGGCAGAAUGGGCUGGGCAGUUGCAGAGGUAUGUGAGUCGGGGAUUGGCAAGGGGUCAUUUCAGAUGGACUGAAAGCCUGGUGCAUUUUGAUCUGCUCAAAUGUUUCUGGCACUUGGUAGAUGAUCAGUAAAUAUGGUGAAUAAAUGAGUGAAUGGAGAAUGUGAACAAGCGAGGGCUUUCCAGGCAGAUGGCACAGUGUUAGCGAAGGCAUGGCAGUGGGAAGCACCGGGCAUGGGUGGAACACGUUUGCAAUGGAGUAGUUCAUGCAGGGGCACAGCAGGCGCAGAGCAGGUUGGCACAAGACAGAGGAGGAUCUUGAGUGCCUGACUGAGGAGUGUGGGCUGAUUCCGUAUUCAGGGGUUGCAGGGUUGAAGUUCUGGAGGGACGCGAGCAGAUUUGCAAUUUAAACUGCUCCCUCUGGUGGUUUUGGGAGGGGUUGGCCUGGAGAGCCAGAGGCCAGGAGGCGAUCCUGAGGCCGCUAUGGGAAUCCAGGCGGGUGGUGAGGGCAACAGCAGAGACAGGCCUCUUAUCUUCUGAGGAUGGCCAAGGCAACCUGCCUGGUUUCCCACCCCAUGGAGGGUGGAGAGAUUCGGCCUGGGGGAAGAGCCUGAUGGGGCAAUGUAGCUAACCAGAGUGGGGCGGGACCUCCGGUAUAUCACCAUUCCCAUCACCUGGGCAUACUGAAGUGACAGGUGUCCUAGACUCAUAAGAUGCAGCCUUUAAUACUGGCCCUCCUACUGCGUGCACUUGAGCAAAUCCCUGAGAUCCCUCAGACCUCUGUUUCUAUGUCUGUAAAAUGGGUAAGUUUGUCUCCUUGGAGACCUGGGGUGAGUUUGGGUGGAAGUUUGUGACCUUGGAGGUGGGAUACAAAGAGAAGGGGUAGAGGGCUGGUCACACUGCUGUUUGACAGAGGAAGAGUUUGAAGCCCAGAGAGGGGUGGUGACUUGAAUAAUGAGGUCAUAGAACAACUUGGGGGCAGGGCAUUCCAGCUUGGGGUUUUUCGGGCUGCGCCUGUGGCCUGCUGGGCAGGGGUGGGUGGCAUGGCCAGGGCCUUGAGGCCUCCGCAGAGGACGUCCUCAGGCAGUUGCUUCGGCAGUCCAGCUGUCAGGGAGCAUAUGGGGCCAUAUGGCCACAUCAGGGGAGGCGCCAGCCACUGAAGGAGGGUUAGCGGCUGCCAUCUUGGCCUUCUGGAUCUAUAUGGGCACUGCCAGCCAUCAGGGUCAGGAUGGGAGGAGGCCAGGAUGGAACCUCAGUGUCCAGGUUGGUUUGGACGUGGAGGUUGGGUCUUGGCAGAUGGCCCAGUUCUAGCACCCAUCUGCCAGGGCAGCCGGACAGGCGGCUUCGUGCCCAGGACUGAUCCAAUUAGCUCAAGACCAGCUGUGCCAGUCACCCCCCAUGCCCCACCCAGCUCUGAUGGCCCUGCGGUCCACAGGCCACCGGGCGGUACAGCACAUCUGAUGUUGGGGUUUCCGGCCACACCACAGUAUAUGUGUGUGACAUGCAGCCUCACCCUGAGCACUGAUUCUAUAGCUCUAAGAUUUGGGGGUAUAGAAAUGGGUCCUUUGAAUCAGCCUGGUGUGAUCAAAAGGACCUGGGCUUGGAUGCCAUCUGGAGCUGGGUGUGAAUCCCGGCUCAACUGCUUCUGAGCUGGGUGAGCUCAGGUGAGUCCCUUCACUUUUCUUUCUUUCUUUAAAAAAAAAUUUUUUUUUUAAUGCUUAUUUAUUUUUGAGACAGAGAGAGACAGAGCAUGAGCGGAGGAGGGUAGAGAGAGAGAGGGAGACACAGAAUCUGAAGCAGGCUCCAGGCUCUGAGCUGUAAGCACAGAGCCCCAUGCAGGGCUCAAACUCACGAGCCGUGAGAUCAUGACCUGAGCUGAAGUUGGACACCCAACCGACUGAGCCACCCAGGUGCCCCAAGUCCCUUCACUUUUCUGAGCCUUGGUUUCCUCAUCUGUACCAUGGGAGACUGAUGCCUACCUUGUAGAGGUGUCAUUGGCAUGCUUUGAAAUAAUACAUGUAAAGCAUUCACUAACCUGAUACAGCACAUCUCAGAAUCUCAGAAAAUAUUUGUUCAUUUUUGUUCUCUGCUGGGAGAGGGAAGUGAGUCCUGUCAGAGUAUCAAUAUCUAGACUGAAGUAGAGAGAAACCUCAUUGUUUUAACUUUCCAGAACAAAAUUUGCUUUAUAAUUCUUCAUAAGUUUUUAUACUCCUUCCCUCAUGGCAGUUCUAUAAAAUAGGCAGAGAGCACUGCCUCAUUUCACAGAUGAGGCAGCUUGGAAGUGAUCCUCCAGAGUGGCACCGUAAGUUGGGCUUGCCCUGUUUCUGGACUCCUGGUCUAGGACACUUGCUCCAUGGGUAUUCUUCCCAAACCUUGGGGGUAGAGGCUGGGGAGAAGUGGAUCUGUCUUCAACAAGGCCUGUCUAGAUCAAGCUUGGGAGUUCUAGAGAUUCCCCACCCAGCCCUGUCUUCAUUACAGGUACAGGGACAGGCAGUCAUGGUGAUAAGCAGUCAGUCCCAGCUGGGGUUGGUACAGGUGACCCCAGCAUUUAUUGCAUUUCUCUGUCUGCCCUGCUGGCGGGGUGGGGCAGGGGCUGGGAGUAGGGAGAAGUGGCCCUUCACCUCCUGGGCAGCCCUGGACCACCCCAAGGUCAACAGGGCUCAGGCUUCUGGGGACAGUGAGGAGAGCACUGGACCUCAGUUAGGUCACUGUUUGUCUCUCUUUGAGCCUCGGUUUCCCUCUUUAUAAACUGGAGAUAAUUAUCUCCCUGCCCGCCUCACAAGGCUGUUUUUGGGGCUCAACUAUCAAUACAUAUUUUUAUACAAACAUGGUAUCGCACAGCUGUGGGUCCAGGAGUCCCCAGUCCUGCAGCUGAUGAUCCUAUAAUGAUUCAGUGAUUCACUUGUUGGGCGUGUCUUCUGGGCCUGGCUGUGCUAGCUGCUAUGGGGGCUGAGAUGAAUAAAACCAGCCCCUGCCCUCUUGGGGUAUGCAGCCUGCCAGUAGCUGUGCGCGCUGUAGUUUUUAAUGGUCCUCCCAAGCUCAUGCUGGCCAUCACACUCCUACUCAGCACCCUUCAAGGGCUCCCUGUUGCCUUCAGGCUGGCAUCCGGACCCCUCAGUGCCUUGCACAGUCUGACCCUCUGUUCUAGCCAAUCCUCUCGGGUCUCCUCUGUGCACUCAGGCUCCAGCCAGACGCCACUCACUGUCCCCUUCACACAUGCUGUGGCUUUCCUUCCUCCAUGCUUUGGCUGUGCCGUCCCUUCUGCCUGGUGCCUUCCUCCACCUCUGCCCUUGUGGAUCCCACCCGCUUUUCAACCUUCAACCCAUGUGCUGUACUUGAAACCCCCUCCUGAUCACCCUAGCUAAAAGUACUUGCUUCUCCGCCAGAACUGUGCACCUACUGUGUGCAAGGCCUACUGUAUUGGAGGCCUGUAACAUAUGGUGGUUUCUCUCUUCAUGGCCUGGGAAUGCCUUGGUGGCAGGGACCAGAUUUAUCCAUCCUAGGUACCUGGGAUGUGCAGGCACCUGGACCCAGAUAGACUCAGAGGAACGUGGUGCAUCCCUCGGGGCCUCUGUGGCCAGUGCCACUUCCUCCUGCCUCUCGGGCCUGGGGAUGCGGGCUAGGCCCAGAACAUCUACUUGAAAAGCUCCCGAGUGAUGGGCGGCUUUUCUGUUGAGGUGCUCACCACAGACAUGGCCUUCCCUGCCCCUGGAGGCUCCACCAGGCUGAGGCGGGGGCGCCCAGUCACUGGCCACACAUAACUCUCCCCAACGAAUUGCACGGCAUUCAGCAAUUAGAGAUUGAUUAUUUGGGGUACUGGUAGCUCUUCCAUUAUCGAUUGGCGGAGGCGGGCCUAGCCAGUGUUGGUGUGGGUCAUCUGGGCCUGGCUGGGAGAUUGUGAUCAUGGCCAUUUAUUCCUGACCAGGAAGCUCCAUAAACAAGAGUCAGAGAAAAGGAAGUGCAGGCCACCCUCUCUUUGAUUUGCUCUCCCAGGGUUGGGGUGUAAAUUUGGGGAGGAGGGGGGAUUGGGGUGAGUGGGGAGCUUUUGCUCACUCCCCUCUCCCUCUGUCCCCACCUUCUGUGUUCUGCUGCCAGUCUCUACUGGCCCUGGGUCUCAGCUUUCCCGUCUGUUAAAUGGGGAUCUCAGUCUUUUUGUGGGAUGACACUGUGCCUUUGAGUGAGAUGGUCAGGCCAUCACUGACUUGUCCUCACUUCUGCUAAUGGGUGGGGGCAUGUGAGGCUUGGAGAGAGUGGUGUCCUCCUGAGGAUAGAGGUAGCAUCACAGUGCCCAGCCCCAGGGCUGCUCUGCAGAAGGGACAGUGAGAUGGUGGGUGGGAGCAGGGGGUGGGGUUGGUCGGAAGGCAACACUUGCCCCACUAAAGUGCUAUGUCUGGCUUCUGAAUGUGCUAAGGCUUCUAAAUGUGGAGUUAGGACUCAGUGGAAUUCGUGCGAAAGCAAUUUCUAGGGAAACCACAUAAAGGAGCUGGCAGGGGGGAUGUUUAACCUACUUGAGAGACCUAGCUGCCUUUCAGGCUGGCCAGGAGCAUGGGGUAUUGUUUGUGGGGCUCCUGGCUCACAUCACCAAGGUUUUUUUGGUUUUUUUUUUGACAUUUUCUUAGGAACAUUUCCAAAUAUACAGAAAGGUAGAGGGGAUAGUAUAGGAAACCUCAUAUACCCUCACCUAGACUUAACAGUUGUUGACAUUUUGCCACAUUUUGCCUUAUCUUUUUCCCCCAGAGUAUUUUAAAGUAAAUUAUAGACAUUAUGCCAUUUCACCCCUAAAUAUUUCAGUAUCCCUCCCCCCAAAAUCAGAAAAUUUCAGUCUAACCUUAAGUGGUCAUAUAUUUCUUUUCAUUUUAUUUUGAGAGAUGAAGAUGCUGACAGAUGAGGAGACUGAGCCCUGAGAGGUGGCCUGGCCUGUCCAAGGUCACAGAGCGGAGAGGGGGUGGGGAGGAGAGGUGGGGCCUGGGAGGUGGCUACAGGUGUCAGCCCAGGACUGGCAAGACAAGAGGGGAAAGGGGAGAGCAUUGGUGGUCUGGAGUUAGGCAGGUGGCUGGAGCAGGAUCCCCCUCUUUCGGGGGGGGGGGGGAGGGGAAUUCCUCUGGCUCAGGCUGGGGGUUCUGCUUGGAAACAGGAAGUGACUGUCUUUUAGGUUAAUCUGCUCUCUUCCUUUUGUUUGCUGCGGGGAUUAAUCAGGAACUGCAGUGUCAGGAAAAUCUAAAACAACUUCUUGUUUAUUGUUUAAUUUAGGAGAAUGUUAUCAGGCUCUGGCCAUGCAGGCAAGGGGAGCUUUUGCUGGCACAAGAAGCAGGGCCACCUUGGUGAGGGGAGGGCUGGCCUGGCAGGAGGGUUUAGGGUCCCAGUCUGGACUCUCAGGGGGAUCUGAGGGAACUGGGGUGUGUAUGUCAGGGGUUUGGGGCUGAGCCUGAGAUCUGGGCUGGGCUGAAGACCUUGUAGCUUCAGAACAGAUGGGAAGUGAGGCGCGAGAGGGAUGAGCUCCUGGGGUGUGUGCUGAAAAGGGGGAGAGUCCUGGCUGCCUGUAGGGGGAGGCCCUGGCUGCCUCUAGCCAUACUGAGGAGCUGUCCUUCGCUCUCCUCUCUCCUGCCUGGGCCCAGUCUCUUCCCUGGGGAGGUUUGUACAUGACGGGUGUCUUCUGCCAGCCUAGGGCAGGUGCAGGUCUCCUUGGGGUCAGGUGAUACUGCCCCCAGCACCCGCACAUGCUUGGAACUCCUUAUUCUGCUGUUGGUGACUUAGUAUUUCUUGAAUCUGUGAGGGUCACAGAGGUCUCGGCUGUGGAAUUGGAGAAAGUUGGAACUAGAAGGCAGCCUCAGAGGUGAUCUCAUUUUUGUUAUAGGUUUCAGGAGGGGAAACUGAGGCACAGGGAGCGGUUAUCCCUGUCUCAGGUCUUACAGCGAAAAGCACUGUAGAGCCCUGGCAGCAAGUCAGGUGUCUGACUGCUCAGUUUCAGGAUUCCCUGCUUCUGGGCCCCCUGGGCUUGUGGUUCAGACAGACCAGUACUCCCCAGUGUGCAAAGGGGAGGAGGCGGGCCCAGCUGGGAAAGGGCUGUCCGUCAUCCCUAAGAUGGGCCCAGCUUCCCCUAUUAGGAUCUGCUUCCUUGUGUGUGUGCACUCUCACGAGCACAGGCACACGCACACCUAGUUACUUGCCAGUGGGGAGAAUGGAUGUGCAGGUCAGGAAGAAGGCUUUAAUGGGGGUGUCCUGAGGCUCAGCCAUCCAGGGCUGGGACUGGCCUCCUCCUCUCUUCUCUUUGCCCCCACAAUGAGGAGAGCCCCGAUUUAGUGCCAGGCUUACUGUUGCGCUUGUUUCUUGAGGACAGGAAGUGGGGCAGAAGAGGCCCCCGGGAGAGAGGUGACCAGAGGGAAAGCGAGAGACAGAGACAUCAAAACACUUUCUCAUCCCUGGUCUAUGGUCCUAUGGAGCUACCAGACCUUCCAUCAAGCCUGUGUAUUCUCUGCAGUUGGGGAAGGAGAGGAAAACAACUCAACCUUGAACAAGUGGCUGGACCGGUGCUGCGUAACCUGGAUCAUGUCACCACCCCUCAUGAUACAAUGAGGCAGGUAAUAGGCCCCCUCUGCUCCAAGAGUGAGGCAGGGAGGACAGGGGAUGGGCUGUUAGCCUGUCUGUGGCUGGACCUUCUGCCCCUGCCAGUGGAAAGUGGGCGGGGAAGGGUCAUAGGAAGGAGGGCAGGUCCUUGCCGCUCCCAACCCCCAGUCUUUCCUCUGCUGUCUCAGUGCUGUAGGGGUCAGUUGAACACUGUGCUUGGAGUCCAGGGGACAGGUGGGACAGAACCCACUAUAUGUUCUCACAGUAACUAUAUGCUGGAACCUAGGCAGGGCACAGAAGAAUGUUACCUUUAGUAGUGCACAGAACUGCCCUGCAAGUUCUGCAUAUUAUGGACUCCAUUUUACAGAUGAGGAAACUGAGGGUCAGAGGGUCACCUGAUUGGUCAGUGAUGGGACCAAUGGGAUGGGAUUUGAGGCCAGAACUACCUGGCUUUUUGGACCCAGGUCCCAAAGACACCUGGUUUCUGCUCUUGGCUCUAUCACCAAAUGGUGUUCCCUGGGCCUUGGUGUUUGCCUUUGUCCAGUGGGGCUGGGAGGAUGGUUGAGGGCUGUGCCGCAGCCAUAGGCUGGAGGGGAGGCUGAGCCUUCUGUCACCUCAGGGUCUGGUAGGUGCUAAGGGUUCUGGUUGAGGCUUGCCGCUGUUCUUGGGGGGGAAUCCUUCCUAAGCCAAGCGAAGUGAGAGGCUCCCUGGUGCUGUGGUGAGGGAUUGGGCUUCUGGGUAUAGGCGAAGCCCUUCAGAGCCUCCCACACCCUUUGCUCUUAGCUAGCGUGUGCCUUCUGUUUAUCUAUCAGGUGACCGCAAGGUGGCAGGGGAGCCCAUGGGCACAUAUGUGGGCCGUCCUGAGGCCUGGAGAGCCACGUUUGAGGAUUGAGCAUGAAGUAGGUCAGGUGUGAGUUCAUUGAAUACCUUCUGUUAGUCAGCGUGCUGGGUGCUUUACAUACAUUACCUCACUUAAGCCUAAAAACAGCCCCAUGAGAUAUGUACUAUUACUAUUCCCAUUUAACAGAUAAGGGAGCUGAGGCUCAGAGAGGUUUAGAGACUUGCAAAGAUCACACAGCAAUAGAGUGGAGGAGCUGGCAUUUGAACCUGGAAUGAACCAAGUCUGUAUUGCUGCUAGGUGGAGGGUAGUUAGAUUUCAGGAAGGGCCUCUGGUGGCUGUUCUAUUUGGAGAGAGGAGGCCAAGGGUCAGGUGAAAGGUCCAGGUGAGGAAGGGGUGGUUCAGAGUUGAGGCCCGGUGGGGGAGUCCAGCAUCCUGCCUAGAGUUGUAUGUCUUUGGCUCCUCAAACCUGCCUUAACUCCCCCUCAGGGGAGUGGUGCGCAUUCCUUAUGGUUCCUGAUCAGGCAAAGGCCUGGAGGUGGGACUGUGCAAGGCUCCUCAGAAACACGGCAGCGUGCCAUGCCUGGAGCAUCUGGAGACGAGGCUGGAGCGGGGCCCAGGCUGUGCAGGCCUCCAGUGUCGGCCUGGAACAGAGGAUGUUCUCUAGAAUUUGAGCGGGGCCAGGUCUGAGGCUUGGAGGGAUGGCUCUCUGGUGGCUGGGGCUGGUUAGAGGCCAUGGGCCAUGUGGGGCGGGGAAGGGGUGAGAGAGCAGAGGGCAUCUGGAGGCUUCUCCCCUCCUUGCUCAGAGCCCCUGUCAAUGUAGGCCCAGGGGGUGGUUCAUCUUUCCCUGUCUCCGUUCUUUGCUUUCCCUUUCUCUGCCUCCCAGAGCGGGGAGUGAGAGUGGGGAGCCGGGGGUCCCUCGCCCCUCCCAGGCCCCUCCCUUGGAGGCUGUAAAUAUUUUAUCUCCACCAUCUUUGCUGCGGAAAUUGCUGCUUUUAACACCUUUUUUUCCUUUUGCUUGAUACAAACGAAUGCUGGAAAAAUUCUGUGCUGGGCGCUCACUCUGUCGCUUCUGCUUGUGCCCAGAGUCCCCUCCAAAAACUCUAAUUGCUUUUAAGCUGCGAUAGUUGGCAAAAGCAAUUUUCUUUACAUUAUGGAGAAAGGGGGAAAAUCCACCACAUUUUCUUCUUCCUUUUUUUUCUAACCUUUCGUUUUGAGUUCCUCCUCACGGCUGCUGAGGUUCUGGGAGAGAAAUGGAGCAGAGAGAGAUGUGGGCGGGGAAGCAGAAGCACCCUUGGAGAGGGCCUUUGGCCAUGCUGGUCCUCAGUUUCCCCAUCUAGAAGGUGGCUGUAUGUCCAUUCAUUCGUUCAACAGACACUCCCUGAGUACGUCCCCCGGAAGCGGCUUGAGAGCAGGGGCUACCUCUGUUUUUGUUGCCGCAUCCCCCCACCCGGCACAGAGCCUGACACAUAGUAGGUGCUCAGUUAAGAUCAGUUGACUGGAUCCAUGGCUCUACUUUGAGCCAGGCACUUUGCCAAGCCCUGGGAGUGCACGGGGUGAAUCAGAUGCAGCCCCUGGCCACAAGAGCUCACUGAUUGGACAGAAUCCCCCAGAUGAGCAUGUUUACGGUGUCACUGAGUCCUAACACACGUGGGUACUGGGUUCUUAGGAGCACAGCAUAGGGCUGGCCAGGGGAGUCUGGAAAAGCUGCCCAGAGGAGGCCCUAGGCUGCAUCUUGAAGAGGGGAAAGGUGUUUGACAGGUGAACUGAGGCCAAGGAGGAUGGGAUUCCAGACAGGAAAUAGCAUGUGCCAAGAUGAGGGGUGGUGAGCCUAGAGCUGAGGGUGGGGUCAGGCCAGGGAGGCGAGGCUGCCCAGUGGGCCUGAAUUGCCUGGAAGAGCUUUCCAUGGAGGUGGGGAGUUUGGACGUGAUCUCAAGGGCACGGGGGAGCCCUGGAAGGGUUCUGAGCAGAGGAUAUGUGAGGAUGAUCUCUUUGGCUCCACAGGAGGCGUGGGAGAGGAGGGAGUGCUGGCUGGGAGCCUGGUCCUGGCGAGCCGAUGGGGAAAGGGAGGGUGGCAGUGUGAUUUUGAGACAGACAAGACAGAGGACCCAAAUCCUAGUGCUGAUCUCCUCUGCUUGCGAGAGGCACCCCAGGCCUGGAGCCCGGGGUGAGGGUCCCCCCGUGCACGCGUCAGUUCAUAGUCCUCUGCCACCAUAGUCUGUCAGGUUGGCUUUGCUCUCGGUUCCUCAAGGCAUACAGCCCUUUACAGUGUAGAAAGCCCGCUCACCUCUGACCCCUCAGGAGAUCUCAGAAACCAUCCCCUGAGGUGGCAGGACAGGUGGCUGUUUCCCACUGCCAGCUAUAGGACAGGUUUGGCCCAGCGUUCUGCGGACAGGUGGAGAUGGGCUGGGGGUUUGAACUCAGGUCGUGGGGCCCCUGGAUGGCUGCCCCACCACCUCUGUGGAGCUCUCCUCUGCCCCCAGCCCUCCACCCCUCCCCUUCUAAGCCCCGUGCUCUUUCCCUGUUUGCAGAGCAUGUGGGGCUUUUCAAAAGCAUUAAUGAUAGAAAAUAAAUUGGAAUCGGAGAGGAAUCAUCGCCGGGCAUUCUCGGAGGGCCGCCUCUGCCCUCGCGUCUCUCAGCCAUAUUGAAGCCGGCAGCCAGACUGGAAUAUGAAUGAGUCCGGGGCCAGCAUUGCUCUUAAUCUGUCGGGGAGCCCUCCCUGGCCAGACGGCACUCACCAGCAGCAAAGCUGUUUGCAAUGAGGCCCCAGCGGCUGUGGGGCAUCACCAACCAGGACUGAUUUCUCUGGGAUGGAGUCACAGUCCACUGCUGCAGCGGAGGGGCAGAGGGGGCCUCUGUUAGAGACGCAGCACCGAGACCAUGCCUGGGGUGGGGUCAGGCAUCCAUGCCUGGGCUGGGGAAGGGGGGUCAUAUGAAACUGCCAGUAGCUGGGGCGCCUGGGUGGCGCAGUCGGAUAAGCGUCCGACUUCAGCCAGGUCACGAUCUCACAGUCCGUGAGUUCGAGCCCCGCGUCAGGCUCUGGGCUGAUGGCUCAGAGCCUGGAGCCUGUUUCCGAUUCUGUGUCUCCCUCUCUCUGCCCCUCCCCCGUUCAUGCUCUGUCUCUCUCUGUCCCAAAAAUAAAUAAACGUUGAAACUGCCAGUAGCUCUUCGGGGUCUGGAUGCCUCAUCUGGGUAUUCAAGGCCCUGUGUGAACUUGACUGGCUUUGUCCUGUCUCCUCCAGGAAGCCUUCCUUAAUCACUGCCCAGCCCACCCUGGGUUUUCUAUUUUUGAGCCUCUUGUGGCCCCUGGAGCAGUCACAAACCUAGUGCCUGAAGGGGACAGGACAGUCGUGAGGGGAGCAUGCUGACUGUGAGACAGUAAGGAGGGGUAGAGACUGGCGGUGUGAAGGCACAGGAGCCACCGGUUUGGGAGCCCCGCAAUGGGUGCUUUCAUCCUCGAAAGCAGGGAGGGUGAGCCCUGGUCUCCUUACUGACACAGGUGUGGGCUGGGCACCUAGGCAGGCUUCCUGUACAGCAUCGGGGGCUCAGGACCUGGGAAGUAACUCAGGGCAGGCUUCUCACUUAGGGAUGGGGAAACUGAGGUCCAGAGAUGGGUGGUUAGGAAGGGCCCCCUGUUCUGCUCUAAGCACACUGUACAUCCAUGCUCUCAUAACCCUCAGAGCAGGAGGAGGAGGGCAGGGUUUUGUACCUUAAGAGGAGGAAUCCGAGGCUCAGAGUGGCUGGAUCCAGGCGGGACACUUUAGGUCUGUGUUUGAAUCAGCUUGUUGGAGCCCCAGUGCCAGCUGCCUCUUUCUGGCAGCGUUAUGGGGUGCUGAGGUGUGCACGGAGUUGCCUGAGGGGGCCAAGGCACAUUUGUGCCCAGAGUGAGCCUAGCUAGGGGCAGGAAGUCUGGGUUCCUGGCCCAGGUCUGCCACCAGCUUCCUGUGUGACCUAGGUAGAGGGCUUUCUCUGUGUCUCAGUUUCUCCCUGGAGGGGUCAGAGUGAGUUUGGAGGGGGGCAGAGCUAGUGGCCUUGGCCUGGCUGCCAGCUCUUCUCAGUGCUUCCAUCCAGCCCCUGGGCUCCUUUGGCCCCAGGCCAGGCUCAUAAUGAAACCUCUCACUUCUGUCCUUUUUGGGGUCACUGUCAUGCAGGAGAUGGUGACUGUGACAUAUCAAGAAGGGCUUGGGCUCUGCAGGCCCUGUUAGCAGUAUGGGGUAGUCAGGGCAGCCUGUUCCCUACCGAAGGUGGGAAGAGAGACUCAGGCCAUCACCAGGUGGGAGGACUGCCCCAAUUCAGGACUCUACACUCAGCUCUGUAGUCUGGAGCCUCACCCCUGCAUGACCUUGGCACUUCCUUUCGCAUGCUCAGAGGGGACUCACAGGGACAUCUUGUAUAGUCCUGGGGUGUAAGAUAGGAUAAGCCAAGGCCCAGAGAGUCUGAGAAUGAGACUCAGGGUUGCCAUUCACUCACUCUGAUGUCUCUGGCUCCAGCCUGUGCUCUUACUCCUCCAUAAUGGGGAGCUCACCCCCUCCCAAGGCAGCCCUGCCCUGUACAUGAGUGAGGUUUGUUCCCCUCCCCUACCUUGUGCAUAAAUUCACAUCUAAUUGUAUGCAGCUUCAAGGCUCACAGACUCCUAAAUCCCCACUCCCUGGGGACCCCAGUUAGAAACUCCUGCUUUAAUCACUCCCCAUGUGACUUAAUGUCAUCUGUCAUGCUGACCUAGGACAGGAAGCUAGGCUGUAUUCUUUCUGCUCUACCCUGUGAAGGUGCCACUCUGUGCCUGGGGUUGAGCGCUGUGAUAACCCAUUCAUUCUUUCCACAGACAUUGGUCCUGAUGCCUUGUCUGUGGCAAGCCUGGGCUGGGCCCUGGGUGCAGAAAGGAGCAAGACCUACCCCCUGCCCCUGGGAAGUCACAAGUGUCAGCACUCACAGCUUGGGGGGUCAGGGCAGGACAGAGGUGCUCCCACCCCAGCCUGUCGGGGAAGGCUUCUUGGAGGACACUGGGAACUGGUCAGGGAGGGAAGGCAUCCCUGCAAAGGAAGCAAGUGCAAAGCCUUGGAGUUCUGUCUCUGUCAGGGUGGCAGACAGCCCAGUCUGCUGAGGGUAGGGUAGCAUUGGGAGGCACUGGGGCAGGUGUGAGGCUAAGGGCCAUCUGGGGAUGGGCCUCUGGUUUUUGCCAACUGCUCCUGGCCUGUCUGCAGGCCUGCUGGCUGCCUACGUGCCCUAACACACACGCACGCAUGCGCGCGCGAGCGCGCGCGCUCGUACACACGCGCGCACACACACACACACACACACACACACACACACACAAGCUCACCGACUCUAAAUGCAGACAUGACUACACACACGCCCUCCACAGUUCACCUCCAUCGGCCACACGAACCUCCCUCUCUCUGAGCACUACACACCUGCACACACCAGGCCCCUCUGCGUGUACCCGUGGGCUCAUCCAUCCUUUCUGUUUGUACGGAGAACCCUGUAAGAGCCCAGAGCUGAGCCUCAAAGUCCCCUCCCCUGGAGUUUUUUUGCAAAGGUCUCUUCCAUGUUGCCCUCACCCUCUGGGCUCCCCUGAGCCUCAGCCUAGGGUUUCCCAAGACUGUGGUGUCCCAGGGUUUUCUGGUCACCAAGGGAAACCUCCCAUGCCAGCUCAGGAGGGCCAGAGCCCUGCUGAGGAGCCAGAGGUGCUGGCUUUAGCCCUGCACCGUCUGGAUUGUCUGUGUGGCCUUGGGCAACCUUAUCUAUCGGCCUUGGUUUGGGGGAGUGGGGAUAUGGGCUCCACGCUCUCCAGCCUAGGUUCUCAAACUGGUCCUGGAACCUGGUGUCCAGGAAGGUGCCUGGGGGCUUUGGGGGCAGGGGUGGGGCUGGAUAGGUCCCUUUGUUUUCAACCACAGCAGGGCUGCUUAGAUCUGCAUUUUAUAUUAGGGUCCAGGCAGGAUUUAAAGGAAAAACCCAUUAACUCUUUAUUGAUUUUGUUUUUCUGAUUACAAAAGAAAAUCCGGCAACACGUUUGUGGAUAAGAGCCCACGAAAGCCCCUUCAUCCCUCUUCUAGGAGAUGUUCACUGUAACAUCUGGAUAUUGUCCUCCAGCCUUUUGGGGCAUAUACCAACAAAUUGCUGUUUAUAAAAAUGGGCUCAUUCUGAAAUAGCAUUGUACAGCUUGAAUUUUUUCAUAUUGUUAUACAUAGACAUGCCUUUUUCCGUCAAAUGGCUGCAGAGUAUUCCGUAGUAUAGAUGUGCUAUAUUUUAUGUGAACAUUCCCUUAUUGAUAAGCAUUUAGGUCAUUUCCAAUUUCUUUUUUACUCUUACCAGCAAUACUGCUAUGAGCAUCCUUGGAUAUUUAUACAUAACUGUCUGUGCUAUAGUUUCUGUAGGAGAAGCUCCUAGAAGUGGGAUUACUAGCUUGUAGGGUGUGUGGGUUUAAAAUGUUACUCAAUAUUGCCAAAUUACCCUUCCAAAGGUUGAGCCAAUUUCCCCUCCUUCCAGUGGUCUAUGAGUGUUCAUUUUCCUACAUCCUUGCCAGCACUGGUUGUUAUCAAUCAUUUUAAUUUUUCCCAAUCUGAUGGGCAAAAAAUGGUAUCAUGUCAUUUUCAUUUGCAUUUCCCUGAUUGCUAGCGAGAUAGAACAUCUUUUCAUACAUUUAUUGGCCAAUUUACUUUUUCCUCUGUGGAUUUCUAAUUCACUGCCAAUUUUCUCUUCUUCUGUCUUUUUUCUUAUUGAUUUGUAGGGGCUCUUUGUAUAUUAGUGAUAUUUUCUUCCAGUGUCUCACUUGCCUUUUAACUUGUUUAUAGCGUCUUUUGCUGUACAGAUGUUUUACGUGUUUAUGUACUUGGGUUUAUCAAAUUUUCACUUUAUGGCUUCUGGAUUUAAUGUCUGGCAUAGAAAGGCUUCCCCCACUGCAUAAGAUUUCAUUUCAAAUAAGAAUUUUAUUGCUGAAAAAUCUUUGCAGAGCUCCAGUUUGUAGGCUUCUCCUGGCAGCUGCAGCGCUGGCUCUGGGGGAGGGAGGGACAGCCUGUCUGUCCUUUCUUUUUCAUUACUGCUGUUCCUUCUGUCUGUCCGGCUUCGGGGUCACGGUCACUCUGUGUCUCUUUGGACCUCUGUCUCUUAUGUGGUCUUCUCCCUGGCCAGGGUCUCUCCCUGGCCAGUACUUUCUGUGUCUCUACUGUUUUUCUAUCCCCAGCUGUUUCCCAAUGGACAACGGUAAUUAGGGACGUGGGAUAGCGGCUGUGGCAGUCCUCAGCGGUUUGGAAGGCAGUCAGGGAAUGUACCCUGCCCCUCCCCCCAGCCUAGCCCCAAGUCUGUUGGGCCGGUGGAGCAGACCCUGGCCCAGUUCUCUCUUUCAGACACACUCAUUUCCUGCUGGGAGCCUUAGGGCAAUCUCUGAGCCAAUCUAAAUCCCUCCUCCACCAGGAAGCCUUCCUGGAUACCUCCUUCUUCUGCUUCCACAGUCCUAGACCUGGCCUCUCUUUGUCCUCACUGGCCUUUCCCCAUUCUGCCUUCUAAGCACUGAGCUACGUGGGGCCACCUCCCAGGAUCUCGGUUUCCACCUGGGUAAAAUAGGUCCUAGGAGUCUGUACCAGCUGCUGAGAGGCAUGGCCCAUGUGGGAUACAGCCAAGCUCUGGGAAGGUGUCCCCUCUUGCCCUUUCAGUACUAGCUCGCCACCAAAAAACAAACAAAGAAACAAAAAAACAACCAGGCACCACAGGGGAGAAUUUUCAUGUUGCUGACAGAGAGAUGGGGACUUAGUUCCACAAGGGUGAUGACUGAUGGCUAGGGCUCCCUAUUUUCUGCCCAGCGCAGGGCCCUAAGCCCAGUGCGAGGCCUGGCUUGGGGAGGUACCUAGGAAAGCAAGAACAGUGCAGGAAGAUGCUGAGCCUGGGGGAGGAGGAGGGCAAGCAGAGCAUGGCAUUCUGGGAGCUCCUUCUGUGUAGCGAGGCGUUUUCUUCGUGAUUCCUUAUACUAGGGACUGGAGGUGCUCAUGGGAACACCCCCAUUACCUCCUGGUGAUGAGGGCCCCAGGUGGGCUCAAUAUUGCCUCACCCUGGAGACCUCUGUAUAGGGCUGUAGGGAGGGUCUGGGCUCAGAAGCGUGUCACUGAAAUCCGUGAGGUAACCUUCUCUGGGCUCCUGCAGCCUUCUGGACUUCUGUCCCAGCACCUUCCUCAAGCCCAUGAUGGCCCGUCCUAGAGGGUGGGAGUGGUGUACUUUACGUCUCUUUAUCCCAAAUCACCAAGCAGAAAAUAGGCACUUACCAAAAGUAGAAUGAAUGAAUGAAUGAAUGAAUGAAAAGCUGGGUGUGUUGGGUAGAGGGUUCAAGUCUGGGGAAGAGGAGACCUGGGUUCUGGGCUUGACUAUUUGGCUGACUUGCUGGAUGACCCCUCACCCUCAUUGGGCCCCAUGUCCUUAUCUGUUCAGGGGGUGUGGGUCUCUCAAGCUCUGUGGUCCUGUGGGUGUGUCGGCCAGAGUAGGCGCAUGCCUCCAUGUCUCUCUCUCUCUGUCUCUCCCUGGCCAGUGCUGCCCUCUUCGGUGGCAGUUUGCUCAGCACCUGCUGGGUGCUGCCCCGUAGCAUGGAGCCCACUUUGGCAGCACCUUGGGAUAGUGGUUUCCGUGGAAGUCUCGCGUCCCCAGGGUGCGUGGCAAUUCUGUUGAACACACAGACCUCUGGUUCCCAUGGCUCCCUGGGCUCCACUGAGUGGGCAGGAAGCCAGGAGGGCCGGUGGGAAGCCCCCACCUCUGUGGUGGUCUCCUUUGCCCCCUCUGUUGUGAGGCCUGCAGCCAGGAUUUCGUGUCCUUCCUGGAAGUUGACGCACAGGCAGGCCCCGGGGCCUGGAGAGCUCGUGGCUCCCACCGCAUCUCCCUGCCCCAAAUCAUUGUCAUGCUCUGCCUGUGGUCCCAUUUCCAUAGCAACUCCUCGUGAUGCCACUGAGGAGAGGGGGAGCUUCAGGAAGGUGUGGGGAGAAGGAGCAGGAGGCCCGUUCAUCAUCGUGGAACAUGGCAGCUGGGGGCUUGGGGUGGUGCUGUGGGGAUGGCUUGCCCCACCAGCUCAGGUGGAACUGGGCUCAGGGCCGCCAGCCAGGUGGUCUGGAGGCCUGCCAGGACCAGGGCUGCCCGGGUUGGCUUGUGCCAGUCUACCUGGAGCCAGCUUGGGCAGCCACCGAGGGCACCCCUGCCUGGCUGGACGCGGCUCAGAGGACCCAGGCCUGGGGAAAUGCCUUGGUUCUGGUUACCCGUCUGUCCCAGGCUGACACGACUGAGUCCUGCCUUGUCCUCCAGGAACAGCAGCCUUUGGAAGGCACCGCUGGGGCUUGCUGGCAGCAGGGGGCAUGGUUUGGGGCUGCUGAAUGUGGGGCUAGGCAGCUCCCCUGUUAUCGGCUCUACCUGCCUGUAGCUGUGUUGUCAGGUCAGGAAAGCCAAAGUGGGCCCAGAAGCCAGCUCAGUGCCCAUUUCUCCGCCUCAUUCUAGAGGAGACGUUUGCAGCCCAUGAAACAAGAAGACUCUUGGCUGCAAAGAGUCCUCCCAUCUUCACAUGAAGGUGAGAAAUUCCACCAUUCACAUCCUAGACUUGAUGGAAUGUUGAUUUUGGGAGGGACCCAGGGGCCUUUGCCGACUUCUGCCCACAUGAUGGCAGCCACCUCCCCCCCCCCCCCCCCCCCCCCCCCCCACUCCCAUCCAUCCGGAAGGACUUGUGAGUCCUCCUGGGGACUGAGGCCUAUGCUGGACAGCGCCAUAUGGGAACCAAGAGGGAAAGGAGGAGCCAGCCUGGGAAGAACGGAGCUGCCGCUCCUAGCGAGGGCUGCUGGGAGCCAGGCCACGUGAGAUGCCAGCUUUCUGCAUUUCCCUUCCACCAUCGCGGGGCUGUAGCCACUGCUGGGCGCCACUUGCACUUGUGUUUUCCUAAUUCUUGUCUUUGUGUUGACUCAUGUUUGAAGGUGGGUUUCCCAGUGCUCCCCAAGCCACAUAUCCAUGAAGUCACAGCUGUGAUGUGCUGUUAUUAUUAUUAUUAUUAUUAUUAUUAUUAUUAUUACAUGGAAGAAUAAACACAUAGCUGUGAAAAUAAAAACAUGUCUGUGUACCACCUAGAAUCCCUUUGCUCUUGCACUCACAGUGGCAGAUGUCCCACACUUUGAGAAGCACCGAUCAGAUGGAAACCUCUUGGUAGCAGCUCAGAAAGGGAUUCGGGGAUUCACCUGAGAGGUCGAGGAAACUGACGCUGGGGCGGAAACUCAGCCUACGCCUCACAGGGAGAGCUGCCUCCUUGGACUCCCAGCCUGAGUCCUGUGUCUGGGGGCCUUGCCAAGGAGACAGAACCCCCUAGUGCCCUCCCUGACUCGUGGAAGUGGCCCUUGGAGAAUGGUGAGGGAAUAAAGCAGCAGAGGCUGGGGAAGGAAGGGAUGGUGGGUGGGUGGGAGCUGCAGAGGGUCCUUGGGAACCAGGAGGCUGAGGCUUAGGCUCCAGGAGAUGCCCCCUGGUGCUCUACCUGCACCCGUCUGCGGGGCCAGCCUCUAGGCCGGCCUCCUGGGCCAGGCUGGGAAGGCAGGCGGGCUCUGGCACUGGCUGGGCACCACGGUGUGCCGGGCCGUGUGCCCCCAUCUCUGUUUAUCUUCCCAGUGGACCAGGUGGGAUGACUGGUGUCCCCAUUGUACAGAUGAGGGAAGUGAGGCUCAGAGACCUGACUGUCUCAAGGUCUUAGAGCCAGCGGGUGGGAAAGCAUAUUCAGAGCCUCUCCCCCCACUUGGAGCCAGAAACCCCAUCAUUCCCAGAGCCCCACCUGCCCCAGCUGGUGGUAUAUGAGUGAGUGUGUGUGUGUGUGUGUGUGUGUGGGAGAGAGAGAGAGAGAGAGAGAGAGAGCACUGUGUAAAUUCCAGUGUGUGAGUGAUGUAUAAAUGUGUCGGUAAGUGUAUGCAUGUAUACACGUGAGAGCAUGUAUGUACGUAAGCAUGAGCACGAAUGUGUCAGCGAGGGCGAGCACAUGCGCACGCGCACGUGUGCGCGAUGUAUGUUUAUUGCCCAGCCGGGUGUAAUCAGACCCAUUUGUGUGCAUGGCCCCCUGCUGCUCCCUAGCAUUGUCCCCUGCUGCCUGGCUGUGGCUGACAGCUCAUCUCUCUCUCCCACAGCCUCCUGUGCCCACAGGCCCUGAGGCUCCGGUGCCCACAGGCAAAGAGGGCGACUGAGUCAAACCCAGGCUGACCCCAGCCCAUUUGCAUUCCCCAAACGCCUGCCUGACCUGAGGUAAGAAGCCACUGUGGGCCGCAGGGCAGAGUGGGGGUGGCAUGGGCCAUGGGGGCAGAUAUGGGGUCCCCAAGGGAGAGGCCGUAGGGAGGCUGUGGAAAAGUAGUCUUUCUUGGGGUGUCCCCGUCUCUCUGGCCCCACAUGAAGUCGGGUCCGGGAGGUUUGAUCAGGUAGUGCCACCUUCUGUUAGCCCUUGCUAUGGCAGGGCUCUGUCCGCUAGCUCAGAAGCCUGGAAUGUUCUUCUGAGUGACGUGGUUUCAUGGACGCACUGGCUAACGGGUUCCCGUGUUGUGUGGGAGGUCACUAAUGGUGAGCAGAAGGGAUUGUCCUUGGUUCUGUCACAUUGUUGACCAAAUGUGUGCAUGACUUCAGGUCAGGAGGGAGCAGGAGCGUGUGGAUUGAGACCGGGUCCAAGAAACUGUCAAGAGGAGCUGGUACUGGCUCCAACAUGUGGACUUUAAACGGACCUCAAAGCCAGAGUCCGCGCACAGAUCCAGACACCUUCGGGGCAGGCUGAGGCUCAGUGCCAGUCGUGUGCAUGUGACAAGUACUGGCAGCCAGGUGACCUUGGCUUUGUGUGAGCAGUGCGGGUGGCCACUUGGAUUGUAUCAUGAGGAGCAGGACAUUCAGAAUGUGGGAGGUGAUAGGCCCUCCCACUGUGUCCCGGGUGGGGUAAUAUGGAGAAACUACAGCAAGUGCUGAGGGGGAAGGAAGGAGCUGGGUUGCUGCUUGACCUGACUCCUGGCUUGCUCGUGACCUUGGGCGAGUGACUUCUCCCCUUUAUCUGGGCCAAUCUGCUGCUGUUCUUGACAGGCUUCUGGGACCCAUGAGAAAGCUGCUGAGGGACUUCGCUAAACAGAAGGAAUGCUAGGGGAAGGCUGGGGGCAGCAGGCUGGACUGGACCAUUAUCAUUAUUUUCAGAGGAAGAAGACCCAGAGGCUCUGUAGGGCAGUGGGCCUCGAACCCCUUCUCCUGAAGGAUUAGGUGAAAGUCGUGGUGUGGCUGAGGCUCAGCCAACACUGUCCUCCCACCCAGGAAGCUGGUGAGGUGUGGCAGGAAGUGGACAGCUGGAUUUCCUUCCAGAAACUAGGCCUUGCUUUGAAGUCCAGUUGUCUCUAUCAAGAGAUUCUUGCUAAUCAGUCAGUUCUGAGUGGAAUGAGCAGCUAAUCAGCCCCUCUGGUUUAACCUGUAAUUGCUGCUGGGAGAUGGGGAGAAGGAUGUGGUCAGGGUUCUCCGCAGGGCUACCAAGGGUGAUGGGAGGGGUGUGGGCAGGGGUGGCAGAGAGGCCGGGCUUUGCCCCUAGCCUCGUCAGGGGCCACAGUAUCCUUCUUGCUGCCCAGGGGGACGGCACCGGGCACCAGGAAGCUCAGCGGGCAGAGAUACACUAAGAAAUGAAUGCAGGGAGGAGGAGGGGAGGUCUGGGCUGAGCCUUGAAGGCUAACGGGUUCUUUUAAAAUGUUCUAUUUUCCUGAUUAUUAAAAACAAAACAAAACAACACAACAGCACGUUCUCUAUAGAAAAUGUGAGUAUUUGGGUGUUUUGCCUGUCAGUCUUUUACCAAAUAUGUAUUUGUGACAUAAAUGGGAUCAGACUGUACUUACUGUUUUCUAACCUGCCUUUUGUACUUAAUACUAUACCAAGCUCAUUUUCCCAUCAUGAAAUACUCUCUGUAAUGUGAUUUUUAAUGGCAGCGUAAUGUUCCAGCCUGUGUGUGGUAUCUCUUGUGUAACAGUUCUGUUACAUAUUUUGAUUGUUUCCAAUGUGUGUCAUUAUAAGUAGUGCCUGCAUGAACAGGAUGAUGUAUGUAGAGUUAUGAUGGGCAGACAAGGUUUAGGGGAGGGGGGGGCCCAGGUGAAGCAAAGGUAUAGAGGAAGGGGGCUUUGGGGUGUCUGGGGAGUGACGUGCCUAGGAGGGAGCCUCUGAGGUGUGCUGAGGGGCUGAGACCUGGCCCAGCCAAGCUCUGCAGGAAGCCAGGGCUGCCUUGCUGACUCCUGCCUCCCAUGCCCGCUCCCCUGCCAACUCCUUUGGUACUCCCGUGGUAAGAGGGGAGGGGCAGGAUGGCAGGGUGGGGGAAGGCCAGGCAAAGCUGAGGGUCCCAGAUGCCGCAGCCCUUGACUUCUUGCUCACUGGCAGGAUCAAGGGCAUUUAAAUCAAGCCCUUCUGUCUCUGGCGAGCCCUGCUCAGGUCUCCACCUUGCAGGAAGGGUGUACACACUGGCUCUGAACAUUUACUGGCUCCUGAAUCAGAGAGACCCUCCUUCAUCCCCUUGGUGGGCAGUGGGAGGAGACCCCUGACCCUGAAGAGCCAGGGAGGGAGGCUUGGCAUGGGGUGUCACUCCUAGGAGGCUAGAGGGGACCUCUGAGUGCCCCAUCCCCAGCUGGUGGCCCUAUCCCCAGGACUCCCCUCCCUUGUGCACACAUGUCCACCCAGCAUGUGAAUGAACCAUGCUCAGUGGAAUCACUUGUGUGCAUGGGUCUGUUUCUCCCCAAAGACUGUGGGUCUCUUGGGGCCAACGUAGCCUGAUUUUCCCCCUUGAUCCCUUGUGAUGAAUACCAGGUACAGCACAAGUGCUUGUGGAAGUUGUUCGUUCUUUCAGUGACUCAUUCGUUGUUCAUUCGACACAUACUUAUUGAACAGCUGCUGUGUGUCAGGCACCAUUCUACAUGUCCAGCAUUCAUGGGUGAAUAAGUUAGACCAGGUCAUUGUCCUCAUGGCACUUAAAUUCUAACAGAGUAGACAGGAAAAAACCAGAUUAAGUAAAUUCAUCACAUAAGGUUAGGAAGUAACAAGUGCCAUGGAGAGAAAUAAGGCAGGACAAGAGAGCGGGCGAGCGGUGGAAGCCAUUCUCUGCAGGAUGUCAGGAAAAGGCAUCUCAGGUCAGGUGCCCUUUGAGCAGGGACCCGAGGAGAGGGGACAGGCCUCAGAGCUCAGACAGGCUCUGAGCUGGGUAAGAGGGGCUGAGAAAGAGGGCUUGCAGGACCCUGAGUUAGUAUGGAUGGAGGUGAUUUGUGGCUCAGAGGCUCCUUCUCACUGUCCCAUGGGGAAAAAGCUGUGGGGGGCAAGAAUAGAGGCUGGCAGGUGGCUAGGAGGUCCCAGCAUCAGUCCAGAGAGAGAUGGCUGGCAGGGCCUGGGUGGGGGGCAGGUAGGUGUGGCUGAUCAUGGCGGGGUGAGGAUGGGCUGCGGGCUAGGAGAGAUCUAGGAGAGAUCGGAGCCUGAGAACAGGGUGGGUGGUGAAGUCUUUGACGGAGCAAGGGAGGGCUGGGGAAUGGGUUUGGAGGGCAAUGAAGAGUCCUGUUUGGAAGUGGUGUGUUUGAGAUGCCAAUAUCCACACAGCUGCACAGACCAUGGGUAUGUGAGGCUGCAGCUGAGGCAGACGCUGGGGUUGGGUGUGCGAAGGAGGGAAUUGUCAGCAUCUGGUGAGGGGUGUUUUAAAGCUUCUGAGUCUGGACAAGGUCAUGAGUCUGGGCCUCACUGCUUAGGGUGAAUCCAGCCCCUGGAGGCUCCCUGCCCAUGGGGGUGCCUUGCAGCUGGCUUUACCGGCCCAGAGAAACUGCGUCCAGCCACCCUCCCAGCUGCCCCUCCCAAUGGCCUAAUGGUCGGCACUGUCAUUUUGUAACAUUCUUCAGGGCUGCUCUGGGCAGGAAAUGGGGUGCGGGCCCAGGCCUCUCUCCCUUUCCCUGCAGAGGAGCCUCAUCCGGUGAGUCUGGAGCAGCCCAGGCCCCUGUGAGCCCUACUGGUGGUCAUUGUUGCAGGCCUGCCUUCAUGCCAUGCUCAGGGGCUCCUUGCUGUCUGCGGUUGGGCUCCAGACUCCUCCUCCUGGGUAUUCAGGGCCGUUCAUGAUUUGGUUCCUGUCUUCCUUCUUUCCAACCAGUGACCCUUGUCCUCCGUCCCUGCACACACGAGGUUGGGUCUUCCCUUCCCUUCCCUCCGUCUAGAAAACUUUUCUCAUCAUUAGCCAAACCCCGUCCUUUCCAGAAGGCCUCCCCCACUCUCAUACCCACUUUGGCCCCUUUGAAUGGCUGUCGUUACCUUUCAUCUAGUGAGCUACCCUGUCAUUUUACUGUCGUCAUCCCUACUUUGUCUUAACCUUUGCUCUCCUCACCAUCUCCUGCCUCUGUCUCCUGCCCGAGUGCUGCCCCUGCCCUCCACUGUCGAAGCUCUUCCCGAAUGGAAUCCGGCUCGAGCCCUGGAGCUCUCCGGGCUGGGGUCCCAUGCCUGGCUCUGCAUCAGGACUACCCAGGGAUGUUAUUAAAGGGGGAUCCUCAGGGGCCCACAAGGACCUUCUGACCCAGAGUCACUGGGGGAACCCAGGAAUCUGGAUGGUUUACAAGCCCCACAGUCACUCCUGAUGGUUAGCCGGGUUGGGAUGCCCCAACCCAGACUCAGACUGGGCGAGUGCAGGUGUCCCUGAGAGUCUGGCCUCUGACCUUUGUGUACACUCCGGCAGGGAUGGGGACCGCACUCUCUCCAGGCCAGCCCAGGCCUUGGAGCAGCUCUGAUGUGGACAGAGCUCUUCCCUGUGCUGACUGAACUCAACCUGCCCCCCUCGUCCCCCACUGAAGCCUCUCUGGAAGGGUCUGGGCUCCACAUGGGGCAGGGGCCGCGUUUGGCACUCAGAAGCUCUCCUUUCCUACUCGCAGGGCGCUGGGGGGACUACCAUGAGGUGGGGACUCGGGUGAUGUCUGUGGCUUGAUGGGAGAGUCACCUUCUACCACCUCUGCCUGCCUGGAGCAGCUCCCCCAGUGUUGAGGCCCCGGUUGCAGUCACACCUCCAGCCCUCUGUGCCUCUCCGCUGACAUCCCCCAGGUCUCUGUGCCUCUCUGCUGACCUAGUGGCCACCAUGGGUGUUUCGAGAGCGUGUACCAUUCCUCAUCUUAUGUCAUCUUUAUCACAGUCGUGUGGAAGGUGUGCUGGUAUGCCGUCUGUUCUAAUGAGUACUCAUUUAGUGCCUAUGCUGUGCCGAGCGGUGUGCUGGGGAUGAUGGCAACAAGCCAGGAUUUAGAGAAGGGUGGGGGCUCAUCUGGUGCCACCCAGCUGCUGAGGGCCCGAGUUAGCACAAAAGCCCAGGGGUGUGGGUGUCGCAGUGUGCUAGGUCUGGUGGACAAAGGAUGGGGGUGCUUAAACAGACACUCGUCUCACAGCUCUAGAGGCUGGAAGUCGGAAAUCACCGUGUCGGCAGGGCUCUGAGGGCAGGAGCUCUCUGUGACUUGUAGAUGGCUGCCUUUCCCGUGUCUUGCCCUAUCAUCUUCCUUCCGUGUGGGUCAGUGUCCAGAUUUCCCUUUCUUUUAAGGACACGAAACCAUAUGAGAUUAAGGGCCCGCCCUACUCUGCUAUGAGCUCAUGCUGAUUAAUUAAUUACAUCUUCAAUGACCCAGUUUCCAGAUAAGCUCAUUCUGAGGCAUUGGGGUUUAGAAGUUCAACACGUCAGUUUGGGGGGACGCAACUCAACUCGUAACAGUGUGCGAGUAGCCUAGGAUUUCCACAGCAAUGACCUGUCCCACAGUGGACCAGGCAGCCUGCGUGGUGGUGAGCAUCUCAUGCUGUGAGGCGUGCGAGGGGAGCGUCAAGGCUGCCCCGAGCCAUCGGGGAUACAGAGAGGAGAUUCCGACAUCAGGACCAGGACCUGGGCUUCUCGGAGGUUUGUUUCAGCUUAGCAUAUUAAGGGGGGGCUAGGAACAUGGCUCCCGGUGUGGGCCCCCCACAAGCCAGUCCCUGUGCACUCUGGGUGGAAGUCGGGGCUGGGACUCCCUGGCUGCUGCACCCCCUGGCUGGGUGAGCUCAGGCAGUUGUUUUCCCUGCUGGGCCUCAGUCUACCUGACUGAAUUGUCACAGGCUUGUUUUUGUCACAGGCCUCUAGUGAGGCUUGAAGGAGAGAGUGAAUAGGAAGCUGCUUUGCUUUUGUUCAUUUUCUUUUUUUUUUUUUUUAAUUUUUUAAUGUUUAUUUUACUUUUGAGAGAGAGCGAGAGAGAGAAAGAGAGAGACAGAGUGCGAGUGGGGAAGGGUCAAAGAGAGAGGGAGACAUGGGGAUCUGAAGCAGGCUCCAGGCUCCAAGGUGUCAGCACAGAGCCCGACACGGGGCUUGAACCCACGGACCGUGAGAUCAUGACCUGAGCUGAAAUUGGUGCUUAACCGACUGAGCCACCCAGGCGACCCUCUUCUGUUCAUUUCAUUUGUUGACUCAUAUUAAGUGCAUCUGUUCGCUAGGCCCUGUGCUGUCCCGGGGACACAGAGAUGAGAUGGUCAUAGUCCCGGCCCUCAAGGAGCACACAAGACAUGGUGGGGGACAGGCGGGUGAAAAUUAAGCCCCCUGUGGAGUCAGACUGCCUGGGAUCCCAGUCCCAGGUCUGCCUCUCGCCGCUGAAGUUAUGAAUUCAGUCUGUUUACUUAAGUAAACAGGGCCUCAGUCUUUUCAUUGGUAAAUUGGGAACAAUAGUAGCACCCGCCUUGUGUGGAUUAGUAGGUUGGUGCACAUAAGGGCUUAGAGCAGUGUCUGGCACAUAGUAAGUGCUCAAUAAACAUAAUUCUAAGUCAUCAGUACAGGACAGUGUGAUAGAGGGUGGUAGAGGGGCUUAUGGGGAGCUAUGCAUUGUUAGGCUCUGGGAACCCAACAGAUGUGGCCCCUUGCUUGCGUGGGCACCCUAUCAUCCUGUUAACCCUUUAGCCCUUUGCCAUCUUUUGCUCUGAGUGUGGGAUGAUGAGAGGGAUGUGGGGCAGGUGGGCCCAAAGGGAGAGGUUCGAGGCCUUCUGACAGUCACAGAUGGGUGUCCGGAGGGCCUGUGCGGCAGCUGCUGCCACUCCUGCCUCUGCCUCUGGGGUGCUCUGCAGUCAUGGAAGGGGUCCUGGGGUGCUUGGCUUUUGUUAGCCUUUGUGUUUAGUCCACGGGUUUCGUUUCGGGGAGAGAAGAUGGUGGGGAAGCCAAAUUAAAAUUCCGCUUCAAGAAGUGAACAACUUCCCAAUUAAAGGAUUCUUAUUUGUGAGAUGCCUUGGAGGCCUUUUCAAUCAAGAGGCUCUUCUGAGUAAGAAAAGGGCUUGAGCUGGGGUUGGAGAGGCGGGGCGGAGCCUGAGCUGCAGCCAGCGGGGUGGGGGAUGCGGAAGAUGCCCAGCCUUGGGAACCAUGGCUCUGUGUGAUGGGUGGGGUAGAGCUGUAGCUCUUUUUUGCUCGUCAGCGGGGGGUGGGGGCUGGCAUCGAGAGGGUAGAGAAGGGGGAACAGUCCCCACUCGAACCCCCUCAGCCCUUAAGCCCUCUCUGGCCCCAGCCUGCAUGCACCAGUGCCCUCCACCAGGACCCUUCUCUCUUUCUCAGCCGGCCCUGUGCUCUUGCACUCAGGCCAGAUGGAGCUGGGAGGAGGCUUGGGCGGGGUGUGUGUACGACAGUCUGUAAUGGUGGAGGUGGCCUGGACCUUGUGCUUAGGGGCAGCUAGAAGGGGGGCAGCAUCCUCUUGGCCUCUGAGAUUGGUUCCCUGGUGCCUAUGUCAUGCCUGUUAUCCUGAUGCAGGCCCUCCUGGUGACAUCUGGUUGUGGCUCUGGUGCUGUCUGGUGGGUGUGGCCACCUGCCUUUCGACCUGGCACCCCACCCCUCGCUAGCCAGCUGGUCUCCUGGGAGGCUGGAUCUGCCCUGGUUUAGGCUGAGUAUCUGCUGGGUGUCCCAGGAGGGACACAUCCUCAGAUUCUGCGAGAGUAAGCCAGCCUGGCACAGCUAUUGCCUGAACCCUACUUACAGAUGAGGAGCAGAGGCUCAGUGAAGUGCGGUGACCCCUCAACACAGAGAGUGCUUCUUGCUGAAAGGGGCUUCUCUUCCUCUGUCCCCUGAGGCCUUCCAGGUCACUAAACAGAAAGGAGCUGGAGGGGACAUUGGCCAAAGCCCUCCCCUCGGUGGACAGGCCGGGCCUUUAGCCCAAGCCCCACAGGGUCUGCCCCCAGGAGUUGCCAAGGUCAUUUGAGGAGACCUGCCACGGAUGGCUCUGCCAUCCAGGUGAUGUGGAGGGUGGCGGGAGUGUUUUCAGCCCACACCUGCCAUCCCCCUCCCCUAGCAUGUCCUACUUUCUGGGAGCCACUGCAGCGAGGCUGUCUGUGUAAAUACCCAGAACUGGGAGAGCCGGGCCCCUCUGAAAGGUCAACGGACCAUGUAGUUGCUCCCCAGAGCCAGUAAUUGGGAGAGCAUGAUGUACUGGUUGGGGACAGGGAGGGGGCCGUCCAGUAGCCAGGGAGAGGGUGGGCCAUCGGGGAGGAUGGGGUGGAUGCUCCAGACCUCAGGGGGGUUGUCCUGCUCAGGCACUCUGACCAGGCUGGGAGCUGGCUAAGUUCCAGCCCUGCCACUUACUGUGUGUUCUUUUUUUUUUUUUUUUUAAGUAUUUAUUUAUUUUGGGGAGAGCACAAGCAAGGAAGGGGCAGAGAGAGGGGAACAGAAGAUCUAAAGUGGGCUCUGUGCUGACAGGCUGACAGCAGUGAACCCGAUGCAGGGCUCAAACUCACAAACCGUGAGAUCAUGACCCAAGCAGAAGUCAGAUGUCAAACCGACCGAGCCACUCAGGUGCCCCCAGUCUGUGUGUUCUUGAGCAAGUGACUUGCCUCUCUGGACCUCAGUUUCCUCCUGGGUGGCACAGAUAACAGUGGAGCUGAGGUGGUAAGGGUCACAGAGGAUAGUGUGUGUGAUGUGGAGGGCUGGCGGGCCGUGUGUGUGGAAUGUGGGUUUGUGGACUGUCUUAACACCAUUUGGUGGGACUGGUUCCUGUUCCAGCCCUGCCGCUUGGGAGGGGCUUCACUUCUCUUAACCUCACUUUCUCCAUCUGCAUAAUAGGCGUAUGAUAACCUUUCUCGCAGGGGUCUGUACUCCAUCAUUGGGUGUCCUCUUUGACCUUCCCCCGACUCAUUUAAUGAGCCCAUUCUUCCUGAGUACCUGGUGGGGUUUGCCUGGGCUUGGUUGCCACAAAAUGAGUAGGUGACAUGGUCCCAGCUUUUAGUUAGCAAUGUGAAGUUAGCCAGAGGAGAUAUGCUGUGAGGCCCCAGGAAAGGGAGAUAGGAGCUGGAGAAGUCAGGGAGGGCUUCCUGGAAGAGGCCAGACCUUAGUGUUCAGGAGGAAUUGGGAAACAGGUGGGGCAGGGAGGAGUAUACAGAGGGCAGGAGAGCAAGCGCAGGGCAGCUUGUGAGCUCCUGAGAGCAGGCAGUGGGAGGGGGUAUAGGUCAAAGCCCAGAGAGGUCCCAGCCCUAGGGGAGUUGGGAGUGGGACAGCUGUGUCCAGACAUAGGACAGGGGGACAACAAACAUGCGGCCUCUAUCCCAGCACAGAGCUUGGCGCGGGGCCUGUGGGGAGGGUGGGAUUCAGUGUAGGGUCCAUGCACAGACAGGAGUCCCCAGGCUGCAGGGGCUUAGGUGGGAGGUUUGAAAGCCUGUGUGAGGCCUAGGAAGGGGCUGGUGGCAGCUUCCCAGAAUGUCAGGGUAGGCCUGUGGGGAAGCUCUACCUGGAGCUGGGGGUCAGCGUGAGAGCAGUAUCUAGCCACGAUUCGGGAACCAGGAGGUCUGGCUUCUCGAGGCCAAGAGACCAAGGAAUGGAGAAAUAGGAGGGUCUCUGGCAGGCUGGGAGGGCUGGAAAACUCACCUUUAUUGAGCACCCACUGUGUGCCAGGUUGAGUCAGACUUGCUCUGAACUUGGGCUUGCACAACAGCCCAUAGAGGGGGCUGGCACUUAGCCUCAUCCUAAGGUGUUGGAAACUAGGCUCAGAUUGGCAAGUGACUCACCUGCCCGGGUCAUAUUUCAAAUCUGAACUCCAAACUUCUUGCCUUUUCAAUGGCCCCACAGUACUCCCCAGGGCUGUGGUUUUUAGAGGCGAUGACUUCAGACUUCCCUGGGUAAGCUCAGUAAAGGGACAUCCAAAUAUGCGGUCUCCUUGGUUUUAUCUCUCUUGGCGGGGCUCAGAGGUUGAGGGUGUGCCCAAUGUCACACAGCACUGGGGGCUGCAGUGCCUGGCUCCCUGGAGAGGAGAUGUGUGCCCCUCACCUCUGUGGAGUGUGGUGGCCCCUGCCAGGCCCCACCAGGUCUAUGGACAGAGGAGUCUUUCCAUCCACGAGCCAACUCAGGUCUCUUAGUCACUGAGGGAGGCUUUAAAAUCUCAGCCCCAAAUUAAAACCUAUGAGUGCUUCAAAACAAUGAAAAAUUUCCCUAAUAAAAGAGGAGGCACACUCAGGCAUGUCCUAAAUGAAUGGAGUGACUUCCGGGAUUAAUCCAGGAUGUAUGGGAGGGCGCCCAGCCGGGAAAAGCGUGCGAUGGAGAUUGUAACAAAUUGUUUGCUCUCAAGAGGAAUAAUUCUUAAUGUGCACCGGCCGCAAGUGGAAGGCACCUUGGCCGCUGGCAGCCACAGUCCCUCAUUAGCCGGCCCUGAGCAGGGUCUCCGCUAGGGCGGCCUUACCUCUAGGCCUCUGGGCCUUCAGUGAUGACCUUCCAACCCCAUAAGCCAGUUGAGUGGGAGUGAGUGGGCCCCAAAUCUGUCCUUAGAGUGCCUGCCCCAGGGCCUUUAGAAUCCUGCUUUCUCCCCGGGCUCUGUGCCCUUGGCUAGGUGGGAGGGGCGGUGCUUGCUGAACAGUAUUUCCUCCUCCCCUGCUGUGUGCAGGCUCUUCCUCUAGGACCUCCUGAGACUCAGGCCUGCCCAUUCCUCCACCUCGGAUCACUCUGGGCAUCUCUGCACAGACGUGUCUCAGUUUACCUGUCUGAGCUUGGGCAAGUGCUUCCUCCCCAGCUCCCUGGUCUCAGGCACAGGAGGAGGUGGGGGCAGCACAGUUCUCCCCAGCCAGCCCUCCAGCCUCUUCCUUAGUCUUAGUGCUGAACCUGGGGAAAAGAGGCUAAGCCAGUUCUCACUGUGGAACACCACCUCUAAGGUGUGAAUGCUGGAGAAAGGCCUCCUGUGGCUCACUUCCCACCCCCAGCUGGGGUGUGGCCCACACAGAGACAAGAGCACCGGUUUCUGAGUGAGACAAGCCUGAAAUUUGGGCCCUAGCUCUCCACUCUCCAACUGUGGCACCCAGGCACCCACGGUCUUUCCCAGCUUCCUCGUCUUUAAGAUGGGAAUCUUUUUAUCCUCACCAUCGGCUCACAGUUCUGAGAGCACGAUCUCAUUCAGCCACACAACAGUCCUAGGGAGUGGGUCCUGUUAUCAUCCCCACUAUGCAUUUGAGGAAACUGAGGCUCAGAGAGGUCAAGUGAGUUGCACGGAGUAAGGUUGGACCACGACUCAGACCUGGGUCUCUGAGUCCCUGUCACUGCUUCAUAAAGUUGUUUAGAGAAAGGGGCCCAGAUCGUGGGUGCCGCUCUGUAGACCUCGUCUCCACCUGCUCCCUUUCCUCUGCUGAAGAGGUGCUGAGGCCCUUCAGAGGUUGAGGCAGGAGACACUGGCACAGGGAGCCCCGGCCCCCUUCUGGCCAACCCCGUCUGGCGUACAACUGACCUGUCCUUUUAUGCAUCCAUUCACUUAUCAAGCGUUUACGAAACACCUACUAAAUGCCAGGUGCUGUUCCAGGUCCUGGGGAAAUAGCACGUAGAACGUUACACACACUGAUUCUGCUCUCAGGUGGUUUCUAUUCUUGUGAGAGUGAGUGAGCCAGACCACGAAUAAUUCGGAUAACGUCAGAUGGCGAUGAGAUUGGGAGGGAAGGAAACAGGACGAUGAAAUAGGGAAUGGCUGGGGUAGGCUGGGUGGCUUUGGAGCAGGAGGCAUCCAGGCGAAGCCUUUCUGAAGAGGUAGCACCACAGCCAAGACCUCAUGUCUGAGAAGAAAUGGCAUUCCAGGCGGGCUGAACUAGGCAGAGGCCUGGUGGUGGGAAGGAGCUGGGUGUGUUUGAAAACCAGGAGGAAGAUAGCAUGGCUGGCAGUGGGGAAUGAGGGAGAGAGGGAGGAGGAGGGGGGAAAUGGGAGGGGGUGCUCAGAGGCCCUACUGAGGAGCAGGUUUUAUUCAGAGUACAGUGGGAAGCUCUGGAGAGUGCUAAGCAGGAGAGUGACAGGAUCUGAUUUGUGCUUUUCAAAUCUGGCCACCGUGGGGAGAGAAUGGAUUAGAGUCGGUGGCAGGGAAAGCAGGGAGCCUGGGGGAGGCAGGUGCAGGGUCUGGAGGAGAGCCGUGGGGUCAUAGCUGGGGGUGGCUGCUGGACCGUCCCCGUAUUGGGACCUACUGCACGUCUGUAGAUGCUCUCAGAACGGCUUCUCACGGCUCGUCACACUUCUUCCAAGGUCAAAGGCUUUGCUCUAUACACUGGGUCAUCUCAUUGCCAAGUCUGUUUUUCAGAUGAGGAAAUUGAGAGGCUCACCUCAGUCCCACACACGGCCUUCCUGCAGACAUCCAGCAUUGACAGGAGGGUGGCAGGGAAACUUGGGGAUCCCGGCACCAUCUCCCACUGAUGCCUGGCGUGUGUGUGUGCGUGCAUGCACGUGCGCGCCCACGAGCAUGCGCGAGCGUCAGGCCCAUUAACAAACAGAGAAAUAAAUUAACAAGUAUUCAACCCACCAAAUGUUCCUUCUGUUCUGUAUAAUAGAGCAUGGGAACAUAAUUUUCCCCUGGAGCAAAUUGCUACAGCUGAACCUGCUCCUCAUUUUCCUCCAAAAACUGCUUAAAAUUCUGGAAUGCUUGUUGAUUUUCGGGUCCUCUCCCUUUCUGCCUCCUGUCUGCACCCCCCAGGCUGCUUCCCUCUGCCUUCCCCAUGCAGGGCCUCAGAGGAGCCAGAUUGCCACAGAAUAAGAGGCCCCACCCUACUGACAGGAGGAACCCGGGGGAGCAGCAGCUCAGGCCAGGGGCAUAGAGGGUGAGGGACGUUGGGUGUGCUGAACUUGAAUGAAACGCCCAGGGCUGGCAGAAGGACCAGUUGCUUCCUAUUGUGCCCUGCCGUAGACAUGCUGUGCAACCUUGGGCACGUCACUGUCCUUUCUGGGCUUUAUUUUCCAAAACACACCUGCUGUUCCAAAUGAGCACACCUUGUGGUAUACUGAGCGCUCUGAAAAUUGAACCACCUCCUUCUGAGGACGCCAUGUUCAGGGAGUGGGAUGCUCCCCUUACCUAUUCCCGGGCCCUCCUGUGGAGCCUUUGGAAUCAGAGACUCUUGCCCUGCUUCUGAAACCCUCUAGGGCGUUUUUAAUUUUCUUAAAGCAAAUUAAUUUUAAUCCACUUUAAUUAAACGUGUCUUAUAAAAGUGUGUAUUUAUUUACAGACCUUCUCUUUCUCUGCAUAGCCUAACCAUUUCUGUCACUCAGAGCCCACUCCAGGUCUCCAUUUGCAGGCAGCCCCCUUAGGGGUGAGAACCUGGGAUCGGGGGAGGCCCCUGCAUGCUGAAUCCUGGCUGGCUUGGGUCAGGCUGAGUUACCUUUCAUGGUGGCAGAAAGGGAAGUGGGGAUCCUGAGCCUGGGAGCCACAAAAUUCCAACCUCCUACCCCCAGCUUGAAGAGUCUGGCUAUACUUUGUGGAAGAUGCAAAGAUCCACCAAUCCCACAUCUGUCUCUGUGACCCUCAGCAGAGGAGUUAAACUCCAAAGAAACUGCCGAGGCUUCUUGGGUCUGGUGAAGGAUGAGCCUUGUCUGGAGUCCACAGCUCUAGCUGGCUAGACUCUGGCCUGUCUCUGAGCCAUAGGACAGCCCCAAACUGUGUCUCCUCCAGGAAGCUCCCCUUGACUUCACCAUUGUCUUAGCCUGCUUGGUUGCUAUAACAAAGUACCAUAGACUGGGUGGCUUGAAAUUAAUUUUGUCACAGCUCUGGAGGCUGGAGGCCUGAGAUCAGGGUGCCAGCAUGGUUAGGUUCUGGUGAGCGCUCUCCCUGGCUUGCGGAUGGCCGCCUUGUUGUGUGCUCAGACAAUAGAGAGAGACAAAGAGAUAUAUUUCUGCUGUCUCUCUUUUUUUCAUGUAUAUUUAUUUUUGAGAGAGAGACAGAGUACGAGCAGGGGAGGGGCAGAGAGAGAGAGAGGGAGACACAGAGUAUGAAGCAGGCUCCAGGCUCUGAGCGGUUAGCACAGAGCUCGAUGCGGAGCUUGAACCCAUGAACCAUGAGAUCGUGACCUGAGCCGAAGUUGGGCACUUAACCAACUGAGCCACCCAGGCGCCCCGUGCCAUCUCUCUUUAUAAGGGUGCUAAUCCUAUGAAAUUAGGGCUUCACUCUUACGACCUCAUAUAACUUUAUUUCCUUACUGCAAAUAUAGUCACGUUGGGGGGUUAGGGAUUCAGCAUAUGAAAUUUGGGGGGAAAAAUUCAGUCCCUGACGCCAUCCCUGCACUCCUGUCUCCUGGCUACCGUGGAGCUGCACAAUCUAGCAUUUGUUGUAAAUUGCUGGCUUUAAUUUUCUCCACGGUCUCCUCCCAGUACAGUCUCCCAGUACAGUCCUGGGAAUACUGGGGGGUCCAAAAUGGCACUGUGGCUUGAGCUGCUUCCUGGCUGAGGCUAUGAUGAGUGGUGAGUGGUACUCUACCCCACCCUCUCCCCGUGUUGGUUGUCUGAGGUAGGGGAGCCUCCAGACAACCUCACCUGCCAUGUCCUUUGUUUCAGUGGCCCACUAUUGUUCUCAGUGAAAGUUUAAUCCCCGCUGGCAUGCUUUCCAAGGCCCUUUGACCCUAGCCCCUGCUUCACCCCUUUAGUCUGUUUCCUGUCCUCUUCCUUGUCCCCAAACAUGUCUUAUUCAUUUGUUUCCUGUUUUUGUAGCUGUUGUUCCUCUUGCUAAAUGUGAAGUAUCUCCUCAUCCGGUCAGUAAACUCCUACUUAUCCUGCAAAGCCCUCCCAAGCACAGCCUGCCCUGAUCCCCUAGGCCGAGUUGGUCUCUCCCUCCUCUGAACACCCAAGACACUCUGGGCUAACCUGCCACACUGUGCUUAACACCCUGGAUGGUCCUUAUCAGGGGCUGUGUCUGGUUAACCGCUGGGUCCCAGUACCUCCUCGGUGCCUGGCUCCAUAAUUGUCUGUGGAGUGAAUGAAUGAAUAUUUAUUGAGCACCUACUAGUCGUGGGAGGCUGGACCUCGGAGGCUGUCAUCAUGGAGCUUACACUCAACAAGAUGCAUAAGCAACAUAUGUGUGGAGUUAGUGAUAAUGUCAAGUAGAAAAAGAUAAAUCAGGGAAGGAGGCAGAGGAAAUGUGAGGGGUGGGGGUGCCCCCGUUGAGAAGGUGACUUUUAGGUAAAGACCUGAAGGAGGUGAGGGAGCCACGUGGAUACCUGGGGAGAGUGUUCAAGGCCAAGGGAACAAGUACCCCCAGGUGGGAGCAUGCCUGACUUGUGUGCAGAGCAGGGGGGAGGCCGUAGUGGCAGGGGAAAGGGGAAGGGGAGAGGGGGGUGGGAAUUGUUACCAGAAAGCAAACGGGGCCAGAACUUGCAGACUGUUGUAAGAACUUAGGCUUUAGCUCUGAGUGAGACAGGGGUCACUGUCUCACUUUUGACAGAGUGACAUCUGUGACUUGGGUUUUCAGGGUCCUUCUGGCUGCUGUGUUGACACCGUGGGAGGUGGGUGUCCAAGGAGGAGGCUAUCGCAGUAAUCCAGGAGGGAGGGAUGGUGGCUUGGACCAGGACUGUGUCUAUGGGGAUGGAGAGAAGUGCUCCGAUUCUGGAGAGACUUUGAAGGUAAAGCCAACAAGACUUGCUGGUGGUGGGUCACCUGUGGGGGUGAGGGAAAGAGGGAACUCAGGGCUGACCCCACGGUUUUGGGGCUGGCUAGCUGGGGGAUUCUACUCCCUGGAACAGAAUCAGGCUUAGGGUAAAAUGAGGCACUCAGCUGUGAUCAGGGAAGUUUGAUGCACCUGUAAGCCAUCUAGGAGGGGUGUUGAGUAGAUAGUUGGUGACUGUGGCAGGCUAAAUAAUUCCUCCAAACAAGUCAGUGUCCGAAUCCUCGAAACCGGUGCAAAUUCCCUUAUAUGGAAAAAGUCUCUGCAGAUGUGACUAAGUUAAGGCUCUGGCGAUGGGAAGAUUAUUCUGGAUUGUCCGCAACCAUUCGUGUCCUUAUAAGGGGAGGCAGAAGGAGACUGACUACAGAGAGGAGAAGGCCGUGUGACCACAAGGGCAGAGGUUGGUGUGAUGUGGCCACAAGCCAAGGAGUCCUGACAGUCACCAGAAACUGGAGGAAGCAAGGACUGGAUUCUCCUCUAGGGCUUCUGAAGGGUACAGGCUCUGGCUGACAGCUUGAUUUGGGCCCACUGGAACCAAUUUCGGAGUGGUGGCCUCCAGACCCGUGAGAGAAUAGGCUCCUGUGUUUUAAGUCACCCAGCCUAUGGCAGUUUGUUCUGGCCGCCCUAGGAACUGGUACAGGUGUAACCGGCCUGGAGAGAGGGUGAGUGAUGUGCCCUCAGUGUCCCGGCCCAGGAAGAGAGGGGUGCGUGCCCUCCUGCGGGCUGUGGGGUCAGAAUGCCCACACCAGUGGCAUCACACCUCCACCAGGAGGGCGGCAACGCUGGUGGUAACCGUGCCUCUGUGUCCUGCCUGCCCCGUGCCGGUGCUGCACUCGGUGCCGACUGAAUCCCGGGGGACGGGCGGGGUGGUUGGGAGGCUGCAGCCAACACCUGCCAUGGGUCAGGGCCAGCGCCUCCCUGGGGAGUUGUGGGGUGGGGCGGGGGGGGGGGGGGGCAAGCCUCACCCGCCCAGGCUAGAAGGCGGCUCUGAGCAGAGCCCUUACAAACUGGGCUCCGAGACCAGCCUGCUUGGCUUUGAAUCCUGGAUCCUCUACCCACAAGCUGGGUGGCCUUGGCUGUGCCUCAGUGUCCCGUCUGGACACUGGGUGUAUUAGUAGUGCUGACCUCUUAAAUUAUUACAUGUAAACGUAUAAAAUGCUUAGAACAUGUCAGGUUUUAAUCCUUAGGCCUGGGGGUGGGGGCAGGACUGUGGUAGAGGAGCUUUACGGUCCAUGGUUUUGGGUUUGAAUCCCAGCUCCCUCAUGGACCAGUUGUGCGACCGUAGAGGCCCUGUUUUCUCUUAAUGCUGGCUGCCUGCAGGGCCAUUGGGGGAAGGACUUGGUGGCCGAUAUGUAAUGGGCCUGUUAUGUUGGGCUCCCAAGUUGGGGGCUCAGCCAGGGUUGGCUCCCAUCCCUCCUUCUCAGCUAAGUCCUGGGCAGGUGAACCAUCCCCCAGCCCACCUACACUGUGAGCAGAUUCUUUCUUAGGGCAGCAAGGGGUGCACGGUCGAGGGGGGGCCAGGGACUCUGCAGUGGUCCUGGGUGUGGCAGGGGCAUGGCCAGGGCAGCCAGAGUAAAACCUUAAUGCAUCCAUUAACUUGCCGUGACUGUGUGUUUGUGAUUCAGCGGCCUCAGCAGCAGCAAUGUAUUCAGGCCCUGUUAGAAUCUGCAGGGAAGACAUGUGGUGAUAUUUACAGCCCAAAUCUCUGUCCUCAUAAAGGGAGGCGGUGGUAGGGGUUGGGAGGGGGAGGGAGGGGCUGGACUUUCUGAUAAUGUCAUAAAUGGAGUCUGUCUCCCUGGAAACGGCAGUGGCGGUGGCGGCCACAGGCUGACAGAUGUGCACGCCGUAAUAUGGGCCCAUGGUGGUAGUGGCGGGGACAUUGGGAGGGAUGGAUGGGCUGUAACUCACCAAGCCUGGGGCUCGGGGACAGCCGGCUACAAUGAGAGCCUGGUGGGGAUGCCGAUAGAGGGAUGGGGGCUUGGAACUGGGUAUCUGGGGGACCCUGGGGUGCCUGCUGCUGGCCAGGGUCUGGGGGAGACCCUCCUGCCUCUGGCCUCUGGCCCAAGGCCAACCUCAGAGAUAAGCCAAGCUGUUAGGGAGACAUUGUCAGAGUUACAGGCCUUCCCCAACUCUCUAGUGAUGGGCACACGGGACCCACCUGUACAGUGUUGUUCUAGGCCUAGAGAGGCACGGACAUAGGGUGGAGUGCUGGAGAGCCUUGGUUCAGGCUAUGGGAGGCUGUAUCACAAGGAGCAGUGAAUCUAGUGUGAGAGGGUUGAUGAUUAGAAGGCCCAGACAUGCCUGGAAUGCUCAGCCCUGUCCAUGGCUGAGUGUGUUGGGUCCACACAGCCAGAGCCCCUGGGACCAGGGCUUUACCCAAGUUGUCUCAUUUCAGAGAGAGUGGGGAGCUAGCCUUCAGUCAUCCAGCCAGUCAGUGCUCUAGUCUGGACCCUACUUUGGCCCAGAGGGACACUGGGAGGAAGUGGGAAGCAAGGAGGGACUGGGACCCGUGAGCUGGAAAAUGGCAGGCUUGGGGCAGCUCCUGCUAUCCAGCAAUCUCUGAGGGGCAGAACCCUUCCCCCAAACCCUGGCCUGCGAUGGGGACCAGCUGCCCAAGGGCAGAGCCCAGUCCAGGGAGGGACAUUCCCAUUAGAAUUCCAGAGGGCCAGGCUGCUUUGGGUGGUGGUGAGCGUGCUGUCAGCAUAAGUAUGAAGAAAGCAGGGGCUUGAUAGGCAUGGCUGAGGAGACUGGGGAGGGAAUUCCUGGUGGAGAGAGGGGCAGCUCUGGGGGACUGCCAUCCUGAGUUCUAGGAGAUACGCCAGCCCACGACAUGAGCUGGGCCUGUGGCUCUGCUCUGCUCACAACAUGCGUUGCAUCUGAGCCCCAGGUCCACGUUGCGGGAGACCUAUGUUCUAGUGCCGGCGUGGCCCUCCCUUGCUGUGUGACUUUAGGUGGAGCCCUUGGCCUCUCUGGGGCAGAAACAAGGAGCCCUGGGGCUGUGAGCUGUGAGCUGCUGUGGAAGGACCUUAGGGCCUGACCACAGGGCGCUGACUCCAGACCCUCUUGGCCACUUUUCCUGCAUAGAUGGUUGGACCUGGGUAAAGGGCGAGGCCAGACAUCCAGGAGCACAGAUGGAUGAUCUCUGUGACCUGGCUCAGGGCUCAGCCUGGGGUCAGCAAGCCGCUUUCCAUCUGCUGCUGCUGAGGAGCUAUUGGCGCCACGACCUGUGGGCCUACUGCUCUCAUUACUGAUCUGUGCAGCCGGGGCAGGUGGGCUGCCGGACCGUGUGUGGUGGGUACUCACGCUCAGCUCGGGGGUGGGCACCGGGGUUGUGUCUGUGGGUGCAGUGUGCGCGGGUGUGUGUGCGGGCGCGCUGGGUGCUGGGGGUGGGAGCAGGCCCCUGCGGGAUGCCGCGUAACCAGAGGUGUGUGCAUUGACUCUAAACUGGAAGGUGCUCAUCACGCAGUGUUGUGUUAGUUUCAGGGGUACCGUAACUGAUUCAGCAGUUCCAUACGUUACUCAGUGCUCCUCAUGAUAAGUGCACCCGUAAUCCCCUUCACCUAGUUCCCUCAUCCCCCUAUCCAGCUCCCCUCUGGUAAUUAAUUAAAGUAAAAAACUCAAAAAAACCCCACAAAACCCUGGAAGGUACUCGAGGGGCAGUGGGCCCUGCCCGGGGUGAGGUCGGCAAGGGGCUGGGGGGCUUGGCUGGGGAUGGAGUGGGCCUUGGGCAGUAAGUAAGGCCUGCCAGGCACAGUCAGGUGCAGCCGGCGUGAGCCCGGUGUUUCAUGUGAGCGAAGGCCCACACUCUCCUGCUCACCUGAGGAGCCAAGAAAACUUUCUGGGAAAUCUAGCGGCACUCCCUGCGCCCUCUCACCUCCCCACAACUGUCCCACCGUGGCCUCUGGCUCGCCUUGCCUGUUCUCCCCAGAGAGGGCAUGGGCUGGCCUGCAGCCUCGUGGAGGAGUGUGGGCUUCCCGCCUUGGGAGCAGCUGAGGAGGGCAGCAGGCUGGGGUGGGCUCCCCAUUUGGGAUUGUGUGUACCUGUUGCUGUGCCGGUCAGAGCUCAUGAGGGGUUAUGAGCCCACCCAGCAGUCAUGACUCAGUGACCCCUUUGGGGCCAUGGGUUUGUGGGCCUGAGGAGGGAUAUUGCUUAUGAGGGCUGGAGGGAGCCUGAGCAGUGCUCUCAAGAUUUAAGGGAGGGGCAGGUGGGGCUUGGGGACCCCUGAGUAAAUGGCAGGGGGGUGCCUCUGAGCACAGGGAGAGCAGCUGCUCCUCGGGCAGGUUCCCAGGGUGAGGGCACUGGAGAGCUGGGCUCUGGGCAGGGCCUCUGGAGGGAGGCUGGUUGGCCCCCAGUGAGUUUCCAGGGCUGUGAAGUGGGAUCAAGAGCCCUAUUCUUGGGGUGCUGGGGUGGCUCAGUCAGGUAAGCGUCCGACUUUGGCUCAGGUCCUGAUCUUGCAAGUCUGUGAGUUCGAGCCCUGCAUCGGCCUCUGUGCUGACAGCUUGGAGCCUGGAGCCUGUUUCGGAUUCUGUGUCUCCCUCUUCCUCUGCAUCUCCCCCACUCAAGCUCUGUCUCUCAAAAAUAAAUAAAUGUUAAAAAAAAAAUGAAAAAAAAAAGUCCUAUUCAAAGCUUCUCAUUCUUCCAGGCUGUGUGACCCCCAGCGAGUGCCUUUAUCCCUGUGUGACACUGUGUAAUGAUAGUUCCUGUCUCGUAGGGCCCCUUGUGCUGGAAGGUGCCGAGAGCUGAAGACUCAUGCGUGCGGCUGGGGCUGGAGUCAGGCUGGGGUGCGUGGGCUUCCAUGAUGGGAAGUCUGGCUGCCCCCGUGCAGAUUUCACCUAUCAGCUACCACUCACUUGGCUGAGAUUCACCUCAUCUGUUAAGGACCUUGAGAGGGUGAACCUCGUGGGGCUCUUAUACCAUUUAGUCAAGCCCUGCGCACAGUAGGUGCUCAUUAAAUGUUGGUCAUCAUCUUUAUAGUAUAAGGAUUGAAUGUAUUUGGAGCUCAAGGCACCUCCCUGCCCCCACCAGGCUCCUUCGUCUGUGCUCUUUCUGUCUGUGCCAAAGCCUCCUAGGAACAGAGUAUCCAGGGCUCCUUAGGUCCCCGCAGUCACAUAGGCCAGCCUCCAUAGCUCAGAUGUGGAGACGGAGGCCUCAAGGGAGAGGGCCACUGCGGGGGACCUGGGCCCUGUGAGCAAAUGCUCGAGAACCAGGUGAGGCUGAGUUGUAGAAGUUUGGGGGAUGGUAGGAGGGGAAGGAGAGACUGAAGCCCGCUCCCAGGGCCCCCCAGCUCCCAUAGCCGAGCUGGUUCCUGCUAAUUAGCGCCUUAACGAACCAUGCUAAGGCACUCUCCCCAAGCCUGCUCCCAGACAGAUAAUUACAAUGAUUUUUUGGCUUCUGGGGGGAGGGGCAGCUGGAGGUGGUGGGGGAGAGGGCUUUUCUGGCUUUUUUACUGCCCACAGGGAUUUUCAAACCUACCCACUCUUGCCUCAUUUGGAACAGGAAAAAAAGUGUUAAUGGACCUUUUUCUGCAGCUGAGAGGGACAAUUUAUGAUAGAGGUGACAAACUUCAUUUUAAUGAGAGGCAAAUUCUACUUUACUUUAAACUACAGAUUUCCCCCAGUUGUCUGUGGAUGUGGGGCAUUGAAAGUGGAAGCUGAGGUGUUGGGUUGGAGGGCCUGGGAGUGGGCUGACUACACAGGGAAGAGGUCCCCGCCCGGGCCUCAUGCUUAGUGUGUUCACACACAGGUUCCCUCUUUUUCAGGGAGUGCUUAUGGCCUCCAUUUAUGAAGAAGAAACUGAGGUUGAGAGACGUUGCAAAGACUUGCCCCAAACCGCUUUGGAAUUUUGAAUCAGGCUGACACCACAUUCUGUACUGUCACUCCUCUGUCUUCCUGCCUGACCCAGGGGGUGUGGGAGUCCAGCCAGGUCACUCCCAGGGGCGGGGACAGGGAGUGCAGGUUAGAGAAGGCUGGCCAGCUCUGGCCCUGGAACACCCGUGGUCGCACUGACCAGGAGCAGGGCCGCACAGAGGAUUGUAACAUCAGACCCCGAAACCUGGCUGGAGGGGGACGAUCCUGUCCACCGAACAGAGAGAAACUCAAGGUCAAAGAGGACAGGUGGCCCUCCCAGUCCCCCACAGCUUCUCAGGGCCAGAGCUGGGAUAGGAGCAGGUACCUUAUACCCAGGAUGUGGAGCUAAGCCUACUUCCUUACUGAGUUACCACAUCUGUGGAAUGGGCCUUAUCACACCCUGUUCACAUGUAGGCAAUGGGUUGGCAGUGGCUUCUGGGGUCCCUGUCAGUCCCCUGUACUUCUUGGGCCCCACCCCAACCUCUUGGCCCAGUUUUUAGGGCCCAGAGGCCAACCCUCACUUGCUCCUCCUCAGGGGUCCCCAUGGGCAACUGGGAGCUCUUGUUUGUAGAGCUUGGAGAGGGUCUUGGAAAGCAGGACCAGGGGUGGGGGCUUUUUUCCUAUCCCAUGAGAACUUUCUGUGGAGAAUCCUAGGACUGAGAGAAAUAAUGGCUGUCAGACCCUGGGUUUUCUAGAUCAGAGGAAUCUAUUGCAGAGCCCUGCCCCUCCCUUUCCUCCCCAACCUGGCACCCUGUGAAGCAUGAGGACAUGUGGGCUGUGGGCUCAGUGCACAGUGGCUGUGGUUAGUGCACCAGAAUCAGACCCCAGCUUGCAUGGGGGACUUUGGGCAGUCACUGGGAACUUUGGGCAGAUCUCUGUUCUCUGGGAGAAAAGUGGGUUAAAACCUGCCUCUUGCUGGGGUGGUGGAGGGCAGAAAUAGGAUGCUGUGUGAUGUUGGUAGCAGAUAUAAAAUUCCCAGAAGCAUGAGAUUUUUAGCAUCCCAGACCUUUAGAAGUCCAGGGUCCUUAAACAUCAAGGAGUUUGGAAGGAGCCCUCUGAGCCCCUGGCUCAGUCCUGACUCUGGAGGGGGCUUGCUCCUCCCCUCAGGGCUGUGAUGCUGGCCUUCCACUUCCGCUUGGCCUCUGUCCUUUCUCUGACCCUGUCUUACCCACCCAGGUACCUGUGUUGUGUCAGGGUGGGGUAGGAUUUUCCGUUCUGAGAGCAGGGAAGGGUUGCAGGGGCCUGAAUAUGGGGACUAGCCCACUCUUUUGGGCUCCCUCUGUCUGGGCAGGGAUGGUGCAUGGUGGGUGUCUAGGUGCUCCCUAGGUCCUGGGCGGCGGCCUGCCAGGCCAGGCUGGGAGUACCAGUCUCCUGUGUCCUGGCCUUGAAUAGCUAAGCCCUGCCCUGGCCUGUCCAGGGACCAGGAAGGGCUUGCUGACUCCUGCCGAGUCGAGGAGGAUGCAUCAUUCCUGGGGAAGGCCCCUCGGUGUGGAGUCAGGCUUGGGUCUGAAUUCACCUUUCCUAAUGUGUUACCCGCCUGAGUCCCUUAGCCCCUCAGAGCCUCAGUUUCCCCAUCUGUAAGUGCAGCAAUGAUCUGAUCCUCUGGAUAGUUCUAAAGAUUCACCCAGCACCCAGCACUUAGUAGGUUCUUUCCCAAGAAGAGGGCAUUGGUUUCGGGGCCUGCCUCUCUGGAGGUGAGCCUGGGAAGAGGUGCCAUGGAAUACUCCACUCCAGCUGAGAGGACCCGGGGUUAUUAUGCUUCCUGGGACUCGGGCCCCAAGUUGUACGUCCCCCCACCUCCUGAGGACCAAGCUUUCCAGGCUGGCAUAUUUGAGCCCAGAUCCCAACCCCAGCUCUUACCACAGUGUGACUACGAGCAGUUCUCUACACGUGUCUGGGCCUCAGUUUCUCCACCUGGAAAAUGGGGCAGAUCAGGGUCUCAGAAUGAAAUAAGUACCUGUGUGUUGCCCAUCUAGCACACAGCAAGCACAUGUGGAAGGGCAGGUCCAUGGGUGUUAAUGAGGCAUGUAGGACGUGCUUGGUGGUGGUGGCUAUUUCAGGCCCUCCCCAGCCCCUCUUCCCAGUACCGUCUGUGAUCAUGGUGUGGGGUGGGGGUGGGGCAUAAGGCGAGUGGAUAAUAGCUGUCCAGCACCGUCAGGUAUGGGUACUGUCCACCAGGGGUAGGUGGGGUGCUGAGGGGCUGGCUCUCUUCCCUCAUCCUGUCACCAUGGUAGUCCCCCUGCCUCCAUCCUUGUCUCUAAUUGGGAUUGAAAUUGCUCAACCCACCCUUGGAGUAUGGCUGGGUGGAGUACUGGAAGGAGGUGCCCUCCUUGCCCCUUUGCUGACCCUGGCCACUCUGUUGGCCAAAGAUCUCCCCGAGUACCCACUGUGUGCUGGGGGAAGAAAGAAAGAGGCCCAUGCAUAGUCAUGGGGAAGACUUUGAGAGGUCAUGGAAGGCUGGUUGCAAGAGCGACCUCAGGAGGACUUGAGGUAGGUUAACUGGGCAGGAGAAGGGAGGACCCUUUAAGCAGGUGGCCCAGUAAGAGCAAAGGCCUGGAGGUGGGGUUUCCUUCCUCACUGUGAGCUCUUGGCAGAUUUCCACUCAUCCAAAGGCCAGGCUUCAGCAUGGUCCCUCUGGAGACUUUUGCUGACUUUGUGGCAGCUGGUAGAGGCUUCCUGCCCUGGCCCCCACCCUGCCAUGGACAGCCUCCUCUGUUUCAGUCAGGAUGCUGCUAAGUGGUCAUUAGCCCUGAUUCAGCUCUGUGGCCAUAAACCUGACCAGGGCUAUAUGCCAGGAUCCAUAAAUUGUUCCUCAGAGCAGUGGGAGCCAUGGCAGGAUCUUGAGCAGGAGAGGCCUGAGUGAAAGCCGAGCUUAGGAAGAAGGACAGGGCAGGAAGGCGCAUUUGGUAAUGGCUGCUGCAAGCAGAGAGAACUUCCUGAGAGAGGAAACCUGUGCCCACACCCUGCUGCCCCACUCUCCCCUCAUGGCAGCAGUGCCUCAUGUGACUUGAGUGAGGAAUGAACUGAGGGUGUAGAUCACCUUGGUGAGGUGGGCAUCAAUUUCCACUAACAGGUUGGGCCAUGACUUCUCUCUCCUGCUCUCCUCUGACGAGCCUGGCUCUGGGCUUGGCUGCGGUGAUGGGUGGGGAGCAAAAGACAGAGUUGGGGGCUGGGGAGCAGGUUCUCCUGUCCCCCCUCCCUACUACCUGUUCCCUUCCUUCCUUCUCCAGGCCUGGACAUGGUAUCCCUGUCCCUGUCCCAGCCUGCCCCUCAGUGUCACUAUCUCUGAAGAAAUCAGAGUUCUCCUACAGACCUGGUGUGGAAGGUCUUCCACAUGGCUCUUCCUUCAUGGCUCUUCCCUCAAUUUGUGUUUAUUGCUUUAUUUGCUUAAUGCGCAGCUGCCUUGUCCACAGCCUUUUCCCCGGUGCCUGGGAUGGAGGAGGUGCUCAGUAACUAUUUGUUAAAUGAAAGACAGAAAAACUCAGUAGGCUACUGGCGUGGGCAGACCCUUGCCCUCAGGAAGCAGCCCCCAAAUCAGGAUGUAGCAGAGGAGGAAGAGGAAGUUGAGGGCUUCCCUGUCUGACCCUGGGGUCCUGCUUCUUCUGGCCCUUUAAGGAAAGGGAGGGGGCCCAGGUGUUGAAACCCAGCAGGGGUGGAGGCAGGGGCUGACCAGGAGGGUAGGGUGCUGGUGGAUGGGGGUGCUCUGGGCCAUGAACACUUACAGUUGAGGGCAGGGGAGGGGGAUAUUUAGGGCCAGGCAAGACCCCACUGAGAUGGGAGGAGGCCAAGUGCAUUGCUCUGUGACAAACCUUACUAAACCCUUCCCUGGGCCAUCUGCCACUUCUCUGGAGCAAACUUUUUCAGUUCUUUUUGUGGGUUGUGUGUUUACUUCCCUCAUUCUAAAUAACUGGCUUGUAUGGCUGCUCCUUGAUUUUCCAGUUUCAGGCAUUACUGAGUGACUUUUACUAUAGAAGCUGAGGUGGGUGCCUGGGUGGCUCAGUUGGUUGAGCCUCCGACUUCGGCUCAGGUCAUGAUCUCAUGACUCGUGAGUUUGAGUCCCACAUCAGGCUCUGUGCUGACAGCUCAGAGCCUGGAGCCUGCUUCAGGUUCUAUGUCUCCCUCUCUCUCUCUACCCCUCCCCACCCAUGCUGUGUCUCUCUCUGUCUCAAAAAUAAACAAACAUUAAAAAAGAAAAAGAAGCUGAGGUUUAGCUCCAUUUGACCACUCACCACUCCCGCCCCCACUACAUUUUUGGUUGGCUGAGCUUCCCAGCUGAGCCAUAUAGAAUACUCUGAUUACUUUUCCUUUCUUGUUUAGCUGUUUUCCCUGGUGUUAAUAAUUGUCCUUUUCUUUGGGUGGGGAAGAGGGCUUAGUUUUUGCUUUUUGUGCUUAUCCCUAAAGCAAUUCCCUGCUCUUCUCCAGUUGGGUAAAUCUCCUUUCAACAUAAGUAAACAUAUAAAGUACUCUAUCAAUUUUAUCUUGGAGAAAUCUCUUCCUGAGCCUUCUGACCUGCUCCAGUUUGGUUUAUUUGGACACUGGUUGUGCUAUGGGCAUAAGGGGAUGGCUCACCUCCAUUGCUCAGGGGUCCAUUACUCAGCUCUCUGGGCUUGGGCCUCUUGCUUCCUGGAUCCCACAUCUUCCCCUUCUUAUUUUACAUUCUUGCUUUGGCAGAAUCCACCCUCCAUCACCUUCCGGAAAAGGUUUGUGGGAGAGGGGUUGUGAGACUGCCUGUCUGAAGACUCUUUGUCACUUUGAGUGGUAGUUUGGCUGGGUAUAGAACUCCAGAUAGAGAUCUCUUCCCCAGAACUUUACAGGGGGCCCUCCCUUGAAAGCCGUUGCUUUGCUGUUGCUAACAAAGUUGGUGUGGGGGGGCUCCACCACUGCUGGGGCAUUGAUUUUGUGUGUGCCACCUGGGAUUUGUCUUUCUGGAAGCCUGGAGGUGAUAGAUAAUUCAAUAUGCUGUGUCUUGCUGAGGGCCUGCCUUUUCUUUUUCUUUUUUAAAUUUUUUUUUCAACGCUUUUUAUUUAUUUUUGGGACAGAGAGAGACAGAGCAUGAACGGGGGAGGGGCAGAGAGAGAGGGAGACACAGAAUCGGAAACAGGCUCCAGGCUCCGAGCCAUCAGCCCAGAGCCUGACGCGGGGCUCAAACUCGGCGAGAUCGUGACCUGGCUGAAGUCGGACGCUUAACCGACUGCGCCACCCAGGCGCCCCAAGGGCCUGCCUUUUCAAAUCGGAAGUUCAUGUUCUUCAGCCCUGGAAACGUUUUUGAUUUACUCCUUUAUGAUUUCCUGACCUCCAUCUUCUCUGUUCUCUCCUUCUGGAUCCCUAAUCAACCAGAUGUUGUGCUUUGUGGAGGGACCCCUAACUUCAUCUUUCCCCUCCUUUGUCUCAACUUCUGUAUCUUCCUGUCCCUGUUUCUAGGAGGUUUCCUCUAUGUUGCCAUUCUGCCUUUCUAAUGGAGUGUUUGAUUUGUAAGCUUUAAAUUUCAACGAUUCCUUUUAAUUUGCUGAAUGUUCUCUUUAAAAUACGUUGUACUGAGUUCUUGUUUCAUGGAUACUAUAGGUUAUUUCUGUGAAGAUGAUGAUAGCUGUCUCUCUUCUGUCUGCACUGCCUGUCUCCUUGUUUGCUUGCUUGUUUGGACACCGUCUUUUCUAUUAGAAGUUUCCUCAGGUAAUUCACUCUGCAGAAAUGUAUGGAGUACCUUCUCUGUGCCAGCCCCCUUCUACAACCUUGAACAAAAUGGUCGAAAGUCCCUGAGCUGGUGGAACUGACAUUCAAAUGUCUGGCAAUGCUCAGUCGGUAGCUCCUAUAUAGGAGGGGGCACCUAAGGCUGGUUGGCAUCCUUGGUGUGUGGGCAGGCUGGACAACUGUGCUUCCCUGUGGCUGGCCUGCCUGGGCUGGGGACCUUGAUGGCAGAGCCUGUUGGAGCUUUGCGGGAAAGGGAGACUGGGGCUGAGCCCUGAAAUCCGGCACAUAGACUCUCACCUUUCUCCUUCAGUUUCCUGUGUGGUCCCCCACCUUCCACCUCUCCUGGUGUUUCCCAGUCUUCUCUGGGUGGAGCUGAUAAUGGGAGCUCUUGGGGUCUAUCUGCUUCUUACGUAGCCUUCCAGCCAGUCCUUCAUUCCUGUGUCCACAGUGCUACGUGGUGCCCCUGGUUACUGAGCCUCUGGUGGGUUCUGCCAGGUAAUAGGACCAGGACUUGGGAUGCUGCUGUCUCAGCUCUGCCAAGUCAAUUACCAUUCACUCAUUUGCUUUCCAACUUCCAAAAUUAUGUUGCUGUUUCCUCUUCCAUUCUUUGUCCUUGUGGAUUUAUGUACAGAAAAGAUCCGUUAUUGCUGUAAUGGAGUUUUGGAAAGGAGUAAGGGAAAGUGCAUGUGUUCAGUCUGCCGUUGUGAAUCUGUAUGUCCCUCCGACUGAUCUGUUCUUCUGCCGGGGAACAUUUAGAGCAUCUUCCCUUUUCACUCUUAUAAACAAGGCUGCGGUGAGCAUUGUACAUCCUCCUUGCGCAUGUGUGGGAGUUUCUCUUGGACUGGAAUUGCUUGGUGGUAGGGUAUGCGCAUCUUCAGCUCUACAAGAUAAGGCCAAAUUGUUUCUCCAAAUGCUUGUAGCAACUUCCACUGCCCCCAGCAAUGCAUGAGAGGUCCCGCGGCUCCACAGCCCCAGCAAACACUCAACACUGUGCCUUUUUAAAUUCCCGCCAAUUUAAUGGUACAGAUUUUACCUGGUAGUUUUACUUAGCGUUUCCUGGCCCUCUGCUGAGCUGAGGCAAGUCUCAUCAUGUUUGUUGGCCCUUCGGGUCUCCUCAUCUACCAAGUGCCUGUUCCUGUUCUUUGCCUUUUACAAAAAGUGGGUGAUUUGUCUUUUUUUUUUUAUUGAUUUGCCGAGUUCUUUAUAUAGCCUGGAAACAAAUUUUUUUUGUCGGCUGUAUGUACUGCAGGUAUAUUCUUCUGGUCUGUCUAUGGCUUUUCGUUUCCCUUUGUGAUGUCUUUUGUUACACAGAUGGUUUAAGUUGUAACAGCCAAAUUUCUCGCCUUUAUGGCUUAUGCUUUUUAUAGCUUGUUGGGAAUGAGCAUUUUUUAGGCUCUUGAUAUAUAUUGCUACAUCAUCACUGAGGAAAGUUUUCCUAAUUUGCCCUUGGAAUGAGCAGAGAGUUGAUGGGCACCCCAAGUGCACAAGUGGUGGGCAGGACUGCAGUGGGGGUGGGGUCGAGGAAGAUAAUUAAGGAGCAACUAAAUGCAUAAGGCGCUCAAGGCUUCAAAGUCUGUGGACGGAAAUGCUUUACUUGAUUCUUGACCCCAUCCUAUAAGGCCCCUUUCUUUUUCUCCUUUGGAGAACUGAGGCCUCCUCAGUGGCCCUGGUGACUCUGAUUCCAGCAGUGGCGGCUGUCUGGGAGUUGAGGGGGCCCUGGGGAGGGUGGUUAAUUAGCGUUCAGGGGAGGUGAGAAGGAGCAGCCAGCCUUUUUCUGUGGCCGGGGCCAUGUGUAUUGUUGCUGCUGCAGAGGAGUGUUUGUGUCCCCCAAAUGUUGCUGUCUGGGCACGCGGGAGGGGCUUUGGGGUCGCAGAGCCUGGGGUUCUGCCCUUAUCAGCUCUAUGAGCAUGGGCAGGGUCUGGGCCUCUCUGACCCCCCCCCCCCCCAUGGAAUGGGAAUGACACUAACACAGCCCUCAGGGAGCAGGGAGGGCUGAGCAAGAUGAAGCAGGUAAAAGUACCAGAAGCUGAGGGGCACGUGGGUGGUUCAGUCGGUGAAGCAUCUGACUUCAGCUCAGGUCAUGAUCUCAUGGUUUGUGUGUUCAAGCCCCGCACCGGGCUCUGUGCUGACAGCUCAGAGCCUGGAGCCUGCUUUGGAUUCUGUGUCUCCCGCUCUCUGCCCCUCCCCUACUUGUGCAAGCGCUCUUAGUCUCUUUUCCCAGCAGAGCAGGGUGGGCAGCCAGCAGCCUGGAGGAGGAGUGAUUUGCACGAGGAGAUGCUCAGGGGUUGGUCAGUUGUUCAGUGCGGGCAGGCACAGCCUGGACUGGUGGAGUGGGUGGGAUCAGCCACCUUCCUUCAAAAGGGCCUUUUUGAGAAACUCCGAUCUUGGCUCAGUGAAUGGGCAGAGGCUCCAGGGGAGGAGUGAACCAUCCAUUCAGGCAGCCAGGGGCUGGGGAGGUGGGGCCUGGAAAGUGCUAUCGGGAGGGGGGGGGGUCCAGUCCCCCCCACCUCUGCUGACUGGUGCACCACCCCACCCCUCUGCCUACCCGGCCCUCCUGCCUCCCGGCCCUCCAGGGCCUGAGGGGUUAAUUUUGCUGCCUGAGCAAGCUUGGUGUGGCGGUAUGCAAAUCCAUACACUUUCAUAAACUGCUUAAUUAGGCGAAUGUUAAUGAGACGUUAAUUACUGUUGUGCCCGCGGAUCCCACGGAAACGGAGAUUAUGUUUCUCUUCAAACAUCCCGUCUUAAUUAUAACUUGUGCUUAAUUCUGCAGCUUUUGCCAACCCAGUGAGGGUGGGGUGGGGCGGGGCACCUCCCUUUCUGGGUGGUUCUCCCAGGCUUCCUCACCUUUGGUCCUCCAUUCCUCCCUUAGACAUCUGCUAAGCACCUGCUCUGUGCUGGGCACAGUCCUGGAGCUGGUACUGGGGUGACGGAGAGCAGUCAGGCCAGUGCCUCCCUCAGGGUGCUCCCAGCCCCCUGAGGCAGCUUUGUAAGAGAGGUAGCUGUGAAGGUCCCUGGGACCAAGGUAGAAGUCUACAGGGCUGCUGGGCCAGAUGGUGGUCCAGUGGAGGAAGUGGUAUGUCUCUUGGGGUGAUGGGUCACGGAAACCUUUGUGGAGGAGGGGCCCCAUGCUAGAAGUAGAAAGGUGUUUGCCGGGUAGAUAAGAGACCUGGGUUUGGGGGGGGUUCCUGCUUGGGCAAAGACCUCGUGGUUGGUGUCUUGACCACUAUGUACCUUCCCCGAAGUGCUUUCCUGCUCCGGUUUCGCUUUCUGAACCUCCAGUUGAGAUGUCUUGGCCUGAAGCACAGGAGGCUUGGAGGCUCCAUAUCUUGGGAAGGUAUUGGGCAGGUAUCUGUUCCUCUGUUGGCCUUGCUUGCUCCGUCUUAUGUCUCCAUCUUACUUACCCUGAGGGCUUGUGGAGAGUGGGGUCCCCACUCAGAGAGGAAGGUGGUCAGGGUAGGCAUCCUGGAGGAGGCUUGCCCAAGGCCUGUUCCUCUAGAGCUUUGAGACUGUGUCUUGCCCUUGCACCUGAGUCUUUGAGCAGAAGCUGUGCUUGGUGUAUGCCAUAGUCCCACGUCCCAUCUGGGCUUGACCAUCACAAGGGUCCUAAGACACUGGCCUGCACUCCCUAUCCUCAUGUUACUGCUCUCUACCUACCCCUCAGCCCACUCUGCCUGCCUUCACCUAGCAAGGCCACCCAGUGCCUCCUCAGCCCUCUCUUUGUUCUCUUCUGCCCCCAGGUACCAGGAAGCCUCAGGCUGUCGUGGCCACUGCCAAGUGUGCCCAGGUGAUUUCAGGGCUGGAGCAGCAAGUUCUAGGACUCAAAAGAUCCAAGAGGAUGUAAAGCCUCAUUUUACAGCUGGAGGGCACGAAGCCAGAGAGGGUCAGGGCCUGGCCUGGGGUCACACAGCAUAGCCUAGAACAGGGUCUCAGGGGGGCCUGUGGGCUUUUUCUUGGGGGGAUGAGGGAAAUGGAAGCAGAGGCCUGCUCCCUCAUCACUGCUGCACGGGCAGGCCUCACUCAAUCAUGUUCACUUUGCAGAUGGGAAAACCUAGGCUCAAAGAGGCCAUGUGCCAGGGAUGGAAACUCUAGGGGUCGGGCACGUGGCAGGGCCUCAGCGAGCUCCUUCUGCUCAUUUCCUCUGAUACCACUGUCCUGGGGGGAGUUCUUGGGCAAAGGGCCUGUAGACAGCUAGUAAGGGGACUUGGCUCCAUGCCCUGAGGCCGGGAAACUGCCUGGGCUCCCCAACCCUGGGUGCCCUUCCUUCUGAGAACUCCUGUUGGAAUCUCUCUUUCUAGCACUUAAUUACAAUGGAAGAUUAUUUGCCUCCAGUGUCUUGUACCUGACCUGGACCAGAUUAAUGGUAUUUCUGGAGUGUAGAUAUCUGACCUGGAAAGAGCACAAUCAUAGCAGAAAAAAGCUUUUAGCUCAUUACGUAUAUUUGCACAAUUACAAUUUCAGCCCUUUGAACUGGUUAUUACAUCCCCAAAUACGAAAGCAGAGAAUGUCCAUCCUAGUUCCUGCCCCGUCAGCAAGACAGCUAGGACCAUCUUUGAUUGCAUGCAGUCCUGUGUCUGGACUGGGCUGCUGUGGCCUCGUCUCUCACACUUGAGUGGUGGGUCCCAGCACUCUCCCACCCUGUACAUGGGAGCAAAUGUUUGGUUUAAUAGAAUGGCAUGGAUUAAACAUGGAUACUCGUUAACGACCACAGAAUAAAACCUUCUAUAAUAAAUUCUGUGGUUUGUAUGUUCCUGGAUUGUAUUCCUACUUUGGGUCCAGCUGUGAGCCCCGUCACCCCCUCAUCCCCCUCCUGGGAUGUGAUCACUUGCUCUUUCUCCCGUGCCUCAUUUUCCCCAGCCCCAGGCUGAGCACAGGAGGCCUGAUAUAGAUUUAGAGAUUUGGAACCCCAGAACUAGAUGCCUGGGGGCCUCAAACUCCCAGAGGCCAGGCUGGUAAUGGAAACGAGAGAAGCAGGCCGGGUAGGGACCGUGGGCAACCAGAGUCUCCGUUCCUGGCUCGUUUUUGACACGUGGAAAUGUAGGCCCUGUGUGGCCAGAUCAGAUUUUUCCAAGAGAAACCAGAAAUCCAGAUUUCUGUGUGAUUUGUAAAAAUUGGCAACUGAUUCACAUCUUUUUAAAACUGCUGAGCAGGCCAAAUAAGCCAUUUUGUUGCCGGGUUUGCAGCCCCUGUGUGUGCUCCAGCCUCUGCUCUUACUGAUAGGCUCUGCGAGGGGGGUUGCUGGGCGGGGGUUGGGGGACGGGCUUGGGACAUCUUCGGUGGCUGGGCUCACACCACCCCCUUGACCCUCUCCAUAUCCAGCCUGGGUGGUUAAAUAUCCCCCUCCUCAACCCCGGUGGGUGCCCUCCACCCACCACAGGGUGAAGGAGUCCUAAGAUGCAUGCCUGAGUGACAGCACAGAACAGGCUGCUUCAGGGACACAGGCGUGAGUCACUGCCAAGCUCCCUUUUGAGGAGAAAAAUAAACUGCCUCAGAAUUGUCACCCAGGCUCGAGGAAAGAAGGGACUUCCAAGACCUGGCAGUCACUUUCUGGGGUGUAGCCUCUCCCUGGGCCCCUUCAGGGAUUGGCUCUGGCUGGCACCUGGUGAGCAGUGGUGUCCUGGUGAUAGGCUGUGGCUCAGAUGCCAGGGUCCCCGAGGGUGUGGCCAGGGAAGAGGGUUCAGCAUGUUUGUUCCGUUAUGACUUUUAUAAUUUUUUUAUGUUUAUUUAUUUUGAGAGAGAGAGAGAGAGAGAGAGAGGGAGGGAGCACGAGCAGGAGAGGGGCAGAGAGAGCAGGAGAGAGAGAAUCCCAAGCAGGCUCUGUGCUGUCAGCGCAGAGCCCGACAUGGGGUUUGAUCUCACAACUGUGAGAUCGUGACCUGAGCCAAAACCAAGAGUCAGAUGCUUAACCGACUGAGCCACCCAGGACCCCCUAUGACAUUUAUGAAUAACUCAGGAACUCUUUUAUAAAAAUGCCUGUGUUACCAAAAUCAACGUAUUUUAAUAGGACACUCAAUUAGAGCAAGAUUUCCAAGAAGCUGACACCCCCACGUAAGCUGGCAUCCUUUUCCCCAGUCGCUGGCUCCCAUCCGUCACUGUCUGAUGGGGUCUCCUGUUCCAGCGGGGCAUGAGAUGAAAGCUGCUUUCAGCCUUCCCUGCACUUGUGAAAUUAGGGGAGGGCAUUGGUGGGAAGGGGAUGCUUGGUGAGUACCUACUGUGUACCAGGCACUGGGGCCUUGUGAAGUUGGUGUAAUUGGCUCCAUUUUUUUCAGGAGGGGAACUUGAGGGUCUGAGGGUGACUUGGCCAUGGCCCGGGGCCCCAGCCCCCUUGGGCCAAGUUGGCUCUGGCAGUAUGGGGUUAACAGGCCUCCCUCCUUGCUGCCCUCCGGCCUUUGAUCUAAUCAGGGCCCUUCCAGUCUGUACCUCUUCUCCAUACCUGCCGCCUUGGGGGCCUGAGGGUCCUGGGGGCAGCCAGGGGCUUUUAAACUCAGGCCAGAGGCCAGCCAUAGGAAAUGUGGUGUGUGCCAGUGUGUGUAUGUGGGUGUGCACACGAGGGUGGUUUAUUUCCAUAGGCUGAGUGUCCUGCCCUGCCCCCUGCCCUUGUCUGCCACUUUCUUACCUGCCCUGCCAUUAUGUGCUUUCCAAGACUUCAGAGAAGGCCCUGAUUUUACAUCUUACUCAUGGAAGGUGGAGUGGUUUGGUCUCAGCCGGUAGCAAAGAGAAAUCUUGCUGCCUCCGUCAGGGGCUUGGCGGGCUCCUAUGAGCUGAGUGGAGCAGAUCCCACCCUGGGACACCUUGGACAGGCCUGGGCCUGAGCUGAAGUAGGGAUAAGCAGUGGGGAGACUCAGGUCAGACUGACUUCACAUGUUUCCCUCCACUCCUCCUCGUCCAUUCCCGGUGACGGUGAUGCUGUCAUUCCUGCGUUCCUUCUCUGGGUCAAGUGUGGUGCCAGCGGCUUUUCGUGAAUGGUGGCCCCGUCUGAUCCUCUCAAGGACCUUGUGGGGUAGGCACUCUCAUCGUCAUUUUUCAGAUGAGGAAACUGAGGCACAGAGAGGGUAAGCAAUCGGCCAAGUCCACAGAGUAGAUGGGAAAACAGGGAUGUGAGUCCAGGCCCUAGAGGCUGUGCUCUUGAAGAGCACAGAGCCUGGCUGUUCCCUGACUGCCCCAGCCUGCUCUGAACUCCCUCCAGUUCAGCAGUCUCUCCCUUGAAGACUGGCUGUCUUGGCCGUACCUGGGGACUAUCUGUGGCAGAGCCCAGCCGGGAUUCUCCGUCUCCCCAGAGGCUACAGAUGGACCACAGGGGUGAGGAGAUGCCCAGGAGAGGACAGAAGAACCCAACUACAGCAUCCAGAGAGGACCUGGGUAUUGUCUAGUUUGCUUAGACCUCUGCUCUACGGACAAGGGAAUGGAGGCCCGGGAGGGGGCGGGCUUGUCAGGGGUGCAUGGUCAGAUAGUGGCCAAGAGGGACUACUGCACCCCCACCCCCACCCCACCCAGUGCUGCUUUCAUUGUAGAUUCAGGGCCAGGAUGGAAGGUGGGGGCGAAGCCAGAAGGAAAGCCAGCCAAGAUCCCUUUUCCUCUCAAUUGCCUCUACCCCUCAAACUGUGCGGGCUUGUGCAUUUUCAACUUUCCUCCCAUCCUUUACCUUCCCACCAUUAAAAUAAAAUUGGGAGGCGAGGGGAGGGGCAAGGCUUUGACAUAAAUGUUUAAAUUAGCCUCACUUUGCUGAAAGCUGGGUGUCAGGAUAAAUCCAUUCCUACAGUGCCAUAUAUCUUUUCCUGAGUGGGAAGUUGGUGAAUAAAUGAAUGUUAUUCAUAUAUUAUUAUGGCCUGACACAGCCAAGGCAGGGAGAGGCAGCCUAUGGUGAUUAACGGGCAGGUCUUGGCUAACGAGCUGGAGGGGCUUCUGUGCCCCGGAGUCUGUGCCAGGGUGGGGGGCUGAGCCCCAGGUUCUGGGUGGUUCUAACCAGCCCCUGCUUAUAGGAGGCCUGUGGCUGUCAUUCUUCUCUCUAUCCUUCUCUCUGUCUCUAGGGAAGCUCCUCACCCCUUGCUCCUCCUUUUUACCCUGUCUCCAUACCCUCUGUCCUUUCCUCUGGGGGCUUGAUGUGACAUCUCUGCCGCUCAGGGUCCACUGAGGACCCUUGUUGUGGGGGAAAUAGAAGAUUUCCCUGAGGACACCGUGCCGGAAAACAUCACGAGACCCUAAUACCUAUAGGGCGGUUUUAGGUCAAAAAGCACCUUGACUCGGUCCGCACAAUAUCCUCAUUGAAUGCUGAGGAAACUGAGGCACAAAGAUGGAAAGGGCUCCCAGAGGGGCCCCAGCUGCUGCCUAAGGGGUACUUCCUCCCCCACCUCAGUUUUAUCUGGUUGAGUGGACACUCCUUUUCUGUGAUGCUUCAUGCCUGAGCCGACUCCCAAGUAUGGUCAGUGCCUGCUGAGCCCAGCCUGGCCACUCUUGUUCUGGGGGCUCAGACCAGAGUCAGGACCCAGAGACAGACUGCCGAAGAAAAUCAUCUUGAAGACAUAGUGUCAAACAUCGAACCAAGAUGAUUCCUGGGAGCCAGAGAGGCCUCCUGGAGAAGGUGACCCUGAGACAAGUACACUGGUGGGAGGGGGAAAGGGUGGGUGGCUUGACCAAGGAGAGAGGCAGCAGGGCCCUGAGCAUCUAACCUUGCCCAGGCUUGGGUUCCUGCCCCACUCCCCCAGACUGUAGCAGCUGUAGGUAUAGAUGGCAAGACCUGCAUAGCAGGGGUGGGGACCGUUUCCCGGGGCUGGGCCCCUAGGUCUCCCUGAGAACUGCGUGCCUGAUCACAGAUGAGUGUGUAUGAGAGGUAGUCCAUGUGAAUGUGUGUGGGCAGUGAGCGCUGGGCGUGCGUGCACAUGCUUGGGGGUAUCCAUGCCCUAUGGGGAGGAUGUCAGUGGGAAUGAGGGGUGCAGGGUCAUGCCCUGUGCACAGUCCCCUAAAGUGGCACCUUUGCAGUCGCCUUUCAAGUUUCAAUACUUAAGAAUACCUAAGUAUUCUUAAGACUUAAAAAUGUACAGAGGUAGGUGAAAGCCAGACAGAUGCACAGAUGGAUGGAAAUGGGCAUGUGUUCACUGCCUCAUCAACCAGGGGUGCUAUCAACCCGGGUUGGCCUUCCCUUGAUGGUGUGUGUAUGUGUUCACAGGUGUGUGGUUGUUAUUGUGUGUCAGUGUGUGUUUCAUGUGAAUAUGUGUGUAAGAAUGUGUGCAUGACUGUUGUCGUGUGUUAGUGCCGUGUAUGUGACCGUUUGUGAGUGAGGGUGUCUGAGCCCCUUGGGGCCUGUGUUCCUCAGGGACCCCCGUCAGACUGUGUGCUCCAUAACCGUAAAGUGCUAUCCACCUGCACACAAGGGGGUCAUCUGCUAUCACCACACGAGAUCUCCAUGCAGAGAUCAGGACCCUUCAGGAAAGAAGGUGGACCCGGCUGGGCAGGGUGUAGCCUGGGGCCUGCUCUGGCCCUGGAGGAGUCCUUGGUCCCACCCAAGACAUGGGAGGAGGAACUUGGGAGCAGUUAAAUGUUAAACCACACUGGGACAAUCCGAGAGGGCUCCCUGGAGAGGACAGGGCUGGAGUAGGCCAUGGCGGAUUGAAAAGGGAUUUUGCUGUACAGAGGGGAGGCAGGAGGGCCAUCUAGAUGGAAGAAACAGCAAGAGUAAAUGCUUGGCUUCGGGAAGGAGGCCAGAGUGUGGAGGAGAUAGGGAGGAAGCCAGCCAGCUGGGGACGGGGUACUUACAAAAGAGAAGAGUGAGAGAGGUGGGCAGCAGAAUGCCUGGCACAUAGUAGAACCUCAGUAAAUAUUUGUGCCAUGAAACUGAGGGUCUAAUUAUGGAGUUUUCAGUGUGACCUUAGGGAAGGUGUUAAGUAGAAAAUGUAACUAUAGCAUAAUUAAUGACAGCAGCUCUAUUCGUUGAGCACCUACAGUGUAGGCAGCACUGUUAGCCAGGGGUAGCACUAUUUCAUUUUCCAGAUCAGGAAAUGGAGGCUCAGGGAGGCAAUGAUUUGCUCAAGGUGACAGCACAAAUAAAUGGUGGUACUAGGAUUGAUUCGGACCCUGAGUUCCCUUCCGCCCGUGCCUCAGUUUGCCCAUCUGCACCGUCAGGGCUGGGAGGAGAUGACCUUGGAUUUGGCUGCUCUCUGGGAGCGCCUUGCUUUGGGGCUAGAGCCUGCAGGCCCCAGUGUUCCCUCUUGGCCCUGAUUCUGAGCCUGGCCUGCAGUGAUACCUCCUCUGUCCUGGUCAGAUUCCUAGGGCAUCUGGCACUGAGGCCAGUGUGGGCCCUGGCCUCGGGUGGGCAUUAGGGGCAGGACUGAGAGUUGUUUGGAAGGAGGGGCAUCUCCACGCUCCUGAAGGGGACUGAGGAGGGUCCUGGCCCCGAAGGGAGAGUUUGUACAUUUGUCUGUGGCCUUCUGGGCUUCUUUCCCACAGGUCUGGCUGGCAGGGGGGAAGGUACACCCUUCUCGUGCACAGCCUUGCUCGGGUCUAAAUCCUUCCUACCCGCACUACCUGCCUCCAGCUUCACACUCACCUUGGGAGCUGGGCCCCACCACCUUUUUAGAGGUGAAGAUACUAUUUCUUGGAAGCUUGUGAGUUUCCCCAGGUCUCCGUUGACUGAGUGCAAAGCUGAGGGUAGGCUGUCUGUGUGCACAUGACUGCCUGCAACCUGGCCCUUUAACAGGCCGGGAUAGGGAGGCUUCACCUUGGGGCACAGAGGGGGCGGCUCUGACCUCUGAGGGGGCAGCCAGAGGCAGAGUCCAGUGCCAGGGGGGGCGCUCUUGCUCCUCAGAGCUCCUCACCCCAGGACACCCAACAUGCAGCCAUGCUGGGACUGCCACCCACUGAGUACUCUGGAGCCAGCUGUGCUCUGGGUGGAGUAUCAUGUCGCCCUGUCCCAGGGAGGCGGGUGUGCCUAAUGAAUUAAUUAAUGUUGGCAAAGCACUUGGAGAUCUCGGGCUGAAAGGUGCUCAAUACAUGCAAAUCAGAGUGAUUGUUAUUACCCAUAAUUAUGGAGUUUCUGCUGGAGAAAUUAUUCAGAAGCGGACGGUGGCUGGGCCAGCACAGGGCCCUGCCAAGAUCUGCUCCUCAAUAGCAGUGGAACCUGUCUUCCUCUCUCCCCUUCCUCCCUCCUUCCCUCUCCUGUCCCUUCCACUCCCCUACCUCCCCCACUCCCUCCUUCCCUCUCCGGUCCCUCCCUCCCCCUUCCCUCCCCCUCCCUUCCCUUCCUCCCAUCCUUGUUUCCUCCCUUUCUUGCCUCUUUCCCUUCCUCCUUCCCUUCCCCCAUCCCUCCCCACUCCCAUUUUUUCUCCUAGCUCUGGGCGUGUUGCCUGCUCUUCCACAGCAAAUGCCUUCUUUGUCUCAUCUCUCAUGAAGACAAGCACCUGGCACAGUUUGGGGAAGAAGGGGAUUGGGCGAUAGCUUCUCACACUCUGGAAGUGAGAAGGAUCCAGGAACCAAGUCUCACUUUCCUCCUCUUUUAAAGGGGUUCCCUGUUCCUCCUUGGGUGUGGGGCAAAUCAAGUGUGGCAAUGCCUGGGAAGGCACUCUGCGUUGGGAAGCUCGAUGCCUGUGACGCUUGGUCACUCAUUGUUUACAUAAAUAUUGCUGUGUGUGUACUUGUGUGUGCACAAGUGGUAUGUGUGUGCUUCCAGCCUCCCCCACCAUCAGACUGUGUUCUCAGUGUGUCUGAAUGACUAGACUACUGGUUCCCCAGCGGCUAAGGCUGAACCUCCUCCACCAGCCUGAGCAUGAGGCCCCAUGCGGACAGCCCCUGGCAGUGCCCAGAACCAGCAAUGCAAAUAAAUUGUGUCUCUCAGCUGUACAUUCCUUCCCUCCCCCUAUCCUCCAGUGCUCUGUCUCCAUGGCUUUGUUCGCCUUUUGUGCCCACCAGCCCCAGAGAGAGCCACUCCCAAAUUGAGGACCACGAAUAGCAUCUGGCUCAGACUGGGGCCCAGCUGUCUUCUCCCAGUUGAACAGAGAGCCUCAGAGGUCAUUGUGACUCAAACCCUGCUUUGACAGAUGGGGACACUAAGGCUGAGAGAAUGUGAGUGACUUAUCCAAGAGCACACAGAAUCUUAGCCUUAGAGCUGACUACAACCCUGGUCUCCGCACUCCCCAGAGUGUUCUUCACCGCAGCACAUGGAGGCUUUAGAAGAAUUUCCUAGUAGUCAGCAAACACUUACCAAGCACCUACUGUGUGCCUGUCUCUGUAUCAUCCUCAAUGAUAGGGAGGGAUAGAGGCCAGAUCUCUUUUCCCUGCACAACACGACCUACAAAUCAACAACCACAACCACAACAAUGAGAGCUGGGCAUGGCAGGAACCACAGAACUAUGUGCUUGAUUUUGUCGGGCCUGUGAGAAGUGCUCCAGAGACAUGAGGCAGAACAGGAUGGAACAGUCAGGAAGGCCCCUUGAAAGAGGUGGCACCAAGUCUUGAGAGCAGAAAGGAGGGGGAAACAACAUGGUCACUGAAGAGGAGGCUGGCAUGAGGCCACCUAUGGGGGGGGGAUGGCGAGAAGCCCGUCCAAUAGGCUUAGCGUAGCUGGCAGCGAUGAGUGUGGGAAGGUAGGCAGUGCUCCUGCUGAGGGGCUGGUCCCUGUCCUGUGGGCACAAGGGAAGGCUGUCCAUCACCAUGGACAUGCUAGGAUUUCUAUUUGGCUCUCCAGUGUUGCAGCCCGGCCUGCUACCAGAAGGCCACCCCCCACCUCUCCUGCCCUCCCUCCUUUACCUGGAGAUGGCCGAUUUCAUCUAGAAGUGACAAUAGGUGUGAGUUGUCCGUGGGGCCUUUGUGCCUUAUUGCUCAGCCUGUAAUCUUUCCCAUCCAACACAGUCUUCUUUCUCUUCCCCGGCAUUUGUCAGAAAGAUGGGAACAGAGCCCCGGGCCCUGUGGGGAGGCCGGGCCAGAGCAGCCCUCUUGCUGCCCAUUGAUUUGCGCUGCUUUUGCAAAAGCUGCCGAAGUGUGUUUGCCGGACACCGUGGGGCUGUGUUUGCCUUUGGAUAAUGAAAUAAUGUCUUUGCCGAGGAAAGGAUGGAGUCUCUGCUAAUUAGCUCAGCUGCCUACUUUGAGGACAGAAAGUCGUCACUGCUGUGUUCGCAGGGCUGGUUGAGUGUGGGGCUCUGUGGGGAGCCACUGGGGUGAGCAUCCACCUUGAGGGCAGCAGCGAGAAAACAAGAGGGGCUGGGGAAGCAGGGUGCAUAGGUAGAGCUUUCCAGGAAUGCUGCCUCCUUGGCCCUGUGUCCCAUCGCAGGUCCUUCCUGGUUUAGGGGCAGCAAGGAGUAAGGAGAAGCCUUGAAUCAGACAGAUCUUGGUUCUGUCCCAGCUCUGCCACUUGCAGGUCUUGUGACCUUGGGCAAGUCACAGUUGACCUCUCUGGUUUCACUACGUCUGAGAAUGGGGCCAUGAUAGUACCCACCGUGUGAAAGGGGUGGCUUGCCUUGAGUAAGGUAAUGGAGCAGAGUGCCUGAUGCACAGCAGAGACUUAGAAAAUGUUGGUGGCCUCAUGGUUCACCUCUUGGGGUCAUGCGCUUAUCUUGGUGUUGUUUCAGACCUGGUUCAUCUUGGGCACGUGUCCUGCCUCUCAGUCACCUGACCCGUUAGAAGGAUGGAGUUUUCUUCUCGUGCCUGUCCGAGGGCUCAGAAGGCAGUGGAGGCCAGUUGAAUGCCUGGAUUCAAAGGCUAAAGCUCGUGAAGUGUCCCCCACUCUAGUCUAGGCUCCGGGGCUGGGGUCUUCCCAUGGCCUGGGAAGGGGCUGAAGUGCAGGCCAGAGAGCAGAGAGCAGAGAAGAGGGGGCUGGGGUGGAGAGGCCUGAGCUUCUCCAGGAAGCUUUCUGGGGACCAGCUGGUGGUAUUCCUUCCCUGUGUCGUAGACUUGCACCGUGUCCCUGUGUCCCUGUGUCGUAGACUUGCACUGUGUUCCUCCUAGGGCAUCUCCUCCCCCAUCUCUUAUGGAUCUUAUGAUCCUUCCCAUUUCUAUGAGGGCUUUUCUAAGUUCUCUCCUACCCAGGAUUCAUUGACUCAAUAGGUGAGGUAGAUAAUAGUAAUACUCAUAGUCGUAGUCAUAAUGGUAAUCACAAAAGCAGCUCACUCUUAUUGAACUUACUGCGUGCCAGGCACAGUUCAGACCUCUCUCCAUGUAAUCACUGGUUUACUUUAGGGAGAUAGGGUUAGGUUUAUUCUCAUUUUACAGAAAAGGAACAUGAGGCCUGAGGGGGUGAAGGGGCCUCUUGGGGGCAUAGCGUGAAAAGUGGCAGAGAUGGGGCUCACAUCUGGCUCAGGUCAGAUUAGGCUGAUAGUCACGGAUGAUGUGUCUACUCUGUGUCUCUACUGCUCCCCCUGGACACAGAGAGAGGAUAGGACACUCUUAGGCCCCCAAGGAGCUCACGGUGGGAUGAAUCCCCACCCCCCUGCCCCCAGGCUUUCCCUGGCCCUCCUGACCUCCUCCUCCUCCAACUCAGGUGGCAUCUUUGUCUUUCCCAUCACCUGGCCCUGGUCUCUGGCUCUGGGCUUUCUUUGGGGUGGGUUCCACAAGGGCAGAGGCUCAGAUCUUGUUGGCUGAAGUAUUGCUAGCGUUUACCAGGCCCUGGCAUGUAGUGGUUUAAUGAAGGAAUGAGUGCCUGUGUGUGGAUUAAAUCAGACUGUGCAUGUUAAGUACUUGGCGCUCAACAAGUAUUUAUUGAAUGAAAAAAUAUCUUCGGGUGGAGUGAAGGAGGUGAUGGUGUGAAGUGUCUGGCCUGUGGUAGGCUCAGCACAUGGGAACAGCAGUCACAGUGGUUUCCAGUCGUCUGGAAAGGGCUGGGUGGAUGGACCGGAAGCAGGGCCGGGGUGGAGGGAAAGAGAAGCCAGGGAAAGGAAGGUACCGGAACUCUGAAGAAGAGACGACAGCAGGGAGGAGGCUGGUUAGCAGCUGGGGCCCUGACACCCACUCUGUGUGGAGCUGAGGAUGGGAGCGCGCGUGUGUGUGCACACGUGUAGGCGGGUGUGUGUGUGUAAAACAAAUAACUGGAAAAUGAAUUUAAUUAUAAGGCACUUUUAAUAGCUAUUUAUAUUUAAUCCUGCUAAUUCUGUGUCUUGUGUAGCCAAACUGUAAUUCUAUUCUUCUUACUCAUUUGCUAGUGAGAAUGAAGAGAGAGGCAGAGGGAAACAGCCCCAGAGGAAGGCAGCAGGCAUCUUCCCACCCUGGGGUCGGCCAGGCCAGCUGUUGACCCUGGGGGCAGCGGGGGAAGGGGUCACUGGCAAGGUCGUCCCAAGGGGAAUCUGGGAAAUGGCCCCAAGCUCUGUCUCCGGGGCAAUUCCUUCAUAUACUUGUGUUUACUCAGCACCGGGGUUGGGGUGGGAGAAGCCAUAGAGAGAGCCCAGCCUCAGAGUCAGGCAGACCCAGGUUCAUAUCGAAGCUAAGCCAUGUGCUUUAACCUCACUUUUCCCCAUCUGUAAAGUGGGCAUAGUAUAACUCUCCCCAGGGCUGUUGGGAGGAUUAAAUUAGAGAGAGUGGGCCUGCCCAUUGGUGGUGCUUACUAAGUGCUUGUUCCUGUACCUCCUUAUUCCUAUCACCAACCCCAAGCCGGCUACUUCUCUGGGUUUCCACCUCUCUUGACGUUCUCAGACAGCCCUCCGCUCACUGGCAGAGAGAAAGUGAUUGGCUAAUUUAAUGGCGGGNAGGCAGACCCAGGUUCAUAUCGAAGCUAAGCCAUGUGCUUUAACCUCACUUUUCCCCAUCUGUAAAGUGGGCAUAGUAUAACUCUCCCCAGGGCUGUUGGGAGGAUUAAAUUAGAGAGAGUGGGCCUGCCCAUUGGUGGUGCUUACUAAGUGCUUGUUCCUGUACCUCCUUAUUCCUAUCACCAACCCCAAGCCGGCUACUUCUCUGGGUUUCCACCUCUCUUGACGUUCUCAGACAGCCCUCCGCUCACUGGCAGAGAGAAAGUGAUUGGCUAAUUUAAUGGCGGGAGUCCUGCCCCCUUUUUCAGAUGUCCCCUUGGUGAAGGGGGGUGGAUAGAGGGUCUGGAGGCAUGAGGUGAGUUGAGGGUGGUCUUUUGGCAGGACCCCAUAUGCGCUGGAGCAGCCUCGCUGGGUGGCAGGGAGGAAGCCUGCACAGUGGCUGGGGGAGGGAAGAAGAGACACUCCUAAGGAGGGACCCCAGACCUGGCUGGCCUAGGUGCAGCCGUGGUUGUAAAGGAUAGCUUUGGAGAAACAAGGUCAGGAGUUAGAGGUUCCAGCUCCAGGCCUUGCUCUGCUGCGGCGACUCAGGCCAGCAGCCCCGCUGAGCCUCUGUCUCCUCUUCUGGGCUGUGGGGUACAGUGUGGGAGGCCGGAGGGAGAGGACCAAGGAAGAGCUUCAGGGAGACUUUGGCCCAGAGACGGGGUUGGGGAGCUGUGCUCACUGGGGAUGGUGCUUGUGUGCUGGCAGUGCUUCCUGUGGUCGAGGUCAAGGCAGAGGUCUCAGAGGAGCCCUGGAGUGGGCCAGGCAGGUGAUUCUCCAGGACCUCCCUCUAAGACCCUCAGAGAAAAUUGGGCUGGGGCUGGAGCCGGGGCCAUGACCUUGUCCUGGGAGGACAGGGUAGGGACCUAGGCUUUCUUCACCCAUUGCUUCUACCUGUGUUCUCCUUGUUCUGCUCACUGUGCCUGAGUCCUCUCCUAGUGGCCGCCACCUUAGGGUUCCAGGACCUCCCAGAGGGCUGGGCUCUUGCAGGAAGUCAAGGUGAGUUGCACCCAGAGGCAGAGUGGGCUCCCUUGAGGGCUGACCUUGAGGCAGGCUGUGUGCUGGGCUCCUUCCAGAUCUUCUCUAAUGGAACCGCUGCACUGAAGUUACAAGGUGGCCGUUGCUCUCUCCAUUUCACAGAAUGGGAAACUGAGGCCCACAGAAGUUAAGGGACAUGAUUAGAAUUUGGGUCACCCGAUUCCAAAGACAGUUCCUUUUCCUGAGUGGUAAACUCUGGUGGCCCCAGGGUGGGGGUGAGGGGUGGCAUGUCCAGAGGGGGGCGGGUAAUGGGAAAAAUGCUGCCUCAUUAGGAGAGCUCAGCGUGCGUGUCUGAGGAGGGUUUCAGGUUUGCACACACCUGGGGCCCAGUGAAUCUCUGCCCUGAGGCCCUGCAGGGCUGACGGUCAUGGCCAGCAGCUCAUCCUGCAAGAGCAAGGCUCGGGGAGGCAGCCACAGUCCCUGUCCGGAUUGUGUGGAAGCAGAGAACUUGGCUCUGGGCCUGUCCCCGCCUGGGUUCAAAUCGUGGCUCUGCCACUCUCAGGCUGAGUGGCAUCUAUCCAGGCACUUGACCCCUAAGCCUCAGUGCUGCCACAAGUGCCUGGCACAUAGCAGGUGCUGGGUGCUGUCCCCCGCCCCCACUUCGUCUGUGACUCGUGGAGAUGGGUAAUGACUGAGGGUACAAUUUCUCUCCAGGAUAUUUUCACUUUAACAGGAGACGUUAAUGCCUCUGAACCCCAACGGAACGAUGUUUCCCUUUAAUGGUGACAUUUCAGGCGUGAUGGCGGCUGUAGGGAGACGCUGGGGUGGGGGCUUGCCUGGCUCCUGUGUCAUGUGCAGCUUCAUUCUCUGGCCCUUCUCCCACCCCCUCCCACAUGGCUCCCAUUGCUCUGUUCACAGGCAGGUCAGCGUCUCAUUAAUUUGAUUGAGGGAUUUGUUCUGAGCUGCUUGCUCAUCAGCUCUGAGGAAACCUGGCCUAGGAAUUGGUGGGCAUUCUGAUGCAGGCAGGCCCGGCUGACCUCUGCUCUUCUAGGAAGUGAGCGGUCACCGGGCAGAGGAUAAUUAACCGAUGCACAGGGGGAGUGAUUAACCCAGGGGAGGGAAGCUGGGCGUGUGGUCCUUGGGAAGAGUCUCCAGGGAUGGGUCUUAUCUGGUCAUUAACACAGACCCCCGAGGGCCUGCUUGCGCACCUGCCCUGACUCGUGUCUCCUCAUCCACUCAGUCCUACCAGAAGUGUCCCGCACCCAGGGUGCCCACUGUGAUAUGGUCGCGUUGUAGGAGUAGUGGAGGGGCACAGAAGGACAGAGUGAUCUAGCAUUGGUGCUCUGGAGGAGCAGUCCUGGGCCUGGGGAUGGGAGUGGUUGGGAACUCUUCUUUGAGGACUCAGCAGAGCUUGAAGGCAGGGUUUGGAGGUGCCCCUGGAGAGUGUGCAGCCUUGAUGGAGGGGCCACAGGGUCUGAGAUCGGAGGCCUGAGUUCUAGUCCAAGUUUUGAAGUUGGCUCUCUCUGUGAGCUUGGAUAAGUCUCUGCUCACUCUGGGCCUCCAUUUUCCCCAUCUCUGAAAUGGGAGUUUUGGUCUGGGUGUCUUUUUACCCCAUCCCUGAUUCUAAAAGAGCUUGGGGCAGGGGCUGCACCUGGGGGUGGAGGUGGGCCCGGAGCAUAAGGAGCUGGAGAAGGGUGGGAGGCAGAUGUAUGUGCUGUCGUCCGCUGUGGCCCUCACAUCCCUUAGGCAUCUCUAACAUGGAUACACCCCCUCCUCCGACCGAGUUCACCUGGUGCAUGAGCCUUAGGAUUUGUUUCUUCCUGAAUGGUGUCAUUCGUCAUGUUAGCUUUGCUGUCAGAGGGUGCGGCUGGCUCUUGCUUGAGCUUCCUGCGGGGUGGGGUGCCUUGUUAUCCUCCGGGCAGGGCUCCCCUCACGCCCACCAUGCUCCUGCACCUGGAUGCCCUUUACCAGGUGGCAUGGGAACAAUUCUGCCCUCCAGUCUGCUCCAGCCCCUGGCUGACUGCAGGUUCAGGGUGCGCUAAGGGCUGCUGGGACAGUCAGGGCUGACUUCUUGGAGGAGGUUGUAAUACUGGCUCUAGACCUUUAAAACUAGCUGGGCAGGAGUUGGACAGGUGGAGAGAAGAGUAGGUGCUUUCAACAUGGGGCUGGGAGAGGCCUGGGGGACCAUGGGACAAAGUGGAAGAGGUCCCUCACUCAUCCCUGUUCCUAUGGAGGCCACCCAGGCAGGGCUUGUUGACCUGUCCCCAGUUCGUAUAAUCUUCCGUGCUUUCAGGCUCGGGUGCUCUCCGUCCUUCUCAGGAAACAUUAGGGGACUCCUACAUUGGCCUCUAUCCACACAGUACUCCCACGUCCGUCACUGCUAGAGGCAUGUGGCCUAUGGCAAGUUCUGCCCCUAACCAGCUAUGUGACCUUAGACAAGCCACUUCAUCUUUUUGAACCUUAAUCCUCCUCAAUCCUGAGAGGAAUCAUCAGGUUUCAUUGCAGAGAGAGCAUUUGAGGUGGGCUCCAGAGAGAAUAGAGGUUCUGUGGGCAAAGACAGGUUGGACUGGCAAUGACUCUAGAUUGUAUUUUUUUUUUUUUUUUGAGAGACAGAGCGUUGGUGGAAGAGGGGCAGAGAGAGAGGGGUACAGAGGAUCUGAAGUGGCCUCUACGCUCACAGCAGAGCCCCAUGUGGGGCUUGAAUGCACAAAUCGUGAGAUCAUGAGCCAAGGUUGGGCACUCAACCGGCUGAGCCACCCAGGCUUAGAGUACCUUUCUUUUUUUCUUUUUUUUUUUUUUUCAACGUUUAUUUAUUUUUGGGACAGAGAGAGACAGAGCAUGAACGGGGGAGGGGCAGAGAGAGAGGGAGACACAGAAUCGGAAACAGGCUCCAGGCUCUGAGCCAUCAGCCCAGAGCCCGACGCGGGGCUCGAACUCACGGACCGCGAGAUCGUGACCUGGCUGAAGUCGGACGCUUAACCGACUGCGCCACCCAGGCGCCCCACAUAGUAACCAUUUAAUAAAAGUUUGCUAUUGUUAUUCUUACGGAGACUCGGAGAGACUAAGGGACUUGCCCAUGGACACAUAGCUCGUGAUAAAGGUUCACAGCGGGCUAGAGCCCAUUUAAUUCCAAGCCUCUUCUCUUUCCUCUACUCCUGGCACUCCUGGUGUCUGUCAGAAGUGCCCAGUGCGCAACCAGUGUGCAGGCCUCCCCUGAGGAUAUGCCCGUAGUGUGUCCUCCAAGGCCCUUUGAGGGCAGGACCUCGUCUGCCUCACUCACUGAGGAACCCCAGCGCGUGGCCUAUGUAGUAGGUACUCAACAAUUACUUGCUAACGGGCUGGCCGUUUAAGUCAAGGCAGGGCGGACCACCCCGUACUCACUUCACCAGCUCCUCAGACCUCCGUGUUUGGCCCCUGAUGGGAAGAGCCCCCCUCUGGCCCCAGCAGCACCCCCUUGGCCCUUGCUAUACCCUCUGGCUGCCUGCCUUGCUGCUCUUCUCCCUCGGAGCCUGAAGGCUUUGGGUUCCACUCUGCUCCUGCGCCCCCACUUCGCCCCGGCCCUGCACAUCUUCAGCUUCUCCCUUGCCUUAUUCGAUCCUCCCCACUUGCUCGUUAAGAUGAGAAUAACUCCUGAACUUGAUGUCUUUGCCUCCGCUUUUAUACUGAACUAUAAUAUGUGUAAAGGUACUUAGAGGAGGGAGAAAAGAAGAUCACCCUCCACUCUGUGCCCAGAGGAGAUUCUAUCUGCAGAGGGGAUGGGGCAAACCCCGCCAACCCUCUUCAGACCGGGGCUCCUUAGCCAGGACACAGGGCGCAGACCUGAGGCCAGGGAGCCUCCACUCUGCCCCUGCCUGCAGGAAUCUAUACCUGCUCAACCUCUCAACUCCACCUUGGGGGAUCAGGUCAUGCUCCUCCUUAUAUAGAGGAGGGGGAGGGCUCUCAUGCUCCUGUCCCCUCCCUCUGCCCCAGGGCUCCUCACAGCCCCCUGGCACUGUGGGUGGAGGUGUGUUAGGGAUGGACAGGACUGAUGGAAGGGAGGAGGGAAGGAGCCCAGGGAGGAGAAGGAGGUUGCCCAAAUCCUUUUUGAGACCCUUCCUGACAGGGAGUUUGGGGGGGCUGGGGGAAGGGAGGGGGGCUAGUCAAGAGAGCCAAGGCAGCAGCGAGGCCAGGAGACCUCUGUUCCCCCAUCGUCCCUGCCUUUCCAGUCGAGCCCCGCAAUCCCAACUUCCCCACCAGAGAGGUCAGUGGUGGGCUGGGUGUCCUGCCUGUGUACCACUGAAGGCUCUUUCUUCAUUUUCUCACUGUGUCCCACGCUUUCUUGAGAGCAUCUGGACAGCCUGCACUCCACUCCUAAGGCUUCUUACACCUGCAUCACUCUCUCUUCCAGCACCCUCUCCUGCAGUCUCUGUCAAAGGCGAGACCAUGUGUGGUUGUCACCCGGUGCAGUGUGGUUCCCGAUUGCCUUGUGACCUCAACUCUGAUGGGCUGAAUGAAAGUUAGGAUUUUGCACAUUCUCUUUGUUAUGCUGGAAGCGAUGUUCUCUGUGGCUUCUCUUCAGCCUCAGUUUCCCCUUCUGCAAGGGGACAUGCUGAUGCCCCCCUCAGAGAACUGGGAGGGUAGGUGAGCUGCCAUGCCAGCUACCUGGAGGUGGCUCUGAGAGGCUCUCUCUGCCAUGACUGCCGUGCAGAGGCUUCGGGGAGAGGGUGCAGGGACAGGCUGGGGUGGCCCUGGCUCGCCUGGUGGGGAAGCUGGGUGGGGUUGCUGCCUUCUUCCUGCUCAGAGGCUUAGGAAAGAAUGUUCAGCUCAAUACAUGCACAGGGCAGCCUCUCUGGCUGGGCCUGAGCUGGAGCAGCUCCUCUGUCCAGCCUCCUAUUUUGCCAGUAACUUCCUGAAAGUUCUACAUCUUUGUUCAGAUCAGCCUGUGGAGCCCUGGACACAGAGGGUGGUGCCCAGCCUUUCCAUCUGCCUGACAUUCGGGUCAGGCCCAAGUCCCUCUCUGCCCCUCUCCCCUACCAGACUCUCUCCCCCUCCAUCUGAACCCCAGUUUCCUCUAAGACCCCCUCUUCUCUGGGUCUUGUGAAGCCUCAUGUUGGGAUGUUCUGGGCAAGGCUUCUCUGGUCUGCAUGCGGACCCUCGGUGCAGGGCGGGAUUGGUUACACUGAGCUUCCUGUAUCUCCAACCGUCCCUGGUGCCCGCAGAGCCUGAAGCCCCAGUGGGCUGCCUUGAGGAAGGCCAAGGUGGGAAGCCACUUGCUUAUAAAACCACAAGAUCAGGCUGCAUCUUUCCAUUUCUCGCCGGCAGUGGUAGGCCCUGGGGAGAGUGGCUGGCCAUAGUGUGGUCUGUUUCCGGGGCCUGUUUCCCGGGCUUCCCUGGGGGCUGCUGGGGGCUGCUGGGGCCUAAGGGAAGGGUUAGUCAGGGGCCUUCCUAGGCAAGGGACCUUAGCCUCUGCUGUGUCCUCCACCCAAGGGGGAUGGGAGAGGGUGGCUCCUCUGGGCCGAAAAGUAGAUGAUGGAAAACCUGAGACUGGCCAGGGCAGGUUCUGGGAGUUUCCCAGAACAGCCUCUCGGGACAACAUAGUGGAUGGAGAGGACGUUGUUUCCUUCAGGGCUCAGGCUUGGGUGGGUAGACCCAUGUUCCCAGGAGCCCAGCCAGGCGAGAAUCCCUGAGGGGCAAGGAAGCAAAUCUUCAGGAGGCUUUCUAGGGCUUUGCCCAGGACGUCCACGUGCAAUGCGAGUCUAGCAAACAUCUUCUUGGAGAGCCAUUUCGGGUGUCUCUUGCUUUCCUAGCCCCAUUCGGGCUCCUCCUCCAGGCUCCUGUCCCCCUUGCAUUAGCCACGUGGUGUCAUACCUGCCCAACUUCUGGUCCAUGAGCUCUUCUGGGGAGUUUCGGGGAGGGGCUGGUGGGCAAGACUGUGGUCACCUGUCACUGUCUCCAGGCUGCAAAGCUUGGUGCAGGCAGCUGCUCCCUCUGAGCCUGUUUCUGCCCUCUCCUUUGUGACUCCUUGGGGGCUGCAGGCUGGAGAUCAGCCUAAGCAGGCCUCAGCCUUUGGAGACCCACGCCCCUCAGGCCUUACCUGAGCCUCUGUCUCUGCUGCUCUGACUCCAUUGUCCAAAUUGUUAUUUUUUCGAGCCCUGACGUGCCUCUUCAGGAAGCGCUCCAUGAUGCCUCCAGUCCUCACUGAUCUGAGUCUGAAUGUCCUGAUGGUGUCCCCAGCUGCUUCCUUCUCAUUGGCGUGCACUCCUGGCUCUGUGUGGGGCUCUGAAAACACAGAGACUGCUCAGCAUGGCCUGUGUGGGUAAGGAGGCCUAUAAUAUCCAGCAGUAGGCCGGUAUGGUUGUUCUAGUGUGGGACCCCAGAGUGAGUAACAACUCCUGCACCGGGGCCCAUGAGGCAAUAUUCGAGCUGCACCUUGAAGACAGAGCCUAGGACUGAGGGGUUCUUGGGAACAGAGGUCAGGCUAGGAAGGGCCUUGAAUGCCAGGUAAGGAAUCUGGGAUUUGACCUCCCUCUUCAGGCAGAGAGCACUGGAGAGAGGCUGUAGACUGGGUGGCAUGUUCCUUAGAGUAGACCCUUCCCAUGAUGCCUGGAGCCCUCUACCCACGCCCCCCUGCCUGGUGGUCUCUUACUUGUCCUACAGAUCUUUGCUCCAAGGAUCGUUCCUCAGUGAAGUCCUCCCUGACCAUUGUCCGUGCUCAGAGUCCCCUGGCCUUUCCUUUAAAGCCUUCAUUCCAGUGUGCACCCCCCAAUCCAGUGUGUUCGUUGAUUGCCCACCAGGCUUUAUUUAAGACUACUGAAAGCAGGAAUCAGAAGGAUUUGGUUGUCCCUUGGGUUCCCAGCUCCCAGCUCAAUGCCUGGCACAGAGUACGUGCUCAAUAAAUGCUGACUGGAGAUGUGAACGCCUGCAGGGGCACAGAGCCCAUGAGCUCCAGACUAGAGGGGCUGCCGGGCUGGGGGACAGUGGGGCUGAGGGGGUGUAGGCAUAGGCCUCCAGGGAGGUGGGGGCAAUGCCUGGGUCCCAGCAGGAACCAUGCUCCAUUUGUGUGUCAUUAGGUGGCUCUUUAAAGAGCUGUUUGCUGGAACAAAAGCCAUCGCUGGCAGCACCUCGGUAGGCGGGCCAGGCCUCGCUUGCUCCCUUUGGAAAUGCUUUGAGAACAGGUGGACUGAGCCAACUUGUCACCCCCAGGCUGGCUGGUGACUCUGGGGAGUGGGGGCAGCCGUUGGGGUGGGGACUAUGGGCGGCAGGGCGAUUGGUGGGUCCAGCCCUGACCUCAACAAAAUUAUUUUUACAACCUGCAAGAGAAAGGGGAUAUUUUUCACCUUUGUUCCAUCAAGGCAUCCCAAGGGAAAAAGAAGGGGGAAGGGGGCAGGUGGAGAGUUUGAAGAGGGGCAGGAGCAGGGGCAGGGGCUUCCACGGGAGAGAGAGCCCUGAGGACAGGCUUUUUUGUCCCCAGCCCUUUUAAAUUUUUUAAAAGCUCCAAACAGCAAGAGGGACGGUGGAGUUCAUUAUAUCGAGUUAUCUCCUCCGUUUCAGGCGAAGAUCAAUCUUCCCAGUCUUGCAGCUUCGAGGGAGGGGGGGAAGGGAAGAGAAAGAAAACGGGAGGCAGAGGAAAAAAACUCCCUGGACCAAUUUCCGCUGGCUAACACGAUUACUUGGCUGCCCAGCAGCAGUGCCAGCUGUUGGCAGGCAUCCUGGCCCCCCGCCAGUCGCACUCAGUUGCCGGCUGGCCCCCCAAGGCUCUCUCUUGAGUGGGACAGGUUGGCAGGUGUGAGGGCCCCAGGCCCCUGUGGGGCUGGGGCUGCUGAGUCUGGCAUCCCAGGGAGACCUGCGGGCCCCCCUGCUGUCCGCUGUGCAGCCGCUGGGCCAGCUGGCCUUGGCUCAGCCUGGUGCCCCCCAUGCUGCCUUGGUUCACAGGGUCCUGCCCAGAUGGGUGUGCCCCCCGGCUCCUCCCCAUUACUUCAUAUGAGAGGCAGUUUGUGUAGCGAAAUAAGGGCCUUUAAAGCCUAUUGAGCCAGAUAGAGCUGGCUCUGCCUAGCCAUUCCUUCAUCCAACAAAUAUUUUUCUGAGCAUCUACUAUGUGCCAAGCACUGCACAUAGUACAGAGGUGGCUGUAGAGCCAGACAAGAUGGACACGGUUUCUCUCCUGCCUUACAGAGUUUAGGUCAUGAUGAGGAGGCACCUAAGAAGAGAGAAGACAAAUAAGCAAGAUAAUGUCAGGUGGGCAUAGAUACAGUGAAAAAUGGGGAAGGUUGGGGUGCAUGGGAACAUUUGUCCUGGGGUAACCAAGGAAGAUAAAAGAGGUCCCAUUCAAACCAGAAUGAAAGGAAAGACUGGGGGAAGAGCAUUCCAGACAGAAGGAGCAGCGAGGACAGACCCUGAGCCUGGCCGGCAUGGGGCGGGGGGCGUGGGAAUGUUAGAAGGGGAGUUUCGAGCGUUGGACAGGCCACGGAGUCUCGAUUCUCUCUGCCGUGGAAGCCCCUUGCUUAUGGCAGGUAGUGACAGGAUCCAGUUUAUACCAUUAUCUGGCUGCUGUGAUAGUUUGGUGCCAGGGUGGGAGCAGGGAGCCCAUCGAGGCAGGACUGCCGUGAGGCAGGACUCCAAGCGAGGGCUGGAGAGGGCAGGAGAAGAUGAGCUGGGGCAGCGGGCAGGUCCUGGAUGUGUUGGGGGGUCGCACUGACAGGGUUUGCUGCUGUCUUGGGUGUGGGGUGAGAGAGACAGAGCAGUCAAGGCCGAGGGAGAUGUAAUUUGGGGGGUAAGAAUGAAGAAUUCUGUUGGGACAGGUCUGUCAGAUGAGCGAGUGGAGAGGACAUGCAGGCCUCUGGACGUGGCAGCUGGCGUUUGGAGAGAGCCGGGGCUGGAGGGAGAUCUGGGCCAUGGCUGGGAUGGAAAACCACACGGCCUGGGGAGACCAGCCAAGGGAUGUAUAGACAGAGAGAGAAUGGAGCCCUGGUGAGCCCCGGGGCCUCAGAUGUUUGGAGGGGAAGAAGGCGUGGGAGGACAACCAGGAAAGGCUGAGUCCUGGGAGCCCAGAGAUAAAGUGUUUCCCAAAGGAGAAAGCAGCCGUGUCGGAGGAUGACCAUUGGGUCUGGCAAAACUGAGGUUUCUGGGAACCUUGAUAAGAGCAGUUUUGUGGAGUGGUGGGGAUGGAAGCCCAGCUGGCAAGGUAGUGAGGGAAACGGGAGGGGAGGUGCGGAGGCUGGGACGCUCAGCACAGACAGCUCUUGCGUUUUGCUACAAAGCGGAGCGGAAAAAAAUGACGGGUACGUGGGAUCAAGGAAUCUCCCUCUCUCCUUCCCUCGUCCCUCCCUUCCUUCUCCCGCGCCUCCUUCUCUCCCUUCACGAUAUUGAGGCGCAUUGAUGUGCUCUUUACUAGCUUUGUGACCUUGGCCAAAUGGUCUCAACUCUCUGAGCCUCGGUUCUACAUCCGCAAAAACUGGAUCUGAUGCAUAGUAGGUGCUCGGUAAAUGCGGCUUGUUCUUAAGUUUAGUGUUUGCCAGGCAUUGGCGUAGACAUUUUCGGAGGACUGUUUGGCAGUGAGUACAAAAAUUUUAAAUGUGUUUAGCCCUUGACCUACCCUUAAGAAAUACUUGCACGUGUGCACCAAGAGGCAGGAUGACUUUUUCUAGCAGUGUUUGAAAUAAAAGUUGGAACCCCCUAAGCACUCAUCCUCCGGGGUCUGGUUAAACAGGUGAAGCUAUGCUCCCACGUGGAGUUCCUUAAUGUAGCACCGCAGAGAAUUCAGCAGGUGCUCUGUUGGGAGUGCAGACGCUGCUGGUUCCCUGGCUCGGCCACUCCCCAGCUGAGUGUUCUUGGACAAGUUACCAACCCCUGCUCUGCACUUUGCGCUUUGAUCUGCUCGUCUACAACACUAAGCUAAUGGUAGCACCCAUCUUAAGGGGUUGUUACGAAAGUUAGGCAGAUUAAUACCUAAAGUGUUCAAUGCAGUAUCUGGCACAUAGUAGGUACUCAGUGAAUACAAACAGUGACUCUUUCUUUUCUUUUUUUCUUUUUAAUGUUUAUUUUUGAGACAGAGAGAGACAAAGCAUGAACGGGGGAGGGUCAGAGAGAGAGGGAGACACAGAAUCCGAAGCAGGCUCCAUGCUCUGAGCUGUCAGCACAGAGCCUGAUGCGGGGCUUGAACUCAUGGACCGCGAGAUCAUGACCUGAGCUGAAGUCGGACGCUCAACCAACUGAGCCACCCAGGCGCCCCUCCCCCCCAUUUUUUUUAACAAAGAAGAAUAGGAAGUGUCAAUUCUUUUUUUAUUUUAUUUUUUAAUGUUUAUUUUUGAGAGCGAGAGCGAGAGAGAGAGAGGGCAUGAGUAGGGGAGGGGCAGAGAGAGAGGGAGACACAGAAUCUGAAGCAGGCUCCAGGCUCGGAGCCAUCACCACAGAGCCCGACGUGGGGCUCGAACUCACAAGCCAUGAAAUCAUGACCUGAACUGAAGUUUGUUGCUCAACCCACUGAGCCACCCAGGUGUCCCCAAACAGUGACUAUUCUUAUCUUUAUUCACGGACAGGGAAAAUCUCCAGAAUCCAUUGUUAAAUGAGGACCAUAGUUAUACACCAGCACAUAGGCUCUGCUCCCUGGUGUCCCCCACCCCCGUGGUAUCCCUCUCUACCUGUAUGUCCGUGGUAUACCUCUCUGCAUGUGUGAGCAGGUGUGUAGUGAAAGAUGUACACCAAAGGGGAUUGGCAGUCAGGACCUCUGGAGAGGCUACGGGGAGUGAGUGUGUUUACUGAUGUCUGUGGUUGAAGCCCUUACCAAGAGAAAGCUUCAUGUGUUGCUUGUAUAAUAAGAAGACUGCAGUAUGUAAAAGUGGUCAAUUAGGUCUUUACCUCCUGCAGGAAGUCUUCCAUGACUACACCAGCUUGUAGCUCACUCCUUAUCAGAUCUCUUUAGUGGGUAGAAGCCACAUUUCCUGCUGUGGCUGCUUUGAGUCAGUGUGUGUGCAUGCGUGUGCCUGUGCGUGUGGUCUCCUCAGUGAGCCUACAAACUCUUGAGGGUGUGUGCUGUGCACUUUGCAGUCUGGACAUAUCUAGACCAGUAGUUCUCAAAGUGUGACCCCGAAUGGCAGCAUCAGCAUCGCCUGGGAGCUUGUUGGAAAUGUGGAUUCCCAGGCCCCACCCCAGACCCGCUGAAGCAGAAAUUCGGGGGGUUGGGAGCCCAGCACCCAGCACUUGUGCUUUCAUACGCCCUCCAGGUGAUGCUGAUGUACCUGCUGGUGCUGUUGGGGGAAAUCAGAGCACAGUGAGAGGAAAGGGCUGGCCCAGGGUGAAGGGUCACGACCACCGAGGUCAGAGUCUCAGUCAGGAGUGAAGGUGAGGGCCUGGAGGCACCCUUCUGGCCAGGAGGGAGGAGUUGAGGCUCAGCGUUGAGGCUCAGCGCUGCGUGUCCAGGGGCCGGAGCACCGUCGCCCCUGCCGUGGGCGUGUGUGGGUAGCUGAGGGCAGGUGCUCUGUGUGGUGUGCGGGUCUCCUCCGGCUCCGUCUGCUCCAGGGCUUUGGGCAGAGGCUGGGGUGACGUUGAUGGCAGGAUGGGCCCUGUGGGCAGGGAGUCUGCAGCCCCCCUGUCCAAAUGUCUGGCUCCUUCCCCACUGCCCCUCUGCAGACGUCCCGCUCGUCCCUGAGCCUGCUCGUGCCUGUGAGGUAAGCAGCCCCUGUCUGGGUUGGUGGAUGAGGUGGCGGUCGAGGGUGUACGUGCAGGAUAGGUUCCAGGGCUGCCUUCUCGUCCCUCUUUCUGUCAAGCCCUCUCCUCUUCCAUCUUCUGGAGCUGCCUUUUCCCUCUUCCAGCCAUGUUCCUGGGGCCGUUGAGUUGCAGGGUGAAGAAGUGGGUGAGGAGGUUUGGGGAUGAGCUCUCAGGAGGAAAGGAAGAGGGUUGCUCCUCCAUCUGGUGGGCUUAGGGUUACCGGUGCUGGGGAGCCCCUGGGGGCAGCUGUUAGGAUCCUGGGGGUGCUUGGCCCAGGCAUCAGCCAGGAAUGAGGCUUGGGGACCCUGGAGGCCCCUCAUUAAGCAGGGUACAGAGCUGUGGGUCCCUCAAGUGAGGUGGGCCAGCCUGUGCUGGGGGGGGGUGCAGGCCAGGGCAUCAGUUGAGGCUGUGGGUGUUCUGGGUGGUCGGGCUCUGGCCGUGGAGGCCUGGUUGGGCUCUGUGAUGAGUAAGCAUUCUGGGGGAUAUGCCUCCCGUGCCUGGAGAAUGUGGUUUGAUGAGGGGCUGUAAGGGCAGGCCCCAGCAGUCUCGGGGAACAGACAGGGCAUCCUCUGCCCCCCACCUCCCACCGACUUCCUGUGUCUCCUUGGACUUCAGUUCCAAGGAGGCUUUGCUGAGUGGAUGAUUUCUGGGAGGGCUCCUAGCUUUAAUUUGGUGUCAGGGGGCCUAAGUGCGUCUGCUGAGUCAGCCUCGCCUCCACAGAGGGAGCAGAGGGGUGUAAAGUGGGGGGGCUGGCACCGUUCCCCUCAAGCCUCCAGCGGCAGCCGCCGCCAGUGGGAAGCAGUGGAGGCUUAACGGUGGGGCUGCCUGGUCCUUCACCUCGUCUGGCCUGGCCCCGCCGCACGGCACAGGGCAGAGGUUGACUGAGAUAAAAUGGGUUGAAGUUCUGGCUUUGCCCCUGUCUCGGUGACCCAGUCCCCUGCAUUGUUUCAUCUAUUAAAAGAGGCCCCUCCAGGUGCAUCCUUCUGGGUUGUUGUGUAUAGCGAAGGCCAAGUAGAGAGUCUGGCACUGUUGUGCUCAAUAAAUGUUAAAACACCCAUCAGUUAUUUUGCGGCACAGACUGAGUUCUGCGUGUGCAGAGCUUUGCGCUGGGCAUCGGGUGGGUCUGGUUAUGGGGACGAGUCUGCAGGACUCUGGGGGAUGGGGAAGUCCAGCCCUUGGCCACUCAGAGGCUGCAAGAAGGCCAGCACAGACUUGUUGCCAUUUCGCGAGGAGAAACUGGAGUGGGGGUGGGAGCUAGAGGCUGCAUCUGGUCAGUGGAGACACCUGUCAGGACCAGGAAGCCACAGUGAGCAGGGCUGUGAGAUGAAGCCUCUGGCCCGGUCUCUCAGGCUCCCUCUCUGGGGCACAUCCAUCCUUCCUAGAUGUGGCCCAUCCCCCCUCCUCCAUACCUGCACACUGAUUGCCCCUCUGCUCAGAGUUUGUCCCCUUCUAGAAGCUCUCCCACCCCUUCAGCAGAAAGCCUUCUGGGACACCGGGGCCGUGGGGUGGCUCUCCACCACUUCCUACCGGAUUGGCAUCUGGGGGCAGCUUUUGCACUGGAGCCUGGUGCCUUGGCCUGGCCUGUUCUCCCUCACAUGGCUCCUGUGAUUCUGUCCAGCCCCGCAACCAGCCAUCCUGUCGGGAAGGAGGGGUGCUCAGGCAUAAUACAAAUAAUUAGUAGCUAAGACAUUAUAUGCCAGGCAUGGGUAAGUGAUAAUUCUUCUGUUAUCCUCAUUCUUCUCCUGAAGAAAUUGAGGCCAGAGGGGUGUAGUGACUUGCCCAAGGUCCCACAGGUAGGCAGUUAUGGGGCACGAUUCUGACCCAUGUGGUGGGGAGGGCCUGGGGGGGGCCCAGCUCUGGUUUUGCUAAGUGGGCAAUCCCAAGAGAGCCCCCCAAUGCCCCAAAGGGCCAGGAUGUGGGCCAGGCAGGUUCUUACGGUCACCGUGUCACCGAUAUGGAAGCCGAGGCUCAGAAGGGGCUCAGGCCACUCUGCUAUCAAAAUGUGGCCUUUGUCCUUCUGUCCUGCUUCCCUAGAGCGUCUGGCGGUCCCCUUUGCCUGUUUGUCCCCUCACUGCUACCUGUGGAGUAAAUGCAUCCUAUCCCUUCCCGUAAGCCUGAUGCCUACUUAUGUAACUGGAGGGAAAGGGGGAGCCUGGGCCAGUCUAGGCAUAAAAGGACAGAGGGGCAGGGUAGGCCGCUGCUGCACAGGUAGGUGUGGGGCGGGAACUGGGCUCUUAUUUCAGGCUGGGAUGUCAUGUUGAGCACCACCCCCUUGAGUCAGAAGUCCUUCCAAUGGCCUGAGGCAGUAUGAGUCCUUGUUAGGAACCUACACGGCGGCCUCAGACAGCCUGGUGUGAAUCCCAGCUGUGUGACCUUCAGCAUGUUACUUAAGCUCUCUGUGCCUCAGUUUUCUCAUUUGGAAAAGGGAGAAUGAUAGUAGAACCCACCUCCCAGGGGGUGGGUUAGAGGAUUAGCUGGAGUGCUCCCUGCAUUAGCCGGAAUGCCUCCUACAUCACAUGCACUCGAUAAAUUCCAGUCAUAGUUGUCACUGUUGUUAUUAACAGGGCUGCACAAUGUUCUAGGAUGAGAGCAGGGCCCUCUCACUCAGGUCCUAUGUGCAACUAGAGACCAGAGCCAGGAGGGACAGGCUGAAGCCUGCCUCAGCUGCCCCCUAGCCCCAUUUCCCCUCUCCAGUCCUCUGGCGAUCAGUUCCCUAUUACCUGGGGAGCAGCUCUGUGUGUGCGUGUUGGGGGGGGGGAGGUGCCAUUUUACAUAGUAAACCAUGUAUAUAUUUAUACCUGCCUUAUUCCAUCAAGUAUUUGUGAGGGCUUUUAAGCGCACGCGUGAUACUAAGAUAGAUGUAAUCCAGGGCUGGGAACAUAGGACAGAACAUUAGGACGUGGAUGCACAGGGCCUGGCAUUGGGCUGCAUAUUUAACCCUGUGCUUCCUGGUGAUCAGAGUGAAAAGGGAAAUGCCAGCUGUGAGAGUCACGCCGUCCAGUCCUGUCCGAAGCAAAGCAGCAUGGGGUCCCUGAGAGGGAGUGGGUUUCCAGGGGGAGAGGUUUGAGGGAAUGGGAACUGUCAGGCUUCUCCACACUUGUCAGGCUGGGUCAGGGUAGCCACUGCCCUCCUGACCACAGGAGUCCUGAGACUUGAAGUUCACGUGGAAGCUUGAAGGUGGGACAGAGACCCUGGGGGUGCUCAGUGGGAGCCAGGGGGGAACCCUUCAGGUGGGUGCAGUGUCAUCGUGUCAUUUGCACUUGGCACCUGGGCCGAGGGAGGCGGAAUUUGGUGAGUAGUGAAGCAGGCCUGAUCUUGUUACGAUCCCCCACCCCCAACGGCAGUGCUGAGCCAGACCCAGAGACGUAGUCUGGUGCGAAAGGGCUCUCACAGAUCAUCUCUUUCAAUGUUCAUUUUACAGAUGUGGAAACUGAGGCCCGGAUGGGAGUUUUGAGUACUUUGCUGUGUGCCAGGUGUUCUAACUCCGGCACUUUCUUCUUAACUGUGUCCUGUGGGUGUGCCUGGAGAAGCCCAGGGCUCACUGUGACUGAACAGCUUGCCCAGGGCCACAUAGCUGGGAGGAGCCAGCUUUGAACCCAGGCCUGUCUGGCCACACGAGACAGGAGAUGUAUAGUGCUCUUUCCUCAAGGUCUUGGCUGGCAAGGUGGGGACUGCCUCUCUGCAGGCAUCCCUGCAUCCCACAGAAGCCCAGGAUUUAGGGAAUGGGUGUUAGAUGCUGGAUCUGGGGCAUAGAGCAAGGACCACAUGGGGUCAGCCCUGGGCCGUAGCCCCUGAUGCUUGUGCCCCAGCCAGGUCCUCAGCCCCCACUCCCCUCAGAGUCUCCUGUCCAGCUGCACCUGUACACCUGCAGGGCAGGGCCUGAGGCCAGCUCUGCUGCUCUGUUCCUCUCCUCAAGAACCCUCAGUGUCUCUCCAUUGCCUGGGCCACAGCUCCCUGUGCCUGGCCUCCCAACUCUCAGCCCUGAGCCCAGCUCAGCCCUUGGGGCUUUUCUGCACAGCCUCCUGUGGUCCAGUUCUGCAGGUGUUCAUUGGUCUGGGUGCUUGCUGGAGGUGCCAACCUCCCCUCUUCUCCCCACUGUCCCCUGAGCUACUCAAAGACAGGAUGGAGUCUCUCCUGCUCCCUCCAGUGCUGCCUGGAUUCCCAGAGGAGUGGGGGCUCCAUAAAGCCUUGCAGGGAAGGAGGGUUAAAAAGAAUGUACUUUCAGGAACCACAGGGGUGGGUUCUUUAGCGUGCAGAAUCUGUGCGUAUAUUUGGCCAAGUCCAGACCUCAGAACAGCCCCAUGAAAUAGGACACCAACGACAUACCAAGAGCAAGCCCAGUUGAUGCUUUCAUCGUGCCGGCUGCAUGCCAGGCGCUGUUCCAGGCAUUUUACAAAUCUUUAUUUAUCGAAUCCUCACCACAACCCCUGAGUCUAUUUCUACAGAAGAAACCGAAACAGAGUGGCUAAGUAACUUGCCCAAGGUAACACAGCCCUUAAGUGGCGUAGCGGAGAUUUGAACCCAGACAGCCAGAUUCAAAAGGAAGGGAAGGGGCCCACCUUUUAUUAUGCUUCCAUUACAUUCCAAGCAUUUGACACAUGUUAUCUCCUCGGCUUCCUCCCAGGACUGGCGAGGGAGAAAUGUGACACCCAUAUUACAGAUGAAGGACUAGGGGCUCAGGGAGGAUGAGGCCUGCCCGAGGUCGCACAGCUGGGAGGGAGAGGGUGAGGUGGGGUCCCAUCUGAUCUUGAAGCUGGAGCUUCCCGUCGAGGCCCCUCCCUGGAGGCUGAAGGAACAGACAGGAACGAUGUGGUUAGGGCUGCAAAAAGCCUUCUUCCAGGGGGGCCAUCACUUGGGCCCCAGCCCUCAGCGAGGCUUUGGUCUCAGUCUGGCUGGGAACUGGGCAGGCUGUGGGGGCCGAGACUUGGACCUCGGUGCCGCCCCCCUGCUCUGGGCUGGUGGGUAUGUGGUGCGUCCGUGAGGAAUGGGCUCCUGGAAGGCUGACUGUUAAUCACAUUGCAGGGCAGCGGGAGAGGAGACACCAGAAGUAUCUGCACUGGGCAGAAUCUGCCACCACCAGGCCUGGCUGGAUGGGAGGGUAAGGGACUAGCCAGCCACCAUCUCUGCUAGCAGUUGGUGAGGGAGGGGGCCCAGGGAGAAGACACAGCCCUGACCUAGGGGUCCUUUCUGAAGUGAUGUAGUUUGAGGGGCCUCCUCCUUUCCCCCCAUUUGUAUGUCUUCUUUGGAGAAAUGUGUACUCAAGUCGUUUGCCCGUUUUUGAUCAGAUUAUUCAGUUUUUGGUGUUGAGUCCCGGGAAUUCUUUGUAUAUUCUGGGUAUUAACCCUUAUUCGAUAUGGGGUUUGCAAAUACUUUCUCUCCUUCCGCAGGUAGUCUUUUCACUCUGUUGACUGUUUCCUUUGAUGCGUGGGAUUUUUUUUUUUAAUUAACAAGUUUUUAAAGUUUAUUUAUUUAUUUUGAGAGAAAGAGUGAGCGAGAGAGAGCGAGUGAGUGGGGGAGAGGCAGAGAGGGAGAAAGAGAAUCCAAAGCAGGCUGCCUGCUGUCAGUGUGGAACCCACUGCGGGGCUCGAACCCAUGAACUGUGAGUUCAUGACCUGAACUGAAACCAAGAGCCGGACACUCAACUGACUGAGCCACCCAGCGCCCCAACGUGUGGAAGUUUUUAAGUAUGACAAUAGUUCCAUUUGCCUAAUUUUGAUUUUGAUGCAUGUGCUUUUGGUGUUCUAUCCAAGAAAGCAUUGCCAAAUCCAACGUCAUGAAGCUUUCCCCCUGUGUUUCUUCUAUGAGUUGCAUAGUUUUAGAUCUUAUGUUUAGAUCUUUAAUCCAUUUUGAGUCAAUGUUUGUGUAUGCUGUAAGAGAAGGGUCCAGCUUCAUUUUUUGCAUUAGUUAUCAGAAACCGAACAUAGGUCAGAGCAACUGCAAGUUCGCUUUGUCUCGGGCAUAUCCGUGUAUGUGAGUCUACUGAGAUCAGGGUCCACGUACUUUCCUCCUGGGGGAUGGCUGUUGCCCCGAACCCGAGCUCUUCCUCCUCCCUUCUUUGGGCACUGCUGCACCCGGGCCAGGUCUGGGCAGGGGCCUGCAGCCCCACUGGAAUGGUGUCAGCCACCACGGGGAUGCCGGCCUCUGUGCCACCCAUCUCCACGGCUGCCGGGGCCUCAGGGUGGGAUCAGGAGUCCUGUGAUGGGGCAGACGUGGAUCCCCGAUGGCUGUCCACUCAGAAGGACUCCAUGCCCAAAGAGUCAACAGCAACACUGGGAGGUGGGAAGAAGGUCACACUCAGGGUACCUUAGGGCCCUGGCCCAUCACGUCCCAAUCUUCUCAUGGCUUAGAUGAGGGCACAGAGUCCCACUUUGGGCAGCAAGAGGCGGUUCUCGCCUUGGGUGCUCAGCUGAUGGAAGCUCUGGGCUACCACCCACUACACCAAAUGCAAGUUUAGAGCUAGAAAUAGGAAGUUCUGCACUUGGACACAAAAACUCAAUGGCCAGGGAACGGGCACAGGAGUGGGGACCGGGUGGCCGCUCCCACACACACUCAGCGACAGAGCUGUCCUGUGGCCGGCUCGCACACCUCUCUCACCGGCCCACUGUCACUUGUUCAGGGAUGUUAUGGGCCGCUUGUUCAACACAGGCCUCCCAGAUGUUCUGGCUUUCCCAGGCCUGGCAGGUGCAGGCUGCACCUCUGACGGGGGCUGCAUGUAGAGCCCGAGGGCUGACGGGCUCUGCCGCUAGCUUUCUGUGCGACCUGGACAGGCCUUUAUCCCUUCCUGGGCCUCAGUUUCUUCAUCUGUAAAAUGACUGUUGUUUCCUUCUCAUAGAGAAAUUUUGAAGGUUAAAAAAGAUGAUGGAUGUACAUCCUUCUGUGGGGAGUCAGUCACGCUCAGAGUCCUGGAUUGGGUGCCUGAAAGGUCCCAGAGAACGUUGCAUCCUAUAGGGUGAAACUGAAUGGCUGAUCCGGGACUCAGACUCCAGGCGCUGCAAUUUCCCAUCCAGCACUCUUGGUCCUACUUAUGUCCUGGGGUAGAAAACCAGCAAAUCUCAUUUAAACUUUUUUUUUUUUAAUGUUUAUUUAUUUUUGAGAGAGAGAGACAGAGUGUGAGCGGGGGAGGAGCAGCGAGAGAGGGAGACACAGAAUCCGAAGCAGGCUCCAGGCUCCGAGCUGUUGGCAAAGAGCCUGCUGCAGGGCUGGAACGCACGAGCCACAAGAUCGUGACCUGAGCCAAAGUUGGACGCUUAACCAACUGAGCCACCCAGGUGCCCCCAGCAAAUCUCAUUUAGACCUGCCUCCAGACUGGGUAUAUCCAAACCAGCUUCAAAGGCCCAGGAGGAAGCCCCACCAUGUCUGGAGAGGGUGGAGUAUGGGAUUAAAUACUCCUGCCACACCUUGUGUGACGAGUGGAGGGUAGGACGGAGGCCAGGCCUUAUUUAUUCUCAGGCUCUCCAGGGUGCGUGGUAACAGGGUCCACCUGCCACCUGGGGAGCAGCCCCUUGCCAUGGACUGGGUGUGAGCUUCGUGGAGACCUGCCAGGGUGGGAUGUUGGGGGAAAUGGAUGAGCCCCUGGCCAUGAGAGCUCUGGCCAAGGGAGAUGGUAGGAGACUCCGGGGGUACUUCCUGUCCUGGGAGCUCGUGGAUCUCUUCCUUAUUAUGGAAUGGGGACUUCAUGUGCUUCAUGUUACCUCAUCCUCACAAUCACCCAUGAAGUAGGUGCAGACCUUCUCCCUACUUUACAGAUGAGGAAACUGAGCUCAGAGAGGUGGGACUUUGUCUGAGCAGGACUUGUCAGUUGCUCUGGGCCUUCUCCAUCACCCCCUGAGACUUGUCCAUGUAGGCCACCAUCGGUGAUGCGUGUCUGGCUGUACAUGUGUGCACACACGCAUGUGCAGGGGUGAGGGGGGUGCCUGGAGGAGGCCGGUGGAGCUGAGCUGACCCUGAGGCAAUUGGGCAAGAGGAAGGCCCCCAUCCCACUCCCCCCAUUCCCUCUCAGCUCCUGCUCCAGGGGGCAGGGAGUGGGAGAAGCCCUGGGUAACAGGGUUUGUGCCCACUAUAUAUAGCUGCUCAGACACGCACACCCAGCUAUUUCUGUGUUCUUCCUCCUACUGAGGCAGGGGGAGGGGAGAGAAAGUAGUCCAUCUAUAAAUAUAACCCGGGGAAAAUAUCACAGCGCCUGAGCCCGAGCCUGAGAGAUCUGUCUCGUUCUCUCGCCUCCCGCCCCCGCGCCCCAACUUACCUCACAGCCGCCUCGGCUCCAUUUGGAACCUUCGGGAUGUUGCCUCCUCCGCUACCCGUGCCACCUUUCUCUGGUGCACACCGGGUGGGGCUAGGGGCUUGCUGCCCCCAUUUCACAGGUGAAGAAACUGAGGCCCGGAGAGGGCUUGCUUCAGCAGGAUUCUCAGGCACAGCCCAGCAUCUCCACACCCUGCUGGGCCUUGGGCAGGAGGCGGGGGUUGCUGAGUUCAGGACUUGGCUCUGCAUUCACUUGCUGCAGCAUCUUCUCCCUGAGCCUCAGUUUCCUCAACUACGCAGGGGACAGCAAUGCCACUUACCCAGGAGGCGGUGGUGAGGACUGAAGAGAGGUACAGGUAAAGCCUGUGACACAUUCCAGGCAUGGCAAAAGCAACUCAGUAAGUCAGCCCCCGUAGCCUCGUCAUUGUCAUUAUUAUUAGCCUCACCUUCAUCUAGGCCAUGAGUCCCUCUUUUCCCAAGGCCCCAAGUUUUCUCAGCCCCAUUUCCUGUGGCUUUACUGGGUACAGGGUAGUUUAAUAAAGACCUUUUCCCUGGGACGUUCCCGAGGACAGGGAUGAAUCUUAUCAGGUCUGCAUCCCAGUGUCCAGCACAGAGAUCUGCCUGCCCAUCACAGUGCUAGUGGAUGACUGAGGUUAUAUUUAAAUUUGCCGAGGAAGGGGGGGUGAGUCUAAGGGUGAUUAAGCACCUGCCUCAGGCCAGGCUCCCACUGUAUGAGCCAUGUGGGGGGGGCAGAGGAGGGGGGUGUUGCCAUUCCCAUUUUGACAGGAACGUGGAGCUCAGAGAAGGAAAGCUGUGGUCCAAGGGUCACACAGCUGAAGCCGUGGUUCUGAAACAGAGGCUGCCUGACUCCUCUGGGCUCCCAAGUGUCCAGGUUAUAAGGGGUCCCCACCUGCCUGGCCCCCUUCUGUGGACUGUGUGAGCCUUUGGGGGGCUUCUCUGAAGGCUCAGCCCCCUAAUAUUUCUUACUAGUGCUUUUCAGUGUCUUGCUGAGGCCUGUCUCCGAAUCUUACCACCAGAGGCUUCUGUGGCUAGGAGAGUGCACCUCUGGGUUUAAUGAAUACCCACUGGGGUCUGUGUGGUGGGUCAGUGUGAAAAUGUCAACCUACACGAAAGUGGAGACAGGUCUAUUGAACCCCCUGUUCCCAUCAAUAAGCAUAAACUCAUGACCAGACCUGUUUCCUCUAUGCCUACCGGCUCCCCACCACCCCUGGGUUAUUUUGACAUUGUAAAAUUUUAUCCAUCAGUGUUUUAGUGUUGUACAGCUCUAAAAGGAAAGGACCCUUUAAAAAACGUAACCAUAAUGCCAUUACCACACCUUAAAAAUCAAGUGUUACCUAGUACUUGGUACUUGUUACCUGAUUCACUCUUCAAAAUAGCCCUGAGGUAGGUAGCAUUGCCAUUUUAUAGAUAAGGAAACUUGAGGCACAGGGAGGUUUAGUCACUGGCCCGAGGUCACACAGCUGAUGGUUAAGAAGGGAUUUGAACUUGGGACACCUGACUACCAAGAAAAGCCAAAGCUCAUUCUUUUUUCCCUUGCCAUCGCCAAAGCAUGGCCAAGCCUUGCCCCAUUUUUUGUUAGGGAAUGUCUAGUUCCCAGGCCUUCUGGCAAUGGAGUCCAGCCAGAGGCUCAGCCUGAGUUUGUGCUCUGAGUGCAGGCUGCAAGGGUGUCCAGGCCGCACGGGGCCAGGAGUGAGCUGUCUCCUCUGGCCAGCACUGAGCUUUACGGGGGCAUUAACAAGCCAUUUAAAAAGCGCUGACAACACACUUUGUGGCUUCUAUUUAAGAUGUACUAAAAAAUAAGCACCUUUUCAGGGAGGAAACUGCAGCAUGUCGGGUUAAAAUAUGUCCAUGGUGUCACCUACGCACAUGUCACCGUGCAGGUGCUGGUGGGGGGAGCAGCCAGCACUCAGCUUCACCUCCCUGGGUGGGCUUGGAGGGUGGCAGUUACUUGAUGAGCAGGUUCAUUUGUCAGCAUCUCCAGCUCUGCAGGGGGAGGAGGAGGGAGGUCUGCAGUUCGGGGGGUGUUAGAUGUCAGGGCGGGGUACAGUAGGGGGUGUGGGAGGAGGGCAGAGAAAGUUACCUGUUCCAGGCAGCCCACUUUGCAGAUGGAAAAGCUGAGGUCUGAGGUGGGGGAUGCAAGGUCCAAGGUCACAUAUCCCGAGAGCUGCCCCCAGCAGCUCUUGGCACCCCCAAACCCAAGGGGGACACUGAACCCACAAAGCGUUCUCCUCCCUUCUCAUCCCACUUCAAAACAGACAUUCUCAAGACCUGGGGCAGGCCCAGACUCUGCAUAAGUUCGCUGUAACCUUAGGCACAUCCUGCCUCUCUCAGGGGCCAUAUCUGUAAAAUGGGUAGCCAAAUGAUGCCCUGGUGGGAUGAGGGGAGUGGAGAGGUUCCCACUUUGGUGGGACAUCCUCACUUCCUCCAGCCCUUAGCAGACGCGGGGCCAGGACACUCACUCCUAUGAGAGUGUCCUGGGCUCCCUCCUCACGCUCUUCCUUCUUUCUUUCUAUGACUGUUUCUUAAGUGCUUACCAAGAGCCAAGCACUGUGAUGGGCACCGGGGAUACAGCAGUGAACAAAAAGUGCAAUCAAACGAUCAAACACACAAACAAAAAUAAGAUCUCCGGCUGCUUCGUGGAGCUAGUAAUUGAGCGCAGGAGGCUAAAGCUAAAUAAAGAACCACGGCAAUGUCAUAAGGCUGCUGUGUCUACACUACCGAGGGCUGGGUAUGUGGCGCCGGAAGAGGAUUUAAGAGGAGAUCAACCAUGUCAGGGAGGUCGAGGAGGGUUUCUCUGAGGAGGUAACCCCUGAGCUGAGUGCUGUGGGGUGAAUGGACGAGCCAAGAGAGCAGGAGGCAUCAGGCAGAGGGAAUAGCAUGUACAAAGGUCCUGCGGUAGAAGCUCAAGGGGAUGAGGAAAGGCAAUGUGGCUGGUGUGGAGCAAGCUCUGGGAGGUGUGGCUGAAUGGGGCUGGGCCAGGCCUCUGUGAGGCCUAUGAAGGGUUUUAAGCUGGGAUGGAGACGGGAAUGGUGAUACACUUAGAUUUAUGGUAUGCACAGAUAUCUGCCUGAAGGUGAGUCAAGAGUGGACUGGGGAGGUAGAUGGGGGUAAAAACAUGUGCAUCCUGGUAGGAGGGACUGGUGGUUUGGACCAGUUCUGUUCUGGCUGCCUGUUCUCCCCCAUUAUUCCCCCUAGGCCUGCUGACCCAGGAAAGUCCCCGCAAGUGUUCCGGAGAGGGGGGAGGGGUGGGGCAUGAGGUGGGUGCUGUUCUGAGAAGGGUUCCCUUCCUUCUCUAGGAGGUUGGGGAGGCCCUGCUGAGGCCGGGCGUGGGAGGGGGUGGUAGCGUGGGGCCCUCCGGCCUGGGCGGAGCUCCCUCUUAGAAAUGCAGCUCUAGAGCAUUUCUCUAGAAGCAGCUGGGGUGUGAGAGCAUGAGCUGGUUCAGGGUAUAACAUCUGCCUUGUCUCCGUUCUGAGAUCUAACCCAGGGAAGAGCGGGCGCCCGAGAGGGGAAGGGAGCAAGAGGAAAAAAAAAAAAAUAGCUCGCUUUCCUUAAUUAUGACUGAUUGUGACAGCUUGCAUCUUUAGUCUGAAAAGUAUCUAUGGGGUAAGGACUGCUUUUCUCAAUCGGGAUAAUUAUGUUAAUUAAAAUGCUUUCUUUAUAGCAGUUCUGAUUAAUAAAAACAGUUCCACUGCUCUCUUUAAACACUCUAACCUUCUGUUGCACCGGGAAGGAGGUCCUUUCUCAGCAAUUUAUGGCUCUUCACGCAGAUUCCAAGAGGCGACCUGCUGCCGGGGUGGCCUGGUGGCAGGCACUUGGCUCACACACAUGUGGGGAUGGAUGCAGGGAGAGGGGGCAGACGGCUGGACUGGCCGUAGCGGGCGGGGAUGGGAUGGGGCAUCGUGCUGCUGAGUCUGCUGGAGAAUAAAAAUACCACUUAUUUCUCUAAUUGCUGUUUAUUUGCUCUGGAAAACAUGGGGAUAAUUAAUGAGCUCCCAAUUAAGAAAAAUUACAUGGGGUAAAGAGGGUGCCCGGGCCGGAAGUGGUUCUAGAGCUGGAGGGACGUUCCCCCCCACCUACUGCCCUGGGCUUGGUGGGUGGAGGGUCGGGACAGGGGGAAGGAGGAGGGGCCGCUGGGGUAAGCAGGAGGGGAGUCCUUAAUAAAGUGGGGGUGGCUGUGGAUGUGCAGGGCAGGGACAUGCAGCAAAGGAGGGGCGGAGGGAGGGAGGGCAGUUAGGAACAGGGAGGAUGGGGUGACACCUGUCUCCUAUUCCGGAGGGAGCUGAGCUAUGGGAUGAGAGCCGGGGCCUUGAUGGCAGAAAUUUGAGUUCUGGGCCUGGCUUGUCCACUGACUCUGAGCCUCCCUGCCUCUCAGCCUUGAUUCCUCGUCUCUGCCUACCUAGGUCAGAGGUCCCAAAUGGCGGCUCAGAGGCAGAACCUGCCCCACAGGCGUAUGUGAGUAUGUGUAUGUGUGGGGGCGUGUGUGUGUGCGCAGGUGUGAGCACAUGUGUGUGUAUAAGUACAUAUACGUGACUGUGUUUGUGCGAGUAUAUGUGUAUGAGGGUUUAUGUGUCUGUGUGUAAGUGUGAGGAUAUGGGAGUAUUUGUGUGUUUAGGUGUUUAAGUGUGUAUGUAUAUGUGAGAAUAUGAGUGUGUGUAUGUACAAGUGUGAGCGUCUGGAUACAUGUACGUGUGUGCGAAAGCGUAUAUUCCAGCUACAGAGUGUGGCGAAAUGCGCAGUCCACAGAUUUUUGGAACGAUUGGGCAGUUUCCCAUGAAAAUGAGGCUUUUGGUGUCUCUUGAAAAGCCGGAAGCCCAGACCCUACGACCCACGAGGAGCUCUGGGUGGCACAGAGCAGUGGCUGCUCCCAUGGAUCUUACCUGUCCGCCCCCUCCCCAUUUUCACUGCAGCCUCACCUGGGGGUGUCUGAGUGUUUAAACUCUGGUCUCAGAGAGGUGCCCUGUGACUCUGUGGUCUGCCAAGGCCCAUGAGAAUUGGUGGGAUGGUCUUGUAUGGAGAAGGGCGUUUAGGCCCCAGAGAAGUGGGGGACAUCUCAGCUGACCACCAUCCCCUUCUCCCGAAAGGACUGAGUGCAGAUGGGGUCACAGAGGCCCCAAGUGGGAGCGGCCUAAGUGCUGGAAGGAGACUGUGGGCUUCUCCACUACUUCACAUCCAACCAUCCCAGUUCUGGUUGCUGCUCAGUCUGGAGUCACAGCCCUGAGGGGCUCAGACAAAGCUGGGGGCUGACUCUCUCAAGGAGGCAGUGAGGAGGGGUUAUAUAGGGACAGCCUGUCCCCGCACCCUGGGGCCCCAGCUCUCUGCCGGAUUCCUCUCCCCAGGUCUUUGUCGCUGCCACUCUCUUGGCCAUGCUCCUCAUUGAGAAGCCUCCUGUUCUCCUGUUCUUGCCCUUCCUGUUCUAUUCAUGCCAACCCAGGCCCCGUCCCAAACAGGCUGGGGCCUUGUCCGUCUCCCUUCUCCCCUCCACACUCAGCUCAGUCCUAGCCUCUCUUGCUGCUAGAAAUGAGGAAAUAAGCCAGGGGGCUUCUUGAAUCUGUGGCCUGGUUGCAGUCAGGUAGGCCCUGUAGCCCACAGAGUAUGUGGGCCAGGAGGGGUGGAGGCUUGUCCAAGGUCACACAGCCUGGGGCAAGGGACUGGGGAAAGCCCAGAACCCUCACCUCAGGGGGUUAUAAAGGUGGCCAAGGCCAAGGGACCGAGGCUGAGGUGUCCCCACUGCCAGAGGAGGUGAUGCUGGUGGCUCCCUAGACGCCUGGCCCUUUCUCAUGAGAACCUUGCCGACUGGCUCCUGGCUAGCAUCUUUGAGACCUGGUAUUGGGGUCCAGAGGCUUGCUUGUGCAUGUGGGUGUGGGCGCUCACACAGGUGUGCACACAUGUAUGCAUGCGUGUGAGUGUUGACAGAUGCCUGUGCAUGCACACGGGCACAUGUGGUUGCGUGUGGACACGCACCCAGGCUCACGAGUGUGUGUCCAUGCAGCUAUUUAACGUGUGUGUGUCUGGGAUGCAGCACCCUUGCAGUUCUGCCCCAACAUCUUUACACGUGUGUGUCUUCCAUGUAGGUCUGUGUGUGCAGCUGAGGGAGGUAGCCAGCCCCGCCCCCUCCUUAGGCCCUGGAAGAGGGUGGCUCCCUAGGCAGGUGGUGACAAGUUGGAGGUGUGAGCUCUGGUUCGUGCUGGGAGCCAGCCCACUUAGGAAAGAUGGUACCAUCUCUCUGGGUGCCAGUGAGGGUCCCCUUGAGUGCUGGCUUCUGGGUCCCACUCCCAGUUUGCUGGGCCCCAAGCCCUUGUAUGGAGAGAGCAUGGGCUGUGUGACUUGUUCCAUGACUCUACCGACCGGAUGUGCUGAGGACAGAGCAGGGACCCUCCUUGUCCACCCCGCUCUGGGCCGUGGCCGGUGGCCAGGGGGGCAGGCACUUGCCCACACGGCUGAACCAAACCCAGGUGUGCGGCGGGGACUGAGUAGUUUUGAGAAGGACCUGGGGCCCCCUCCCCUGCAGAGCAGCCUGGGCCCUGGCACAGAAGGGGCUGCCCCCACCCCAGGCUUCCAGGGCUGCCCCUCCCCCUUCCCGCCAACACACGGGCAAGGUCGAAGUCGGCUCAGCUCUCUGGCGCCCCUGCCUCCCUUCCCCACCUCUCUGCCCCCAUUAUCUGACCCGCUCGGGGGCUGAGCUCCUAAUCCUCUACCAGGAGGGAAGUGUUUUCAAAGACAGAGCAGUUCCGACCCCUAAGAUGUGGUGUGCUAAUGGGGGGGUUUCAGGAACUGCGCACGAUGCUUCUGGGCCGGGAACACCCCCUUGCCUCAGUAGACACAGUUGGUUCCUGCAUGCCAGCAGAGGCCCCACGGGCAGGCUGGGAUCUGGGCCUGCCACUCCCACCUCAGCCUGCCUAGGGGGCUCCCCCCUCUCACCUCCAUCGUAUUUACGUGUCUGUUUUAUGAUUUCAAUUUUUAAUGCCUCUGCUCUUUGAAGACGCUUAAUGCUUUCGAGUGGAACAUUUCCUUCCAGGACCUGAGCGUAGAUUGAGGACAGAGCAAUAAAUCAACUAAUAACUGGAACCUCAUUUUCUGCUCCACGGCAGAGAGUUAACCCCCGCCUUGCUGCACUCCUCUUGAAGUAGCUUCCUUGGCAGCAAGGGGGGUCAGCGGGGGGGAGGGGGCUGGUGAGCAGGAAGCGGGGGUGCUCGGUGCCACUGCACACCCCAGCUGCUUCCCCCUCUGUCACUUCUCCUGGGUCCCUUUCCUCCUCGGCCUUCUCUCCCCUCUUUCUCUUCAUCUCUGUUUAUUUCCGUCCUGCUCAAAGCAAGUCGGAAUAGAGGAGAUGUCUGGAGUUGGGGAUUAUGGGGGGGGACGUGAGGAGGCAUCUGUUGGGAACUUCCCAGGCCUGGACUUGCUACGUGACCCCCAAGGAGUGUCCAGCCAUUCCUGAGCCACCAGGUCACCACCUAUGCAAAGAGAUCCCACCCCAUGGGCACACCAGCAGUGGUGAGCCACACUUGAGGGGCCUUUUACUCCCCUGCCCGUGGUGGCCUGGGGAGAGGAGAGGUGACAGACUCUCAGGCAGCGGGACCGAGAGAGACGGCUUUUCACUCCUCUUGUGUGCGCGAGUCUGCCUAUGUUCGCUAAUGCCUGCCUGAGCAUGUGUGUGUAUGUCUUCAUGUGUUUUAAUCUCCAGGGUCAUGGAGCCACCACUGCUGUUCGCCUAGGGUGACUCCUGGCCCCCUGCGGGACUUGCUAAGGGGCGUGCAGUGGAGAGCCGUGUCUGAAAUGACAGGCUGAGCGCUACAGGUCCAGGUUAGGAGCACUGACUCUGGAACCACACUGCCUGGGUGCAAAUCUGGCUUUGCCACUUAUUGCCGUGUGUCCUUGGAUAAGUCACUUAACCUAUCUGGGCCUCAGUUCCUCUACCUAUAAAACAGAGAUAAGAAUAGUGCCUCCCUCAUAACUUUUUUGGUGCGGAAUAAAUGAGUUAGUUGCCUGUAAGGUGCUUGGUACAGAGUAAGUGCAAUGUGUUUGCUGUCGUUAUUGUAACACACACACACACACGCGCGCGCGCACACACACAUUCACACAGCAUGCUCCCUUUCCAAAACCUACUGACCAUAAGACACCAGAGGUACAGCAGUCACACAUACCCAGACCUACCAGCCUCUAGCACCUGGUGUGUACACAGUCUGCAAGUGAGGAGGCGGCCAGUGUCUAUCAGAGCAGCCAGGGGGGGCUUCCUGGAGGAGGUGACACCGGCACUAGGCCUCAGAUGGAGAGGAGGGUAGACCUGGGCACCUGUUGGGGAAGGACAGGAAGGAUAGUUAAAGAGUGCCAAGGCCCCAGUGGAGGUGUUUACGUUGAGUCAGAGGGAAGCAGGGAGGGGACAGACUAACAUUCAGUAGGCACCUACUGUAUGCAGACACUUUAACUCCGUGGAGAUGAAGAAACUGUAUCUAAGCACUACUACGUGACUUGCUCAGGGUCACCCAAGGUGUCAGUGGCAGAGAUGAGGUUUGAACUCAUGUCUGUGUGGCCCCGAAGCUGUACUCAACUGGUCACCCAAGUCCCAGCCCUGUGAGCCUGGAGAAGGACAGUCCAAACCCCCUACAAUGUCCUGUUCCUGCUGGACUCCUCUGGUGAUGGAGGAGAUCAUGCCAUCUUCGUAUGAUUCCACUCCUCCUGACAGUGAUAUUCAGGCUAAGCCAAAAUCUGGUUGCCAAAACACAGCCUUCUUCCGCCCCCAUGCCCCUCCUCCACUCCCUGCCUGGUCCUGAUGCUGCCUGACGGGCCCACGCGGAGUAGGCUGCACCAGUUCCUCCCAGUGCCCCACGGAUGUGCGACAGGAAUGGAAGAUGCCCCAUAUCGAGCGCCUGCAGCGUGCUGGACACGAUGCGUGGCAUUGCCACAUCCCACCCGUGACACAGUCACCCUGCAGAGUGGGCUGAACCAAGCUCCAGUGCCCAGCCCUGGGACUUCGGUGUCUCAGACAGCCAGGCCCACCGGAGGCAUCCAGGGCAAUCCAGAAAAGAGCUCAGCGCCGAGUAUUUGAUUUCCAGAGUAUUGAAGCAGAUGACUCCACUAGGUUAUAAUUUUAGCACAUUACGGCUGAUGUCUUCUUGGGUCCAUAAAACAGCAAACUUUUAUCACUGGAAGCAGCUCCCAGCGAGACGUGGGAAACCAUCAUGUCGUCGAGUCAUCUGGGUAUCAGUUACUGUUUGGGGGAGAGUGGAGUGUGUGGGUAUUUAUAGACAUGCACACCCUCCCCCGUGCACAGGCGAGCCAGCCUCGGCGGUGGGGAGAGAGGAUGCUGCUGGGGGAGGGGGGAGACCAGGGAGAUCCUGUCCAUCCACUCAGCAAGCAUUAUUGAACACCUACUGUGUGCCAGGCACUGACUGCGCAGGCUUCCUCAGGCUGGUGGGGCAAGGCAGACACCAAGAAAUUAAAGGCAAACAGGGAAUUCGAAGUUGCUAAUGGUGCAGUGAUGGGAUGAAUGGGAUGCCUGUGAGAUGAGGCCCAGCCCUCUGUCAGGUGAGGGAGCACCUGAGCCAGGAUGCUAAGUGGGGAAGAGGAGGUUGUAUGGCCGGGGAGGGGCCCCCAAUGAGGGCAUUUGCGUGGGACUCUGGGGCCAUGGGGGAGGAGCGGUGAUGUUUCCCAAGGGCCAGUGACCAAUGACUGAUGGGUUCAGCAGAUGGUCAGGCAGGGUGACUGAUCUGAUUUAUGCUCUUAAAAGCUCUCUCUUGGGUGUCUGGCUGGCUCAGUGGCUUAGACAUCUGACUCUGGAUCUCAGCCAAGGUCUUGAUCUCACGGUGCAUGGGAUCAAGCCCCGCUUUGGGGUCUGUGCUGACAGUGUGGAACCUGCUUGGGAUCCUCUCUCUCCCUCUCUCUCUCUGCCCCUCCCCUGCUUGUGCUUUUUUCUUUUCCUCUCUCAAUAUAAAUAAAUAAACAUUAAAAAAAAAAUAAAAGCUCCCAUCGCUUCUCGGCCUUUUGGCUAAGAUCAAGUGUAAAAAAAAAUAAAUAAAAGCUCCCUCUGGCUGCUGGAGGGGCCAAGAGGGGAAAUGGGGUAAGGUAGAAGUGAUGGAGGCUGGGGCCUAUAUGGUGGCCAUGGUGACAGAGGCAGAGGAUUCUAGACCCAUGAUGGAGGCAGAACUGGGGGUAAGGGUAGAGUUGGGAGGGAGGUAAGGAGGCCCCCGUUGGUUCCUUACUUAAGCCACUAUGGCCAUUUUCUGCGAAGGGCAGGACCAUUGGACGUUUGGGACUGGGAGUCAGGCAGGAGUUUAUUUGUGACAACCUCCUGAAGCAGAGAUGUCCACUGGCGGUUGGGUUCAUAAGCCUGGAGCUCAGGGAGAGGGUUGGGGGGACGGAGAUGUGGGAGUCACCAGCUCUAGGCGGUGUAUAUAGACAUAGUGCAGGUUGCUUAGGAAGAGGUGCGGAUGGUGGCCGGAGAGGGCCAAGGCCUGACCCUGGGCUUGCCAGCGUGGAGAGCCCAGAGGGGAGGGAGGCAGCACAAGAGGCUGACAGGGCGUGCCCAGGGAGAGCAAGGAAAACCAGGGUGGUGUGGCAUCUCUGAAGCCAAAAGGGGUUCCAAAAGGAAAGAGGAAGUCAGCUGUGCUCAGUGAUGCGGCGAGGCUGAGCAACAUGAAGACACUGAUGCUGCCACUGCGGCUGAUAACAUGGAAGCAUCUUGUGAAUCAUGGGGCCAGCCUUUCUGCAUAUAAGGAAAUUGAGGCUCAGAGAGAGGAAUUGACUUGUUCAAGCCCCAGUGGUCCCAGCCUCCCUGCCAGGGCCUGUCCCCCUGCCCCAGGGGCACCCCCACCCGCCACACUGCCAUGCCUCCCCCAGAACACGAGUUUCUGUGCAGCGUCAUCCUGGACGCUCCAGCAGCCUCAUGGAAGAAGCAGGAUGAGGGCCUCAUUCCCACUUGGCAGAUGGGGAAACCGAGGGCAGGAUGGCAUCUUCUCACCCCGUGUGUCCUGGAGUGCCGACGGAGGGUAGCAUCUUUAUUAUCAGCCAGUCUUCACCGUGGGGAACACAGAAAUGACACAGAUGCCGUUCCUGUCCCUGUGCCACAGUCUUACAGGGGAGACAGGACAAAAUAAUGAGCAAAGGUAGGAACAUUAAACAAAUGGAAUACAGGUCAAGAAACUAUUGCUCAAGGAGACAAAUUUGAGGGCUGGAGGAUCUCAGAGAAGGAAAGAAAAGUCUGGUGACUGUAGUGGUGAAGGAGCUGGGUUUUGAAGGGGGGUGUGAAGCUUAGCCAAGUGGAGGCGAGAGAGGUCACUGGGGGUGGGUGGGGGAGGGGAGGCAUGUGAGCAAAGGCCCGGAGAGGGCCUUGGGGGGGGCGGGGUAUCCCGCUAGAGCAGAAGAGGCGGGAAGACAAGGCCGUGCGUGCUGGCUCCUGAGACAUCUCAAUCUUCUCCAAAGUCGGGUGAACCAGAUGCCCCGGAGGCUCGUGAACAGAUGCCAACAGUGGGAAAGUGGCCAGUGGAUCCUCCAUGGCCCAGCACGGCUGCAGCCGCCAAGAGGUGCGACAGAGGGCCUGCGGGCAGAGGGGCAUGGGCCCCAGGGUGCAAUUGGCCAGCUGCCGUGUGACCUCGAGCCAGCAAGCUCUGCACUGGGGCUAUCGGCACCCCUCGCUCCGCUCCUCGCCCCCCCACCCCCCCGCGGGGGGGCUGGUGGGGUGUCACAGCCCUGUGAAGUGUUCUUCAGCGUAACAAAAGCUGGGGCUGGGAGCGAUGGAAUGGAGGUGAAGGCUUUCAGCUCCCUGGCAGGGAUGCCCAGCAGAAACCCAAGGUGCGUCAGAAAGCAGAGUUUCAGGAGAACCUUUGAUUUAGGGAACAAGGUUUUGGCAUCAAACUGCGAUGAGAGAACAGAGGCAGCCCGCCAUGCAGUGAAACUGAGCGCUGUCAGCCUCAUUAAUCUGAUGCCUCCGUGUUCAAAGCAGCACCUAAUUAGAAGGAGCCCUGACUCUCCACCGGCUGGGUGGCCCAUUGUUCCCACUGGACAAGUCACACCGGGUGACUUCAAAGCCCGCUUCUCUGCGUCCCUCUGCCGCCUAGCAGCAAUUAACCAGCAUUUAGAGCCGGGCUGCCCUGGCUGGCGAGCUUGGCUGCGUUCAUGCUCAUUUGGUGCCAGAGCUGGGGGCCUCCACUCAGUUCUCUAGCUCCUGGGGCAGACAGGAGUGCCAGGCACAGGUGGGGGUGAGGGACAGCCCUGCCUCGCGGGGCCCAGAGGCCUGGAAGGAGCCAGACAAGGCAGAGGAACCAUUGUUCUCUCUUGGCCACGCUCUCUCCUCCCUUCCUUCUCUUUCCAGGUUGGGUUCAUCCUGAGAAAGCCCUAGGAGGGGGCCUCGGAUGCCCAGCCAGAGGUCACACUUGGGCUUGGGACACCCUGUGGGUCUCGCUGGUUGGGCUGACCUGCAUGGACCCUGGGUCCCCAAGGAGAUACAGGGUCCUGCCUUGCCCUGGUUUUUAUCCCCAUCCGCUAGCCCUGAGCCCAGGGCUUUGCCCACAGCAGGUGCUAAGAAAGGUCUGUCAGCCAGUGUAGCAUCUGCCUCAUCUGGUGACUGCACCCCAACACACACAUCAGAGGCAGUGGGCCAACGGUCCCUUGGAAGCGUCCAGUUGGAGUUGGGCAAAGCUUUUAGCACUGAUGGCGCUUUCAGUCUGGAACAGCUGGGGACAGGGAGACUGGAUUUUUCUCUGCCUUCCAGGAGAGUGAACUAACUACAGUUGAGGCUAGAGACAGGGAGGGUGCAGAAGGCUCAGGGCAGUGAGCCUGAAAGAGCCCUGGACUGGCAGUCGAGAUUCCAGGAUUCCUGGGCUGCUGUUACCAUUGACUGGCCACCUUGUGCAGCUUAUCUGUCUUCUGUGGGCCUCAGUUUCCAAAUUGACAGCUUUGUCUUGUCCAGUUUCUUGGAUUUCAUACAGUGAGGUCAAAUGGGGGACUAAGUGUGAACCUGCCCCGGCAGCUGUUCAGAGCAUACUGGGGGGACUGCAGACACUUCUGGCUGUGCUUGCACACCCCUGGAGGUGGGGUGAUCACCACUUUUGAAGGCCGCCUGUUCCAUUGCUGGAUAGUCGCACUUGCUGGAAUGGUCGUUGUAUUAAGUUCCUGGGGCCUGCUGUAACACAUUAUUGCAAACUUGCUGCCUUUAAACAACAGGAAUAUACUCUCAUGGUUCUGGAGGCUGAACAUCUGAAAUCAAGGUUUUGGCAGGGUCAUGAUCCCUCUGAAGGCUCUAGAAGAUGAACCUUCUUGUUUCCAGCUUCUGAUGGCUGCUGGCAAUCUUUGGUGUUCCUUGGCUCGUAAAUGCAUCAUGCCAAUCUCUGCCUUCACCUUCACGUGACAUUCUUCUGUGUGUCGAAAUUUACCUCUUUGUAUAAAGACACCAGGUGUUGGAUUAGAAUCCACCCUAGUCCAAGGGCGCCUGGGUGGCUCAGUAAGUUAAGCGUCUGACGUCGGCUCAGAUCAUGAUCUCACCGUUUGUGAGUUUGAGCCCUGCAUGGGGCUCUGUUCAGACAGUUCGCAGCCUGGAGCCUGCUUCAGAUUCUGUGUCUCCUUGUCUCUCUUCCCGUCCCCACCUCAUGCUCUGUCUCUGUCUCUCUCUCUCUGAAAAAUAAAUAAACAUUAAAAAAAAAAAAAAAGAAUCCACCCUAAACCAGUAUGACCUCAUUUUAACUAAUCACCUCUGCAAUAGUUACUAAUUACCUGGUUUUAAACAAAGUCACAUUCUGAAGUCCCAGGUGGACAUGAAUGUGGGGGGACAUCGUUCAACCCAGUAUAUUCAUUUGCCUUCUCCUGAGCCCAGACUUCCAUCCUGUGGCUUCCUACCCCCCCCCCCCCCCCCCGGGUUCNGCCCCGACUUCCCUCCUGUGGCUUCCCCCCCCCCCCCCCCCACCACGGGUUCUCCCCUGCCUCUGCCCAGCCCCAGCUCUUGUCAGCCUCCCAUGCCCCAGCAGGGUUCCAGUCUUCCCCAUGCCCUCAUCUGCUCUCCAGGGCACACCGGCUUGCUUGUGUCGCAGAUGCUUAUCUGGCAGAGGGUCUGUCUUACCUCGCAGGGUUUGGAGUCUCUCCUGUUCGUCUCACCUUUUAGACGCAGAACUCCCACGGCGGCAUUCCAGGACUCAGCCCCAGUCCCGCCAAUUACCAGCUGCCUUGAUGUGUAACACUAUAAACCCCUUCACCUCAUUAUGGGAAAUUUCUUUUGAAUGGCCUUUAAAAACCAUCUCAUUACACAAGAAGAACUGUAAUUACCUUGCUCAAGAUGGAGGUUCUGGACGAGCUUGUGCCUGGUGCUGUGAAAACUGCAGGACAGGGUUCGUUACUGGCUGCUUUGGCCACUAGACUGAUCUCCUCUCCCCCAUUUAAUCCUCUCUGGCCCCUUUUCUCCCGGGAUCCAGGCACUCUCAUCUCUGUUGGUGGCCCCAGGAAGUCAGAGCCUCCCACAGAGAGAGCAGAGCUGCAGAGGGCCCCGGCUGGGGGUGGCAGUCUUGGAUUGGUGCUCGUGUUGUGAUGGUCAGAGCCUCCCCCCGCUAUUGUUAGGGACUGUCCAGCCUCUUCCCAAGCCCACUCUCCUGGAGCCUGGUGGAGCUUGCCUGGUGGUCCCAGAAAUCUGCAGCUGGGUGAGACCCCACAGGUCAAUAGGUCCAGCCCCUGCCCUCAGCCACUUGCCCAGUCCUCCUCCCCAGUGGCCCCCUGAGAAGGGACCCCAGCCCAUCUUCCUGGGAUCAUCUUCCCGGAAUCAAGGUUUCUGUCCAACCUGUUUCGGGGAUUUCCUUUGGUUCUGGCUAAAACUCCUGCUGCCCCGUUGCUGACCUCAUUUUAGGCCCCUCUCUUCCUGACUGUGUGACUUUGGGCAAGUCCCGUGAUGUUUCUGAGCUUGUUUCACAAUGAUCAGGAUUGUUUCUGCUUCAAGGGUCGUGGUGAAUUUGGGCUGUGGCCGUGAGUGUGGAAUGCCUGGUGUUGGGCACAUAGUGUGAAGUGAAUCCAUGCUGCUUUCCUUUCCCCAGGAGAGGCUCAGAAUGGCUCAGUGGCCCUCAGGGGCCCUGGGUAGGUGUGGCUCUCUUUCCCUGUACCCCGCCCCCCUCCCCUGCCUAGGGUGUUAUGUGCGUGUGUUUUGGGGGAUGACUACAAGGAUGGUUGCUCCCCUUUUUCUUGAUCCCCAUCCCAGCUGUGCCCAGGCCAGAGCUGUGGGUACAGCUGGGGCCACCUCUCAAGCCUCACCCUCCCCUGAGGUUGCCAGCACGUAUCAGGGGAGCUGUUGAGGGAGAAGGGAGGGUCUCAGGUUGCCCAUCACUCGAGACACCCUCCUGUGGGGCUUUUUUGCUGUCCUGACCUUUUCAGUUUUUGGCAUUCUGAUAGGCUGCCGGGACCACUUUGGUCCCCACUGACUAGUUAGGUGGGCCACGGCGAGGGGAUGGCGGCAUGUGGAAAUGUCAGUGACGUCUGCGGAGCCUGGCAAAGUGGCUCCCUUGGGGUUGGGGUGGGGGGCUGCUGUGCAUGUGACAGGACAGCUCUGGAGAGAGACCUAGUUCCCCAUACCACAGGCCUGGUGGUCGGGAGUUGGGGGGAGGGGCUGUGUGAGAAGGCCCUUGGGAGGGAUGACGGGGCACUUGGGGUUUAGUACUAGUCUGUCCCAGACCCUCCCUCUCACCGCACCCCUCCCCAGCCUCUGUCAGUGCACUGCAUGUCAGUGUAGACACCUUCCUGGGGAGACAUCUGUCUCCAGGAUCCCUGCACCCCUUCCCAGUCUGGACUAGGUGCCCCUGCUUGUGCCUCCUCCGCCCUGGACUGCCACCAGAGUGUACAUCCCCUCUCCUAGUCGCCAUUCAGGAGCCUGGAGGCCCUGCGUGGGUGGGCUGGAAGGAGUUACAUUUGUGUGGUCGUCUUUCCCAGUAGUUACUCAGGGGACCCUGCCAGGCUUAUUCACUCUGGUGUCCCCAGUGCCCAAGUGGUACCUGGUGCCUAGUGCCUGGUAUAGAUUGAUUCAGUGAUUGCAUGAUAGGAGGACUGGACCUCAUGGAUAAGUCUCCUUGGCCACACCAGUGAAGUCUAAGGGCAGGUCCCUGCCUUGCCUCUGAGACUGAGGCUCAUCUGUGGGCAGAAGGUGUCCCCUCCCCCUCCCCCUGAAGUCUGUCCCUCAGGCCUGCCCAGGAUGGAGCAGGAGGUGCUGGGCUCUCACAACACACACCUUCCGUGAUUUGCUGUAGGUCCCGCUCUGCUCAGUCCCUGGCUGCACCAUCUCCUGCAGGGAAUCUGCAUGGCAUCCUGGCACAGCCACAGCCGUGGGCACCAGCCAAGGAGGUAAAGCCAUGCCUAUUUGAUGUCUGUGCCUGCCAACAUCCUCUUCUGGGACUCCAGAUAUGGCUUCUGGGACUGGCUGGGGAAACAGGGAGAGCAGACUCUCUGGUCUGCUCCUGAGUGAUGAACCUCAGGGGGGAUUCCUGUUCAUUGAGCACCUACUGUGUUCCAGGCACUGGGAGCAAGGUAGCCAUGGCCCCUCUCUCCUCUCUCGAAGUUCACAGAUUUUGUUGGGGUAGAGGUGGGGACAGAUAAUAAACAAAUAAAAAAAACCAGAUGUGUAGUUGCAAAUUGUGACAAGUGGUGCAAGGGAAUGAUAGAGAAUGCAGAGGUGGGGUGGCCUGCUGAAACAGCGCACUCUAGGAGGGCUUCUCAGGGGCAGUGUCUCAUCCCAUAAUCAGAUGGAUGAGGAGGAGGAAGUGGUGUGCAAGGAGGGGGGAAGAGCACCCAACACCUGCAGGAACCUUGGUGUGUUGGAGAGCUGGAAGAAAAUUCAUGCAGUGGGAGGAAAAGAGCCAGAGGACGUGGUAGGAGGGCAGGUGGCAGGGCUGGGUCAGGCACAAUCUGUGGACUGUGGUUAGGAGGGUGGGUGCAUUUUGUUCUAAGAGGAGCUUGAUGGAGGGUUUUAAGCAGGGAAGGGACCUUGUCUGAUUGAGGGCUCAGUGAUACUGGGCUGCCAUGUGGGGAACAGAGUGGAGAGGCACAGGACAAAGGGUGUAUCCAGAGGGUGGGGAUGGGGCUGCAGAGAGAAGGUUGGGUUGGAGGGAGGGAGUCGGGAAGGAGUCCCAUGGGGUCCCAGGUUUCUGGUGUGCACAGCUGGGCCAAUGGUGGAGACAUUUAUGGAGAUAGGAACGCUGGUGGCAGGGGGGAUGUGAAGAGGGGUGAGGUGUUUGUGGGGUAUCCUGGGGGAGAUGACAAGGAUGUCAGGAUCUUCGUGGUGACAACCAGAUGACUGACAUACUCUUAUCACCAUUUUACGGAUGAUGGCUCUGAAGCUCAGAAGGGCCACACAGCUGGUGUUGCUGAGCCAGGAUAUGAACCCAGAGCCAUCACCUUUCGAGGUGACACCCAUCCUUGUCUAGCCUUAUGUUUGAGAUGAGCAGUGGUUUAGCCAGAAGGAUGAGUUGUGAGUGUUGGGAUUUCAGCAGUGGGUGAAAUCUCCAGUGUUGCCACCUUGGUCUUCACCCAGGGCCACAUCUGGGUUCAGUUUCAGGCUCUCCUUCUAGUAUCACACUAUGGUGCCCUUGGUCAGGAGGCCUCAGCUGCCCUGCAGAGGGUGGGGGCAGCUCAGCUCUGUCGCCCCAUUAUGCCAGGGAGGAUCCAGAAAAGUCUUUCAGUUGUUCAGCCUGAGAAGAGGUCUAAAAUUAGCCCUGAGAUGGGACAGAGGAUCCCAGGACAGGAUGGCUCCCUGGGGCUCUACCCUCCCACUCCCUUCCUGGAUGUGGGAGGGGGCUUAGGGAUUGUCAGACCCUCAUCUGCUGGGCCCCCCUCACCCACUGGCUGGGUGGGGCGGUCAGAGUGCUAGGCAGAAAAAGCAUUGGACCAGGAUGAGAGUCCUGGGGCUGCCAUUCACCCCCAGUGACCUCAGUUUCCCCACCCAACGGUGGGCCCAGUGAAUGAGUUGAGGCCUAAGGCUUUUUCCCCCAGGCAUUCCAGGAUCUCCACCUUCUGAGGUCAGAGAGGAAAAACACAUCAAAGGCUUGGACUUUGGAGUUGUGGUCAGGGGACCGAACUGGUCAGGGGACUUAGAAAACAUGGCCAGGGUGAUGGAAGUGGAGUGGGGUGGAGGUGGGGCACCUUCAAGGCAGAAGCCACUGGUGUGGGGAAGGAAUGGAGAGGGUGUGGACGGGAGGGACAAGGGACUGGGGGCACACGGGAAUGAACCAGUUCAUGUGAUGGCAGAUUAACACAGCAGGUUUUCUACAAGAAGAUGGGAGCCCAGCCGCCCUCCUUAGGGCCAACUAUGACAUUGACCUCUGGUAUGGACUGGCCAUAGUAGCUGGUGCCUGGGUCAGGGCUCAGUGUGUGACCAGGGUCAGGGCUCAUGUGAGAGCAGGAUCAGGAGUCAGUAUGUGUGUGUAGAGUCAGGGCUCAGCCUGGCUCUCUACGUGCAGUCCCACUGGGGCAGGUCCAGUGCCCUCCUCAUCCACACUCCUUCUGAAUUCUCAGCGCUCAUCCCUCCCAUGGAGCUUAUUGUUUAAGUGCCCAAGGCCAACAUCACUUACUCUGGGCCUUGAUGUGAAAAACCCAUCAGCUAUUUCCUGGCCAAGAAUCUGGUCACAAUGUCUGUAGCUCUUCCAGAACUUGCCAUGUACCAGACACUAUGUGUGUGUGUUUUAUUCUCCCCAUUGUAUAGAUUAGGAAACUGGAACUCAAAGAGGUGAAGUGACUUUCUGAGGUCAGCCAGCUAGUUAUGUGCUGGAGCUGGGAUAAAGAUUUCUGUCCCUUUCCCCCUUUGCAGGCUCCCUUAGCAUCCCUCCCUAGGGCAGAGAGGGGCUCUCAGCAGAGCUCCUCCUGCCCAGGCCCCCCUCCCCUAUGGAAUCUUACUCCUUUUUCUGUGUAUGCUAGGGGCUGUCAGUUCAGCCUUCCUCAGGCUGAGGCUCACAGGGUAGACCAGCUGGGCCUAAGGAUGGACUAGGAGACCCUCCUCCAAGGUCCAAGGCAUGCCGGCAGGUUCUGUCCUCACAGGAGCUGGGAAUGGGUGGGGCUUGUCCGUAAGCCCAUAAAUCCUAGGAGUUUGGCUUUGCCCUUAGAGGGUAAGGGAAGGUGGCAGUGGAGGCAUUUGUCUAUCACGGUCCUGGAUUUGAGAGCUUUGGAGGCCCUUGCCAGCACCCCUGACAUCACCCCCUACAGGCAUUUCCCUCUUUUGCUUCCAGGAAGUAGUGUGAAGAGGGCCACCUUGCCUCCUGUAGGUCUGGACACCUCUUACUACAGAGGGGGUGACUGAGGGCCAGAGAGAAGAUACUUGUGCCAAGACACACAGUGUGUUAGUAGAGAAGAGGGACCAGAACCCCAGGGCCCUCUCCUUCACUGCCAGUAUUCUUAGAUAUUCCCUUUCUCAGGCCCAAAACCAUUGUGGAGGGGCGCCUGGGUGGUUCAGUUGGUUAAGUGUCCAACUUCAGCUCAGGUCAUGAUCUUACAGUGCAUGGGUUUGAGCCCUGCAUCGGGCUCUGUGCUGACAGCUUAGAGCCUGGAGCCUGCUUGGAUUCUGUCUCCCUCUCUCUCUGCCCCUCCCCCCACUCACGCUCUGUCUCUGUCUCUCUCUCUCAAAAAUAAACAAACACUAAAAAAAGACCAUAGUGGAAACUGAACACUCAUGAGCACACAAAGGAACCAUAUUCUAAUAGUGGGAUUCUGAGCACUGUACCCGCUGUUCUCUUGGGGCUUCGUGACCCUUCUAUUAGCCUCAGACGUUUCUCAGUGAUAAGAGUCUGCCCAUUUGUAAGUCAUUUGGAAAAUUUCAUGGGGGAAGUGGUCCAGAAUUUGAGUGAAGUACCAGGAGGGAGGGGGGUACAGUGAGGGUCCACAGCAGCCCCUUGUAUGGCUUAUCUGCACUCUGUCCUAUAAACCCAAGCAGGUCUGUGAGAUGGACGGGACUAUCUUGUUUCCCAGCUGGGGAAUCUGAAGCUCAGUAAGGUAGUGAUGGGCCUAGAGUUUUCCAGCCCAGUUCUUACCCACAUCUGCAUGAUCCAAAGCCAGUGGGUUUGCACCAGUGCCCUCUGUGUACCCAGACGGUGGCAUAGAAAGGAGAGAGGGAGACAGUUUCCUGCCCUCAAGAAGCUGCAGAGAGAGGAGCAAGAGCUACAUUAGUGGUGUGUGCCCAGAUCACAGCCUGUGCAGGAGCACAGGAGAGAUCAGUGUAGCUGGAGCAGUAGGAAAGGCUGGGUGAACUUUAGAAGGAAGAGGGAUCCAGAAAGCAGAAUCCCUAAGGCUGUGUGUGUGUCGGGGGGUGGGGUCCUGUCAGGAAGGCAGCACCCAGGAGCUAUCUGUGGUGCUGAACAAAACAGUCCAUAGGGCUUGUGUGCUGUUCUUGCUGGUCGCUUUGGAGUGUCCCUUCUCGUGCCUGAGCCUCAGUUUGCUCUCCCAGCAAAUUGGGUGCUGAUAUCUGCAUCCUAGCCUUGUUGAGAGGAUAAGGAAAGAUCACGGAGCAUCAUGCCAAGCUCGCAGCCUGUUGUCGACACAGGCAUAGGGAAGGGUGGCUUGUUUGGGGGCCUUGCCACACCCCUUAGGUGUCCAUCAGCCUUUAGGCCUAAACACCUCAUGUUGCAGAUGGGGUAGCUGGGGACCAGAGAGAGGAAGACACUUGUGCCAGGAAACAGUGUGUUAGUAGAGGAAGGGGCCGUACUCAGGGUCCUAUCUCUUAACGCCAUUGUUCCUAGAUGGCGCCUCUCCCAGGCUUAGAAGCCUUGUGGAAACUGAACACCUUUGAGAACUCACAGGUAUAAUGCUCUAACAGUGGGAGUCCAGACACUGUGACAUCUGUUCUCUUGGGACUUCCUGAUCCCCUCCCUCCAAGUAGCCUCAGCCCACAGGUGACCAUGUCAUAGCUCUGGGUUGAGCUUUCAUCUCCCUUUAACCACAUCCUUACCCACCCCCUUGCCCAGGGCCAAGCAAAGGUUCUUCCCAAGCCCUGUUGGCAGCAUAAGGCCUCCUGCCUGGCCCAUCUCACCAGGGAGAUGGGAUGCUUUCGGGCAGAGGUGAGUGGGGCAGAGAGCCACUGAAAGUGAAAGGAGAGACCUCUCUCACCCCUCCUGCCUCAUCUUCUCAAACUGCCCCACCAGCCCUGGGUGUGGGACACCUUGCUGUCACCAGGAGGGGUUUCAGGACAAGUUCGCCCCUGAAGACCCCUCCUGCGCCUACUGAUUAUGCUUGACAUGUCCUCCACCUUCAGCCCCAUGAGCCCUUUGGGCCUUUGGUGUCUCCUGGUCCAUUAGAAACAUACAGUCCUAGGUGUGAGUUCCAGCUCAGCCAUUCCCAUCUGUGACCUUAGGCAAGGGUCAUUACCCCCCGGAGCCUGUUUCCUCAUUCGUUGGGAACAAUAUACCUACCACCCAGUGUUGUUGUGCGCUUCCAGCACGGACACACAGCGACCACCACUGCUGCUGUCCUCCUUCUCUUCCCUCUUCCUCCACCCCUGCCUGCUUAAAGCCUGAGAACUUCUGGAACCUGGUAUGUGGGUGAGGUUGGUCCUCGGAAGAUAGGAAGGGGGAAGCUGCAGGUAUAGACUACACUCAGCACCAACAUUUUAAACGCUGUGAGGGCCAAACUGAGCUGCCACCACAGACACUAGUUAGUGUCUGACCUUGUUGCCUCUGACCUGGCUCUGGAAGUUUCCCUCCUGCGGCCCCCACCCCCAUUUCAUUUGCCCAGGCUCAGGAGGGCCACAUAGAGUGAUGCUGAAAACACUAGGCAACUCGCAGACCUCGGCCACCAGCGACACCCACCUUGUCUGCCACCCGAUUCCAAGACCACAGUCAACCCUCCACAAGCCAGUCCAGCCAAAGGGAGUCGGGGGUGGGGGGUGGGGCGGGGAGGCUCAGCCUCAUCUCUACCUCAAUCUCUCUGGGAACCAAGUGCUCACACAGAGCCCAGCACAGAAUUAGUGCCCCAAAUGCUUUACCUAUUAUUACCUAUUAUUAUUGUUAGUAGUAAGAGGAGGAGGAGGAUAGCAGUCCCAUUUCACAGAAGAGCAAGGUGAGGCCCAGAACAGUUGAAAAGCCACCACCUCUGUGAAGCCUUCCAGGCUCUGCCCCUUCUCCCAGAAGUGGCUCCUCCUUCUUUUUGACUUAUUUCAGUUGCUUUCCACUGCUCUAGCUUGGGCAGGGCCAGGCACACAGUGGGUGGAUUCUGAGGUGGGGAAGGGGUAGGUUGGAGGAGCAGCUCACAAGGCUGUGGGUGCUGUCAGGGGGCCUGCAGCCAGGAGGCCCAUCUGCCCAGGGACGUGCACCCCACCCCCAGCUCUAAUUCCCCUCCGCUGGCUUCCCUGCCCGCUUGCCUAAUUGUUGAGGAGUCCUACUGUGUGUGGUGAGACCAGGGCCUCUGCUGCAUCUGCAUGCUGGCUCCCUAGGGCAUCUGCCGGGUCCUCCUACAAUGUCUGUCUUCCUCUCAGCCCCUUCCCCUGUGGGCAGAAUUCUGAUCACCUCACAUCACUACCAGCUGGUUAGCGGUUAAACUCAGUAAAAGUUAAUUGAGCAAAAGUAUGUGCAAGGCACUGGGGAUGCUGUGAGGACUGGACUCCAAGGGGCCCCGCCACCAGGGAGGGGUGGGGGACAAUCGUCUGUGUGCACCUAGCGGGCACUGGGCAGUGCUUUCCCUACCUGACCACCUGAGAGGUGGGGGCUGCCCGGGCUCACUGAUGAGGAGAGUAGGGCCCCGGGGAAGUGAGGAACCUACUGGCAAAUGCUUGGCUUUGAGGCCUGCAGUAGGACUGGGAACCAGGGGGAAGGAGCCACUCCUAUGCUGACCCAGGUGGCUCCCAGGCAGUUAGGUUGCUUCUGGCUUUUCCAGACACAUGGCUGGGCCCUUGGGAACCCACACUCUGAGGAGAUCUCAGGGCAGCCUGAGGCCACUGCAUGGGGCACCUGCUAGGGCAGUCAUGGGGCCUGCUCUUCCCUGCUGGGGCUCCCUGCCCUCUUGAAGCUCAACCCUGCCCCUCCCCUCUCCCUGAGGCCACCUCAGAGGGCCCAACCUAGCUCUUGGUCCUCCUGAUGUGCCCACCCUGACCCUUCUUACCCUCUGGCCCUGCCUGUGUGCCCCUUCCUCCUUCAGGUGGGCCUGAGGGCCCUGCCAUUCCCUAUUUGUGCCCCUUCUAGCCUCCUGCCCACAGAGAAGAUCAGUCCCCUCCGCCAUAAACUUGCCUCUCUUCGACUUAAUACUUUCUCUCUGGCUUCCCACCACGUCUUGGAAGAAGAGAUGCUUCCAUUCCAGACCAAGGCUCAUUCCUGCCCCAGCCCGCAACCAGCCUUUCCUCUCCAUAGCUCCUAUCUGGCUUUGCCCCGUGUAUUCCCCCAAUUCUGGUGGAUAUCUGGGUUCCCCAAGCCAGUGGCCAUUCCCAGUCGGCCCCGCCGUCUCUUGGGCUGUAGCAGAAGCCCUACACCACCUCUCACUCCUGGAGACUGGCAGCAGCCCUGGACUUGCACCCAUCCCAUGUGGCCGUGGAACUUCCUGGGCAGCACUAGUGGGUCUCAGGUUCCCAUUCUCUUGAGUAGGUCAGAGCAAUGCCUGGAACAUAGUGGGCGCUUAACAAUUCUUGUUGAAUUAGUGAACUAAGUAACUAAUCCCUGGCUCAUCCGACUCACCUGAAUGUUGUGUGAUCAGCGCAACUACCGGAUUUAAAAGGGCUUUGCAAAGUUUGACAGUGUUGUUUGGGCAUGAGCAUCUGUCAUGCUCUGUGGGGUAUUGCUGCUGUCUUACCAGUGGUAUAACCACUGCCUUCACUCUGCAGAUUCGGCCUCCCUAAUACCUCUUGCAUCCUCCCCCUCCUCUCCAUUCCUUUGCCUGCCUCAGGACCCACCUUCUCUCCCUUGGUCACUGUUUCAGUUCUAACUUUUCACUGCUUCCUCUCUUCCCCGGUGUAAUCCAUCCUCUACCCAGGUGGAAGCUGGAGUGAUGUUUCUGAAGCACAAAUUGGGCCCUGUCACUCCCCACGUAAGACCCUUCAAGCUGCCCAUGACUCUUGGGAUAAGAGCUAAACCCCUGUGUCGUGCAUACAAAGCCCUCCCCGGGGGAGAGGAGCUGUCUCCCUCUCCACUCAACAUUCAUGCCCCUGGCCAUUGGCACAGGCUGCUCCUCUGCCUGCAAGACCCUUCCCCACUGCUUCCAAACCCAGUUCCUUUUCCCUCAAGGCCCUUCUCAAAGACCCUUCCCCUGGAAGCCUUCCUUCCUUGAACCCCAGCUCUGGAUUGGAGGCUCCCCUAGCCUGUUCCCCCAGCAACUUGGGCUCUUAGUCUCACACAGUCCCUGAGUCACUGUCUCUUAUCUCCCUGUGGGCUCCCUCUACCCACUUGUCCCAUUAGACUGUGAGCUCCCUGAUACAGGAUGUUGAGAAUUUUUGUACUUGAGUCCACAGAAAGUAUUAGCAUUUGCUGAAUGAAUGAAUCAAUGAAUGAAUCAGUGAAUCAAUCAGUCAAUGAAUAAGUUGCCCCCCCCCCCCUUGCUGUGGAGACUCUCGGCUGGACCUUUGCGUCUGCGGUGGGAAGUGGGCAGUACAGCAGCCUCUACCUGCCCUAAAGGUGGCCUUCCUUUCUGACGUCUCACUGGGCUGUAGUCUCUUGUCCUGGAAUCGCCCUCAGGAUGGCCUUCCUGGCCCAGCCAUGUGCCUCGCAACAGCGGUAGCUGUAUCUGCAGUGGGGGGGUCCUUAACUGUCCCAGGAGUUUACUAUAGACUGAUUGGCAUUGGGAUCCUGAGGAGCCAGGGUCUGCAGGAUCUCCCCACCUGGCUCUCAGCCCUAUUCCCUGGUCCCUACCCAGCUAGAGCAGUUUGACCCUUGUCUCCCCUCCCUGCCCCUCCCCCGUCAGCCCUGCCCCUCUUGACCCCGAAGACUCUUCCUGGCCUGAGCCUCCAGCACGUGAGCACUGUACAGGGAACCCAGCACUGAGUCCUACUUCUGUGCUGCUCUGAGCUGGUCCCAGCCCUGACAGUCCCGCAGAUGGUCUGGCCACCACUUUGCUCUCACAGACUCAUGUCCUGGGAUUUCUGGUUUGCUGGCUUGGCUUCCCUGGUGCUGACUGCCUUCCCAUGAGUGUCACCUUGCUAUGGAUCCAGCCCUGGCUGCCCAGACUGCAAAUCGAGCCAGAGUCCUAGGUGCCCUGUCCUAGAAGGGGGCUUGGGGAAGAUGGGAAGGAGGAAAUGUUGUCCUGUUUGGAGGGAACCCCUAAGACUGCUGUGUGCAUGUGGAUGCAACCACCAGAAACUGGGAGGGCCCAGAAGGUGGGUUUCUGGCUCUAGGAGAUACUCGUGAGUGGGGUUCCUGGAGGGAGUGUUUCCUGGAGGAGGUGCUGGUGCCCAGUGGGGGCCAGUGAGGAUGUGGAGGAGGUGACUUGGAGGGGGAGGUCCUCACCAGUGGGUAGAACAGCGUGAGCGAAAUUGUCCUGGGUGCCUACUCUGCUGGGCUCUGUGCCAGCUUUGUACCCUGCCCUGUACAGCCUUCGGGUGACUAUUAUUAGCUCCGUCUACAAGAUGGGGAAAUAGAAGUUCAAAGAGGCUCAGGGACUCCCCCAGGGUGACCUGCUGUCACCAAGGCAUUGUCAGGCCUCUACCCCAGGUCUGGCAUCUUUUCAGGCUCCUAAGUGGAGGGAGUGAGGGAGAGUCUGAGGAAGAGGGGGAGGGAGGCUGGCGCCCGCCAGAAGCGUCAAACAGCUGCUGACUGUGACUUUCCGGGGAGGGGGUGUGGAUGGGGGGUGGCUUUCUGAGUUGGUCCUGUUCCUCCCUCCCUCCCCCUCCCGUGGGAGAACCCUCACGAUGAGAGAGGUUCCCGCCGCGCCCCCUCCCUGGAGAGGCCGGCAGUUUGCCUUUUCAGAGGAUAAUUCCCCAUUAUACAGAGAUAUUUAGCCUAAUAGAAGCCGACAGAUCAUUCAGGGCAGUAAUGUACUCCGGCUUCAAGCGUUUAGUUUCCUUGGCCUGAACUCUCAGAUUAAAGGCUCCUUGCUCGUGCCCGCCCCACAACGAUGCCUGUGACCUUGACUGCAGUGAUGGGGUAGGUUUCUCCCUCCCUCUUUCCCUCCUCCUUUGCUGGCUUCCUCCUCCCUCCCUCUCUCUCUCUUUCUUGGGGAAAAAAAAAAGGUAUUUUCCUUCUUAAAUAUUCAGUCGAGAGGCUGUUGCUUAAACCCUGCAUGCUCUGGGGACAGGCAGAUUGUGCUUGACUGCCAGCGGGGCACGGGAACACCUGGCUGGCCCAGAACACUCGCUCAGCCACAUGGGGCCAGCGGGUGUGCUGAGCCUGGUGGGCAGUCUGGAUGCUGGACCCCAUGGCUGGGCGUGGGCCCAUGGAAGCCGGGCAGAUGGUCUUCCCCGGGCUACGACUUCUCCCCUUCCCCCUCUGCCCACCCCCUGCCCUUGUCCCGGGGCUGGCUCCCAGGGGCCUGGCCCAGUACCCUCAGUGAAUGGGAGACUCCUAGGGCAGGAGGUUUCAUCUGAUCCUCGGGCCUGGACAUCCGGGGAAGGAUCUAGGGAACACUAGUGGCUGGAUUUGAGGGGCAGAUGGCAGCAGAAGUGGCGCCUGACAGCCGUUCAUUGAUCAAGAGGGUGGCUUCCGGAGCUGUCUCGUUCUGGCCCCCGCAGGAUCCACUUGUCAAUUCAUCCAUCCAGGCUGCCCUCUGUCUUUCCUUUGUCUUACCUUCUCACCCCUCUCUCUGCUGCCCCCGCCCCCCUGUCAUCCGCUCACCAGGCUGCCUUUUUGAGCUGCCUUGUGCUUCUGUACAAGCAGCAGGGGGCAUGUGAAAGCACCAGGUAUCUGGAUUCAAGCUGGUCCCGAGUUCAAACCCGGACUGCAGGACUUACGAGCUGUUUCUGUUCUAUUUAAUAUUUUGAAUUUGGACAAGCUCCUCAAUCUCUCUGAAGCUUCACUCUCUCACCUGUAAAGUAAGAGCAUCCUGAGGGCUCAGGGCGUGAUGUGGCGAGGAGUGGCACUAGGUCUGGCAGCCCUCCCAGGCCCCUCCCCCAGAUGCUUCGGCCUCUCCUACCCAGAUGCCCUCUGUCCCUCUCUCUGUCCCUCUUGGCUAGAAAAAGGGAAGGUGGUCAGGAGGGGUGCCUGGCGAGGCGGGCUCUGGUUCUCCCACUCACAAGCUGCCUGUGUAAGUAUGAAGGGAAGAAUGAGGCCGAGUUGGAGGGACCUUUCAUGAGUUCAUUUUCUGGGCAAAGCCUAGUGUAUGGGCACAGGUCUGAUUUGAAGGAAUCAACUUAAGGGGCUGUGGCUGGACUGCCAGGGGAAGACAGGGGAGGAUGUAGGAGCAGGGGCCUGUGUAGCCUGGGAGGAGAAGCCAUCUGGGCUGGGACUCCCCUCCCAGGUUGCCCAGGGAUGGGCAGAAAGAACCUGUAGCCAUCAGGGAUGAGGAGUGUUGGCAGCUGGAUGAAACCCCAGGUGGAGGAGAAAUUUCUGCACUUUCUGGAGCAGGGGUGGUGGGAUGACCACUGGGGGUGAAGGAGGGGAAGUCCCUCUUAGAUGUUUGACCACAGAGGGAAUCUGGGGCUGAUGUGCUAUGGGAACUUGGGCUGGUCCCGUUUCUUCUCUGGGCCUCAGUUUCCUCCUCCUAUAAAUGAGGUUGAUCAUCCUGUCCUGUGUGCCUCAUGGGAUGGGCAGAAGAUCCAGUUAGAGAAUAUAUGGGCAUGUUCAGUGAUCUAUAAUGUAGUACUAAUGAUAACUAUCAUUCUGGUCAUUACCUUGCUUUCUUUCCACUCUGUGUGACACCCACUUUGAUCCACGCAAUCUAGCCCCGAUUCAUAUGCUGAUAGAAUUAAACAUGGCUGAAAGCAACCUCUCCAUUUAGUGCGAAAUCUCCACCCAACAUACAUGGUCCCCAGACCUCCACUUGCAUGCCCCCAGGGACAGGGAGCUCACUGCUCCUCAUGAUGGGCAAAAGACUGUCUCCCUAGAAUCUUUUUUUCACUGGGCUCAGUUCUGCUCUCUGGGAACAUAAAUGCUAAGUGUCUUUGUCAGAGUCCUGACCAGGCCCUUGAGGCUUCCCCAGGGAACCUGGGUUCCAGGCCCACCUCUUCCUGUCAAGGCCCCAGUGAGCAGAUUUCACAUUAUCAAAGACCUUCUAUAUGGGUACAUAGAUGCCUGGGCAUGGCGUUCUGGAAGUAACUGCACUGUGCACCGUCUCCAGAGCUGAAGCAAUGGGCUCACCCAGCCUCUAUGUCUCCUGGCCACCAGGCUCCAUGGAGUCUACGACUAGAGUCCUUGGCCACUCUCUAUAGUAGUGAUUCUUGGAGCUACUCACAGAGUUUACCCCAGGUUCUGGUAACUCUCUCUUAUAUACUGUUGUCUAUUCCUAGGGCACAUGGAAGGCUUUGAAUAAGAGACCCUGCCUCCCUAAUUGACCCCCGUUAGGCUGGACCUACCUUCAAGGCUCCAUUCUAGUCUCUGCCAGAAAAGUUGUUCCAGGCAGGGCCAAGGACCAGCCCUGCUAGUGCCAGUGAGAAGCCUCCCCAGGAGCCAGUGUGACCUACUUUCCCACACUCCUGGCUGUGGUUAUUUAGCUAACCACUGAGUGACCCAGCCCAUGGCUUUCUGCCUCCUCCGCAAGGAUGUCAUGAGGGCCUUGCUCAUGGCUGGCUGGAAUGCAUUUCAUCCUUUCAAACAGCUAAGAGAGGACAUGCAGUUAUCCCGCGAGAUUCUGUGGAUAACUGAAGUCAAACUUGCCAUUGUCUUUCCUGUGUUCUGUGUAGCACUUCUAGAAUUUCUAUUAGAAUGGAUGUGAAGCCUACUGGUCUGAGCCCAAAUUGGCUCUUUUAGCCACCCCCUCUUUUUUUUUAUUUUUUUAAGUUUAUUUAUUUAUUUUGAGAGAGAGGGAGAGAGAGAGAGAGAGAGAGGCAGAGAGAGGGAGAGACAAAAUCUGAAGCAGGCUCUGUGUUGUCAGCGCAGAGCCCGACAUGGGGCUCGAACUCGCAAACUGUGAGAUCAUGACCUGAGCCGAGAUCAAGAGUUGGAUGCUUAACCGACUGAGCCACCCAGGUGCCCCCAGCCCCCCUUUUAAAACAAAAGGGGAAGGAUGCUAAUAUUUAUAAAUGCCAGUUCUUGACAUAUAUCAUUUCACUGACUCUUCAUCACAGCCUUGUGUGGGAGGAUUGUGGUUGCCUCUCGGAAGAGGAGGGAGCUGAGCCUUGGGAAGAGGCAGAACUUACUCAGGGUCCUGCAGCUAGCAAGAGGCAGAGCUAGGGCUCCAAAGCCUGAUUUUCCCCAGCCUCUGUGCUCACAGGCCCAGCCAGCUGAGGGUCUGCUCUGGGCCAGCCACCCGCCUCUCUUGUCCUGCCCGAACCUGUCUUCUUUCUUGGACAGUCUUAUCAGCCUGGGGGUGGGACCCAAUCUCUGCUCCUCCCACAGACCACACACAGGACCAGGGAACAGAGCAGGGGCUCUGGCAGAAAGAUGCAGAAAGAUGUGAGGCUCAGUAUGGGCGGGGGGGAGGGCAGUUUUCAUGGCCCUUGCUCAUCUGCUGUGUCAGUUUCUAAUGGUUUAAGUUUUACUGGGGGGGUGGUUGUAAAAGCAGGACGUGUGUGUGGUAGAAGAUAGGAGUCAUCCUUGAUUCCUUUCCUUGCCCACUCCCUCACAUCCAGCCAUCUGUGGAGGGGCUCUGCUACAGCACGCACUCCGAAUCUGUUGAGUCCGCCCUCAGCUGGCCCAGGCGCCACGUGACCGGCAGCUGUGACAGCCAGCCCACUGGGUCCUUGCUCUCCUGCCCGCGCCUUUAAACCCAGUCUCCACUCAGCAGCCCCAGGGAACUUUUCACAAUGAAGGAAAAGUCGCAGCCUUUUCAUCACACUGGAGGGGAAGCUGAAAGCCCUUACCUCCUUCCCGAGGGCCCAGCCUCCCUCUGCUUCAUUCCUCACAGUUGCCCACACUCUGCCCACCUCAUGCCAGGCCCCUGGCCUGCCUGCUGCUCCUCAGAAACACCGGGCUCCUGCCCACCUCUGCUCCCCUCCUCCUCCUGUCCAAGGAGAGACGGAUUUCUUAUCCUGUAGGAUAUGAAUAUAUGAAUUCAGGUCUGACGUCUGCACAAAGACCUUCCCCCGACCCACCAGCUGGAGUAACCCCUAGUCCCACCCCAGGACCUCUCUCACACUACUUGGUUUGAUGAUCUUAUUUGGACUUGUUGCUGUUUGCAAUGAACUUGCUCAUUUAUUUGCUUAUCAUCUGUACCCCCAUCCCCUUGAGAGUAUCAGACUUGUCUGUUUUGUACCCCCACUCAAUCCUCAGGACCAGCACUCAUCCCCCCUCCUGUCCUGCCUAUUGUACACCUAGAAUAUAGUAAGUGCUCAGUAAGUAUUUGGAGAAAAAAAUGAAAAAUAACAGAAACAUGGCAAGGAGAAAUAGAUUACACAAUUGUGGAUAUAGGAGCAGUUAAUAAUGUCGUGUGUGUGUGUGUGAGUGUGUGAGUGAGUGUGUGUGUGUGUGGGGGGGGCUUGGAAUCAUCUGCUCUUUUAAUGAGAGGGCUGGGCCUGAGCCUGAAGCACUACAUGCAUGUGCAUACUGGUCACACACACACAGACACACACACACACACACACACACGCAUGUGCACACAUAUGUGUUUCCCUAUUGGGUAGCAGCAUAAUCUCUGGUGAGUUUUUUCACCUUUUAGGCCUCAGUUGCUCCACCUGUGGAAUUGGGCUGCUGGGGCUGGAGGUGGAGGCCUGGAUGCCAUGGCCUCUGGAUGUCAGCCCUUGCCUGUGGAGGGACACCAUGGGCAGUGUGCCCGCUGGCCUGCCGGGCUGUACUGAGCAGGCUGGGAGGUGUUUAGAUAAGUCCGCUCCUCACAGGGCUGCUUCCCGCUGACCUCUGAGGUGAGGAUCUCGUCCAGGCAGGAGGGAGUGGGGGGGGUGGCGGCAGGAAGUGGGCACAGAGGCCUGAAGACGUGAGCUUUGCUGCUAGAAGGUGGAUUGCGUUCACAGUUGAGGUCUCUUGGAUGCACCAGUAGCUUGACCUUGAUGUGUUUUCAUUUUUGUGUGCGUGCUUGCGUUUUAAAAAAUAUUUCAAUACAUUCAUUUUAUUUCUUGAAACUUUUUCUUGCAAUUGCCACAGAAAGAAUUUUUAUGAAAUUUAAAAGGGAAAAAAACCACACACACACACACCUGUAUUUUCACCAACCCAAGACAACAACUGUCCCCUGCCUGCCUCCUUGCCCUUUUCCUGUGACGACAAUACUGGAACCUUGCAGAACAUGUUGGGGGGGGUGGGUAGAAGGGGCUCUUGACCUUAGACAAGUUACUUCAUCUCUCUAUAUAGGCCUUAGUUUCCUCAUCCAAAAAAAGGUAAUGCAUCAUAAUUGUGCCCUCUUAGAGUUCUUAUGCAGAUUACAUGAGUCAACGUUUAUAAAGCACUUAGAAAGUUGCCUGGCACUUAGUAUGUGUUUGUUAAAUAAAAGGAGUAAAUAAAUAGAAAGGAAGGGACACUCAUAAUGCUGCCAUCAUGGCACGAAGAGGCAGCUGUGGAAGUUUGUCCUUGGGGUCAGAAAUCAAGAGCUCAAGCCCUGACUCUGCCCUUAGUCCCCCAUGUAACCAGGAGCACAUAUGGCUUCUUUAAGACUCAGCUCCUCCGUCUGUAAAAUGGGUAUGUAAUCUGCACCCCAUGAUGCUGCUGCACAGGGUGAGGGGUAACGGGUGCACAUGGGCUCAGUGAGCACAGGGCCCCUGCACAGCACUGCAACCCAGCCCCCACCUUCAUCCGUCUUCUCAGUUUUCUUGCUCAAUAUUGUUAUAGCUCCGUGUUGCUACCAGCCUCCGUGUUUAUCAUUUUUAAUGACUGUGUGAUAUUCCAUUGAGCAGAGGUGUCACAACGCACUUUGUCAUCUCUAUUGUGGGAUGUUUAGGCAGCUUCCAGCAUCUUGCUGCUAUAAAUAACCUUUCCGUGAACAUCUCUGUGGCUGGAGCACUUCCCCUCUGAUGGAUGAUUUCCCCAGGCAACUUCAGUGACAUUCGUUGAGGCUGCUUUAUCGGGAGGACUGAGGGGCGGGCAGUGGGACUAGGAGCUGGGGGAACAAGGUUCUGGUUUUUCCUUUGUCUGUCUGCCACUCUCUCACACACUCUCUCUGUAUGACCUUGAGCAAAUCCCUUCCUUUCUCUGGACCUCAGUUUUCUUCAAGUGUUGUGGCCAGGGACUGAGACAGGCUUGGUCCAGAGCUGUGCUGUCCCCUGUGGCAGCCACUAGCCAUCUGUGGCUAUUUUUAUUUAAAUAUAAAUUAAUUAAGGGGCACCUGGGUGGCUCAGUCAGUUAGGCGUCCAGCUCUUGAUUUUGGCUCAGGUCGUGAUCUCACAGUUCAUGAGUUCGGGCCCCAUGACAGGCUCCAUGCUGUCAGCACAGAGCCUGCUUGGAAUUCUCUCUCUCUCCCUCUCCCUCUGUUCCUCCCUGGCUCGCGCGUGCUCGUGCUCUCUCCCCCUUUCUCUCUCUCUCUCAAAAUAAAAAAUAAACUUUAAAUAAAUAAAUAAAUAUUAAUUAAAUAAACUUUAAAAACCAGUUUCUUAGCCACACUGUGCACAACAGAACCCAGUUGUGGCUGCCGGUGGCUACCACAUUGGGCAGCACAGGUAUAGAACAUUCCCAUCAUUGCGGAAAGCUCUGCAGGACUGUGCCAGUCAUCAUGCCUUCUUCUGGAACUAAGAAGAGGGCAAACAGCCCUUAGCUCAGAGGACUCAUUAAGGACCUAACAAGACUUAGUGGCUUUCCACAGGCCAGGGCCUCUGGUAGUGUCCAGAGUCUGAAAUAUCCAUGUCCUGUGUCUUUCUCCAAGAGAGAAGCUGGGCAAGAAUAUGGGCCCAAGAGAGGUGGCCCCAGCAGGGGACAGUGCCCAAGGGAGGCCGGCAUGAAGACAGAGUAGGUGGUCUCCUGAUUUCUCAGCCGGGAGGGCAGCUGGAGGACAGGUGCCGCAGCUCUCUGCGCUGUCCUCUCUGGAUUCUUUUAGAAGUCUGGCCUAGAGAGCAAAGAUUGCUGCCUCACUCAUCUUGCCCUGCGCUGGCUGCCUGGGGCCCUAAGCCCGGUUCUGGGCACUUGCUGGGAGAGGAGCUGUGAGAAGCGAGCCCACGGCACCAGGAAGAAGCUGCUUCCCUCCCCACCACCACUUGACAUACCCGCUCUGGCCACACCUGCCCCCUCCUCUCCCCUUCCACCUUCUGCAGUUGCUUUUCUGCAGCCUGGAGGUAGCACGGGGGCGGGGGAGAGGUACCCAGGGCAGGGGAAUAGAGGAAGUAAGCGGAGAGAAACUUGGCUGGCUUUGGUCUCGCCUUUGCCGAAGCGUGGCUGCCUUCUGCCCUGCCCCUGUGCCCAAUGCUCCUCUGUCCCCAUAUGAACCCUACUGCUCACUCUGGUUUCUCCUGUUUUCCAGGGAUCCCAUGGCCAUGUCCUGGCUGCCUUGAAUCUGUGAGGCCACACAGCCUCCCACCUGCAUCUCCAGGGCUCUGUCCCUGUCCAGCCCCUGGACCAGCUUCCGAGUCUACUCCUCACCCCAGCCUGGGGACGCCUCAAGCUUCAGGACUCAGUGGGGCACAGUAGCAGUCACGGUAGGUGGCGACCCCACUCUGCUCUCUCUUGGCUCCUGGGAAUACUUAGCUGAGCCUUCUUGGUCUCUGGAAUAGGAAGGAUACCUUUCUGAACACCAUAUCUGUCACCAUAUCCCUUUGGUUGACAUCGCAAAAAAACUUAUUUCAAUAAAAUACAAGUAUCAGCUCAUGUAACUGAAGUAUCCAGAGGUGGAUGGGGCUUCUGGCAGGGCUUCAUCCAGCGGUUCAAACAGUGUGGCCAGGACCUGUUUUCUGUCUGCAUUUCUCUGCUCCCUCUUCCUUGGUGGUGGCUCCACCUCUAUGAGCAUUUCACAUGACAUGGUCACAGGAUGUCUGCCAACGGUUUCUGGGGCAGUAUGCUUCCAGGUUUAAAUCUGGGGUCAGGGGUGGAGACAAAAUCUGCUUUCUUGAUAGAACAAAUAAAAGCCCUGGGGUUGAUCUCUUGGGCCCUGUUGGCAGGAUUUGGAUCAUCCUGACCCCUUUGGCUGGGUCCACAGGUCUUGGAAACUUAAAGGGACUGGGGGUCAGGGUCUGUCCUUCCCCAACCAUGUGACCAGGAAUGAGGACAGGGUGUUUCCCCAAAGGAAGCUUGGGGUCCUGCUGGUAGAAGGAGUUGCCCCCAAGUGAGGGAGGCAAAUAACAAAUGAUCGGUGGAGUCUCCCCAGCUUGGACAGCUUAAAGUCAGUCCCAGAUAGAUACAGAUAUGCUGUGGGUCCUUGGGCAGAUCCCUAUGCCUCUCUGAGCCUCAGUUUCCUUACCUGACGACGAACCUCACCUGGCAGGGGUGCUAUGAGAACUACCUGAAACGAUGUGUGGGAAGCACUGGUGUCUAUAGCAGGUGCUCAGUAAAUCCUUUUCUGUGCCCCUUCCCUUUCUCUCCUGGGGAGUUUGGAACAUCCUGUUUCCUUCAAACUUGGAAGGAGCUGCGUAGGAAGUAUUGUCAGGAUCCCUAGAAGCAAAGUCUGAGACAAGGAUUUGUGAACAUGAGGUUCACUGAGGGUGGGCUUUUGGGAAAAGGGAGGAAGAGAAGAAGUUGGGGCAGGUAUGAGAGCCCCAUGAGUGAGGUCGUGGCCUUGGGCUGGUCCAGGGGGCCCUGGUGUAGAGUUGACACCACAGAAUUGUCCCCUAGACAAGGUGGCCAGGCUUUUGUACCCCUGUAUCAAUCAGUCACUGACUGUGGGCCAUGCCUGCGGCGCCUGUGGGUGGCCCCCAUUUGCAGAGGGCAAUUCUCUGGAGAAGGGGGUGCAGUGAGCUGAGGAGGGGCUCUGGGAAGGCACCACUUAAUACAGGAAGGCAGGAUCCGUGUCCCUGGCCUGGCCAGUCCUAGAGGAGCCCUGCUCUGCUGCCUCCUCUGGCUUUUGCUCCUCUGGCCCCAGACAGCAAUGCCAGUCCCUUCCACUCGCCUUUCGAGAAUCUUUUUCCACCCCAGGCCUCCGUGUCCUCCCUGUGCCCCCUGCCUCUUUCCUAAUCGUUCUUCUUUCCUCCCUUCAACUUUAGUCAGUCGUGCAGUUCCCCCACCUACUAUGCCCUUCCUUGCUCUCUACCCCAUCCUCUUUUUCAGGCCUGUGUGGGUCCCUCCCUCUCUGCUCACUGCUCCAGCCAAUGUUUAUCUCCUUUAGUCCUUCCUCCAGCUGCACCCUUCUUACAGAUGGAAAGGCCAAGGCCCAGUGUGUACUUCCUCACGAAUACUUUGUGGGUUCCUACAGCAGUGCCAGAGUGUGUUGCUCUCUUUGCCUUGGCCACUAGGAAGCUCAUAGCUGGUUUGUGGCCCAUUUCUGAGAAGUGCUGAGGAUGCUGGCAUACAUACAGUUGCUCAGUCGCCUUCCCUCUGACUUCUCUCUCAUUUUCUCCUUUUUCUGAUUUCUUUUCUUAUUUUUCAGCUUGUGCUUUCUCGGCAGCCUCAAACUCUUUUAGAAGGUGGUGGGGUAUCAAAAACCAAGAGUGGCCUUGGCUAAAACAUUCAGCCAAAUACUAGGCUUUCCCCUUCCUAAGGGUAGCUGGGGUGGGAGAGUCUCCCCCAGGCCUAGGGCUGAGCCUGUCCCCAAGGAGACACCAAAGCCUGACCACGGUAGCCCCGGCAUAGCACCCACCCUGCCCUCCGUGGGUCGGGAAUGACAUUGUUCUGCUUCCUACCCUUUUCCCUCCCCCCUUUUCAUCUUAUCAGAAGCUAAUGAAAGAGGCUGGGAAACCCAAUCCUCUGGUAAUUAAAUUUACUUAACGGGUAUUCAAGUGGAGUAAUGAGAAGUUUAAUGCAGUGAUUAGAUUUUUCUUUAAUUAAUUAAAAUGAGAACCAUGUGUCUUGCCAGCAAACCAACUUGACCCUCUGCUUGAAGAGUAGCAGCCAGGGAUGGUGGGGGGCUUGGCUGCGUGGCUGGGGGCUGCAGGGUGGAUGCGGGCCCCUGCCCCGGCACCAUAGCUCCUGGAAGUGAGCCUAGCUCUGAUGUCCACCCAGGGCCGUCUCUGACCCCGCUCCCAUUUCUGAGCCCUGCGAGUGCCAGGACCGGGUAGGCCCCGAGUCUCCCAGGGCCAGGGGAUCCAACAGUCCCCACACUCAGGCAGCUGAAAGCGGACCCGGAAUGGAGGUUUCAGAGGGGGGUCGGCAAGCGUGGCUUAAAGCAAAGAGCACAGAGGAGGGAUUUGAGGCACUGCGACAGAUGGAGGCAUUUUGGGAUCACAUUUCAAUGCACGGGCCAGUGGACACCUUCACCUGCGUGUUGUCAGACCUGGGUUUACCUCCGUUGGCUUUAUCAGGGCUGAUGGAGUGAGGGCAGUGGGGUGGAUAAUCGAGAAAUCUGAGAUAACCCACAAAACACUUCUCCUUGACUCGGGAAUGCAGUGAUGCCAGAAGGCUGACCAUCCUUGCUGUGUUUCUGAAGGCCAGUUAGGAAUGCAAGGAAGUACUCCCCCCACACCGGCCCCUGAGCUGCCUCUGCAGGGGUCAGGUGGUGGCUCGGGUAAUGGGAAUAUGAGAAUCCCGGCAUAGCUGUCUGGAAUGGAGCACAGAACGGUCCUCGCCAGGGUAGAGGGUGGGCAUAAUGAGGACUGAGAAGACAGGCUGCAGCUCCCCAGGGGCAGAAUAUGUUGUUUUCAAGCAGUGGGUAAGGCUAGGGGGAGUCCUGAGCCCUUCAUGGUGGAGAGGCAGAGAACUUCCUUUAUUGAGCCUUGACCCUACACCCACAACUGAACCUUGAUCCUGGGCAGACUGAACCUUGAUCCCAGUCCUAGACUGAACCCUGAUCCCAGCCCCACACUUAGCCCAGCAUUGUCACGCACAUGCCAGCUGAGUAACAGGUGCUGGGGUGGGAGGGGUGAGGGGCCCUAUUUGUCCAUCCUCACUGCCAGCUCUCCUGCCUGUGGGCAGGACUCCUGUGCCAGGCCCCUCACUAGUCCCUGGAACGGCCGAGAUGAGUCAGACAUGGUCCCUGCCCACAGGGCCGGUGGGGGAGGCGACAAGCAAACAGGCACUGAGUGAUCAGAGCUGAGGUGGGGGAGGCCCAGAGGGCUGAGGGCCCAGGAUCUGUACUAAGAGCUUCCUCUGAAGGCAGGUGGGAGGGGGAGGUGCUGGAGGCGGGCCAGUGGGGAGGCUGACACUGGUCUGCAAGAGGUGAAGAGGAUGGUGCCAGCGGGGGGCGGCGGGGGUGCUAGGGUGAGCGAUUCUCCCCCCCCCACCUCCCGUAAGAACUGGCUGUGACUCCUCCAGGCCGUCCUCAGCUCUGGAGGAACCAAGGGACUCAUGUGUGGGGAGGGUUGAUGGGGUGCCCGGCACUGGGCUGAUAACGUUACCUUACAAGGAAAGCAUGUUUAUCCAUUGCAUGAGGAGGAAACGAGGUGUGCAGGGACUGGCCUAAUGCUACACGGCUGGCCGGGUGGGGCGGGUUCCCAGUGCUCGCCUGCCUGCGGGCCUGCACACUGCUGUUCUGUGGUCUGCAGGGGAAUGAACUUACCCUGGGGGGCAGGAGUCAGCUUCUGACUCCUCCACUCCCACCUGGGCGAAUACAGCCCCAGCACUGGUGAGGGCUGGGGGUUCGGUGCUUGAGCCCGGGCCAGUCAGACUGGCGUGUGGGGCUUCCUGAUGCGGCUGGAGCAGGAGCAGGGAGUGAGGGAAGAGAGGAGGGUCCUGUCUGGGUAGGGGACUAGCCCCAGGAACGAGGGUCUUCUGCUUUCUUCACCCUCCCACUCCUCCCCUCUGCUAAUCCCUCCCUCUAGAUUCCUCUUCCGGCCCAUUUCCCUUCUUCUUCUUUCCUUUCUGAAAAACCAGGCCUAGAGAAACCACCCAGCCAGCUGCCCACUGCUCCCAUGUGGGGCAGGGACCUGCUCAAGACCGUGGGGCUCUGCCUCUCUUAGGUCUUUAAAGUAGAGUCUGAAAUCACAUUAUCAUGAACGUAAACACAAGGAUUGCAUUUGCAUACUUCUCCUGGCCAUGCGCACACACCAGUUCAUGCUGCACAGGUAGAUGCACCCAGGAAGCCACCCCUCUGUCCCAGGCACCAUGCUGCCCCAGACGUGUUCAUCUCUCCUGCCUGGAUUCUGGGUGCGGUAAAUCACUGCCUCAUUUAAUUCUCUCAACAGCCUGGGAGGUUAUUUAUACAGGUGAGGGAACCAGGCAAGGUCAGGAACUAGGCCCCAGUCACACCACCAAGUGCAAAGGUGAAGCUUGCCUGACAAGCUCAGAUCCUAGGCCAAGCCACCCCUCCAGAUUACCCCCACCUCGCCUCUGGGCAGUUCCCCCUCCCUCUUUCUCUCCCCAAACCUCCCCCCAAACCCCUCCGCAUCCACUGCCCCUUCGCUCCUUGCUGCAUCCUCCAGCCAGAUCCAAGGACUCUUUCCCAGGGCUCCCCACACGUUCCCACCUCCAGGCCCUUGUCCAAGCUGUUCCAGGCCCCUGAAUUCCCCUCCCCAACUCCAUCUGCUCCGGCCCCCUUCGUCUUACUAGGCUGGGCCCAAAUGAUGCCACUUCUUUCAUGGAGACACCCUGUCUGCUCUCACUCUGAUCAGAAGUCACCCCCCACCCCUGCCCAGCACCAUCCUCCAGCUCUUUCCUACCCACCCCCCCCCCCCCCCAUCUUAGGCUCUUGGCUUUCCUGUGUCUGACCUUGCAUCUGUGUGAAAGGCAGGGCCCUGGCUUCCCAGGCCAGUUACCCCCAGAGCCUGGCGCACAGAAGCUGCACAGGAGGUAGCGGGGUCCUUGUCUGGGGAGGGGCUGCACCUCUACAAACUCAUCCCUUUCCUCGGCAGUUCUGGCUCAGACGGCCUCUCACAGCAGUGGCCCCAGCCCCCUGAGGAGACCAGCCCCGUGGCCCGCCAGAUGCUCACUGUAGCCCUGGCUGGUGAGGACGGGGGGCAGGCUUCUGGCCCCAGCAGACCUCCCUGUGCCCAAGUCCUGGAGGGCAAGAACAAGGCAAACCCACCUUUGGGGUUCACAGGAAAGUCUUGGGGCCACCAGGUACAGGUACCAGGGUAGUCCAGUGCUGGUGGAUGGCUGCAUGGGCACUCUGCCUGGCUGUACUCACUGGCUCUGCUGAUGACUGGCUGUGUGACUUAGAACAAGUCAUGUAGUCUUCCCGUGCCUCAGUUUCCUCAUCUGUUAAAUGAGGUGAUGACAAACCUACCUAGCGUUGCUCUAAGGAUUAAGCGAGUCAAUACAGUGUAAAGCACAUAGCACAGCCCUAACACAGACACACUACGUGUGCGUCCUGGCAGUUGACUGUCACCAUCACUAUGGGAGGGAGCCUGGAGGCUGCGUAGGGCCCAGCAUUCAGGGAGAGUUUCCAGUAGGUGGUGACACAUGAGCACCAACUUGAAAGAUGAGGCUCAGGGGCAGUGAAGGACAUACCCAGACGAGGGAACCACACAGAUGAAGACCCAGAGGCAGUUUGGGGGACAUACGAGGGAUCUGGCUGUGUCUAGACUUAAGGUCGGAAUAGACCAGGAGGCGAUCCCAGCUGGUGGUACACAAAGGCUGUGUCCUGAGGGACCCUGGGUCCACACUGAGGGGUUUAGUCCUACUGCCUGUGAAGGGCCAUGAAAGGGGGUACUUUUUCCCCUUUCUUUCUUUUUUAAUAUUUGCUCAUGCAAAAACAUUGAAACAGUACAGAAGUGUGUCCUGUUAAGUAUGGAAGUUCCCUCUUUGCCCUUAAAUCUUAUUCUGUCAAGGUCUGGUGUACCUCCUUCCAGAACUUUUUCUGUGCCUUACAAAUUUAUUUAUUGUAUAUUACUUUUUUUUUAAAGAUUUUAUUUUUAAGUUAUCCCUGCACCCAAUGUGGGGCUCACACUCAAUGCCAAGAUCAAAAGUUGCACACUCCACCGACUGAGCCAGCCAGGUGCCUCCGUAUAUUACUUUUAAAAAAAUGGAAUAGUAUUAUGCACAUUAUUCCAUAACUUCCAUUUUUCACUUCCCAGUGUGUUGUGGGCAUCUGUCAGUGUCCCAGCAUACGGGUGUGUGGUAUUUUUAAUGGUUGCCUAAUAUUCCCUUGUUUGGACAUAGUGUAAUUUAUGUAACUAUUCCUGGGUUGAUGGAUCUUUAGGUUGUCUUCAGUUUUUCACUCUUGCAAAUAAUGCUUCAGUGACCAUCCUUGCGUAUCUGUCUUGCUGACAUGUGUAAGCAUUUGUGUGGGAUUGAUUUCUAGGCAUGGAAUUGCCCGGGUGAAGGGUAUGUUUAUUAAAUUUUGCUGGGUAGUGCCACAGUGCUCUUCCAAAGGGCCAGGCCAGGUUAUGCUCCCGCUCUCAGUAUCUGUGGGUGGCCAUUUCCCCAUGCCGUCCUCUGCACUGAACAUUAUCAAGCUUUUUAAUUUUUGCUAAUCCAGGAAAUCGUCUUGCUGUGGUUUCAGCACUCACUUGCCUUCUCCCCAGCGAGGCUGAGCAUCUUUUCAUGCAGUUAUGGACCAUUGUGUUUCCUCCUCUGUGAAUUGACUGUUCAUAUCCUUUGCUCAUUUUUCUUUCUUUUUUUCCUUUUCCUUUUUCUUAUUGAUAUAAAGGAGCUUUUAGAUUAUUAGGAAUUUUAAAACUUCUUGUCUGUUGUGCGUGUUGAAAAUAUUUUCCCUAGUCUGCUGUUUGUCUUUUUAACUUUGUUUAUGGUCUCUUUGGCCAUAUAGAAGCUUUAGAUCUUUAUUUAGUCAGAUCUGUCAGACUUUUCCUCAGGGCUUGUGAGUUUCACAUCCUGCUUGGCCAGCCUUCCUGGAAGGGUUUUAAGUGGAGGUCAGAUGGGUGACUGGGUAAGGUCACUCGGAUUGCCACUGUGAGGAGCACGGGUGGAGGGGGGACAGCAAGAGGAUAGGAAGCAGCUGAGACCUUUGUGCUGGGGUGGGGGUAGGGGAAAACGGGAAGAAGGUGAGUUUGGGAAAUAUUCUGGGAUCGACUGCCCAUGAUGAUAGGAUGCGAGGAUGAGAGAGGGAGAGAAAAAGGACUUUGGGGUGAUGCCCGGGUGUAUGGCUAAAUCGGGGACAGGAUUAGGGAGGGAAAUGCCUGCAGGUGCACACGAGUACUCACCUUGGCAGGAGCACGGCACAUAUGAAUACACAUACGCACACGCAUGUACGUGCUUCAAGUUCUGGAGAUUGGUGUCUAGACUGUGGCUCCAUGGAGGGGGUAUAGUGUGGGCUCUACUCUGUGGAUUAUCUGUUCUCUGCCAGGUACUGUAGGCAGCAUCACACACGCGCACUCUAAUCUGAACUACCAUAUGAAGUAUAUUUUACAGAUGAAGAACCAGACCCAGAGAGGUUAAGUAACUUGCUCAAGGCCACAGAGCUAGUAAGUAACAGAAAGGGGAUUUUUCUCAACAACUUAGAUCUGACCACCCACGCAGAAUACCCACCAACAUCAUUGAGGAGCCUUUCAUUCAUUUCUAACCUGACCAACCUAGUUUUAUCGGGACUCUUAGGAUGAGUGCUGGAACCAGACCGCAUGGGUGGGAAAUGCAGCCCCAUUCCUUACAAGCCAAGUUACUUUGCCUCUCCGUGCCUCGGCUUCCCCAUUCUGAAAAUGUAGAUGAUCACAGUACUCACCUUGUGGGGUGUUGGUGGAGAUUAAAUGUGUUAGCACCUAUGAAGUGCUGAGCCCCCUCGGGGCUCAUUGGAUGCUCUCCACAAUGACUCCGAUGAUGAUGAUAGCAAGGUGUUCACCUCACCUGCAUCUGUCCCUCUUUUCAAUCUUCUUCCUCCUCCAUUUUCCCUCCACCUGUCACCUCUCUCCUAUGCCAGCUCUUCCCCGUGGGAACUUCUUUCAACAUUUGCCUUUGAACCUCUGUCCUCUGUUUUCAGCCCCCGAGCCCUCCACAGACAGUGAAUUAAAGUCCAGUCAUUCAGCAAAAACCAUUCAGAGGAGAACGAUUCAUUCUGCACUCAGGGAAUCCUCCCCCAAGCAGUUCUAGUCAGGCAUUUUCUGCAAGCCCAUGCAUUCAUCCCAACAUUAUCCGGUCUCUGAGAACCAGACCAUAACAUCCAGAUCUAAAACUCCUUCCUCCCUGAGUAUAGACGCUCAGGUGCACUUUCGAGGUGGGGGGUCUGAGCUGACCCCAGUCCAGCCAACUCUCCACUCUAGCCAUGAGCCAUCACUGGAUCCCUGACCCCAGGAUGAGUCAUUCUCAGAAUCGUUGGCCAGAAAACUUGCCCAUAGGAAACAAAAGCAGAGAGCACAGCAAAUUUUGAGCACAUUUUCUUCCCACGAGCAUAUCUAAGCACAUCCUGUGGCUGUGAGGGGUGGGUGCAAGGUGUUCAAACCAGGGUAAAACCUCAGGUCUGCACCCAAUUAAAAAUUUAUCACUGAAAUCACCAAACUCACCAUUAAGGAUUUCUCAUCAUUGAAAUAAGCUCCCAGGUAAAGAAAUCCUUGUGGUUAAGAAUGGAGCAGUUAUUGCCUGUUUCUUGUAGGAUUUUGUUUUCAUUUGCAUAGUAUCAGUCACAUCUGUUUAUUUUUGACCCAACGGAUGGCAGAACUCACUCCAGUCCUUCCCAGGGGACUGUUACACCUGACUACAGACCCGCCCCCCCACCCCCACCCCAAGGCCCUGGCAGAAGAUUCUUUAUGACUGCUUUGGGGAAGCCUGGUCACCAUGUCCCCAGGGUCCCACCAAGCCUGUCCCCAGGUUCCACCAAGCCUGGCUUUGUCCCAAGGGCUUCUUCAACACCUUCCCCCAUCUCCAACCCAAGCCCCCUUCCCCAGCAUACCAUAGUACCUCUAUAGGGUGCUGUGCCGUGCUGUGAUUUCCAACUAGCCUGGCCAAAGUUCAAAGCCAGAUGAGCCUUUGGAUGCACACUGACACCAGCAUCGGUGCUCACACUUAAGAACCUUCUCAAGUUUGCCCUUAUGAUAGAAGGGUCUUUCUAAUGGCGUCAAGGAAGCCAUGUUGUACCCUUUUUGUUUUUCAGGAGGGGUGGAGGGAAGGGAGUAUAUUCUACUACAGCCAGAUCUUACUUCUUGGAAAAAUUGAGGAAGUUACAGGGGCAUUUGUGGACAUUAGGGGAUUUCCCCUCAGGUCGCUUGACAGAGCCUGUUAUCUUGAGGGACUGUCUCUUCUCCCUAUUCCCUGCAUGGUCCCACAGAAGCACACAACAUUUCAGGUGAUAAUUGCCAAAGUAAAGUGCCGAUAAGUUCAAAAUAUAAGUGUAUAAUUAAGCUUGAAGCUUGCUGUCAUUCGUGGUUCCAGGGCCACGAGUCAGAGUCCCCCACCCCCAGUUGUCAAUCCAGGGCAGACUCAUAGGGGGCCCCAGGGCCUUUCUAGAGCUGAUCCUAGACCAGAGUCAGGGGCAGAGCUCUGAGGAUGCCCCAGCCUUUGUUCUAAAGUGCGUUUCAAGCCCUUGAAUGUAAGCCAAGGCCCCACUGUCAUGGAGAUGCUACCGCUUGCCUCUGCUCACACGUCCCUUCUCCAGAUGGGAAUUGCCCUGAUGGUGGAUCCUGCUAUAGGCCCUGAAACUUCCCCCUUUUCCUUGUGGAUAGAGAACCCUUCAAACUGGGGGUUGACAUAUUUCUGCCCCCCACUGAAAUCCUAGUUAUUUAGGGGCUCCCAAAUGGAGCUUAGUUCUCUCACUCAGAAAGUCAUCAAGCAUCCCCUCAAACCAAAUACAGGUCAUGUGCCCCAAGUGGCCAGGGGUGAUAUGGUAGGAAAGACAAGAUUGUGCUAAACCAACAGGUUUUUUAGGAACUCUUGGUGAUUUAGUGCAACAAAGCCUCCCUUAUUCUUUCUUCCUUUAUUUACAGUAUAUCCUUUGUUUCCAUUAUACAUCCAGUGUGGGAAGUGGGGAGGGUGGCAGACUCUGGUCCAUAGUCAUGUAUGGGCCCAGGCUGAUAGAAGCUCCACCAUCUUGUAGCUGUCCUACCUGGAACACAUGGUCUCUUCUAGUCACUGUGGCAAAGAAGAGAAAGUGGUAGAGUCUUAAAUGCUUUGGCCCAGCAAUGACACACACCACUUUUGUUCCUAGCCCACCGACCAAAACUUCUCAUAUAGCCUCAACUCACUGCAAGGGGGCGCUGAGAAAGUGUAGGGGACACUAUGCUGGGAUGGAGGAAAUGCACCCAGACGUUAGUGAGCAGUAAAAUCCUCUGUACAAGGGAUAUUGUGGGACCACUAAGAGCAAGGGUUUCAGAAGACCCAAGGCCAUGACUUUGGCUCAUUCUUUCCACUUGGGGUGGCCGAGGCCAGGGAAACCCAGAGUGUCUGGCAGGGCCUGAUGAGAAAAGCUUUGGGAUACUGAGCAACCAGAACUCUCAUAUGUUGCUGGUGAGACUGCAAUAUGGGGCACAGCCACUUCAGAAAACAGUUUGGCAAAAAAAAAAAAAAAAAAGAAAGAAAGAGAGAAAGAAAGAGAAAAGAGAAGACAAACCGUUUGGCAGUUUCCUAUAAAGUUAAAAAUAUGUUUAUCAUAUAACCCAGCAAUCCUAAUGCUAGGGAUUUACCCAAGAGAAGUAACAACUUAUGUUCACAUAAAAACCUGUAUGUGAAUAUUUAUAGUGGCUUUAUUCAUAGUCACCAAAAGCUGGAAACAGCCCAAAUGUCCUUCAGCUAGUGAAUGGGUAAACAAUUGAAUACUAUUCAGCAAUAAAAAAGAAUGAAAUUUGGAACAACAGAGAAACAACAAAGGUAAAUCUCCAAUGCAUUAUAUGCUAAAUGAAUAAAGCCAGGCUCCAAAGGAUACAUACAGAUAAAGCCAUUUGUAUGCCAUUCUGGAAAAGGCAAAACUAUAAAGACAGAAAAUAGAUCAGUGGUUGUUAGGGGCUGGGGUUGGGGAGGAGUUGGCUACAAAAGGACAGCACGUGGAGACUUUUCGGGUGGUAGAAUUGUUCUAGACCUUGAAUGUGGUAGUGGUAACAUGGCUGCAUGCAGCUGUCAGAACUCACAGAACUGCACUGGAAAGUGUAGAUUUUACUCUAGGUAAAUUGUAGCUCAAUUAACCUGCCUGGAAAAAAAAUGCUCGCUGUGAGGUUGUUGAGACAGGGAAACUGGAGUGACAUCAGUCAGAGUAGUGUGACUCGGGUUAGGAGGGCCGCCCUCAUACAGAGGUCAGGGAGGGCUUUCUGAGGAGGUGUCUGGAACUGAACCUGGACACUUGGAUGAGGAGAAGGAGCCAGGCCUGCGAGGAUCAGGAGGAGGUGGGGGCCAGGCAGAGAGAGGCUGGUGCUGUGCCAGGGAGGAGGCGAGGGCAGGAGCUUCCAUUCUCUCUGGGCAUGAUGGCACCACUGGGGGGCAUAUAUAGAGGGUGACCGAAACUCUGAUGUGGGUCAGGCAGCCCAGGGAGCAGGGCAGGGUGAGGGGGGCAGGCAGGAAACAGCAGCUUGUGACCACGUGCAGGAGGAGGGCCAUGUGAUGGAGGGGUGCCCUGACAAGGAGGAGAGGGGUCAGGGAGCCUCCUGCGGGGAGGAGUGGUCAGCCAGCCAGAGACUUGCAGGCUGGGACAGGGGACUGGCACGGAGGGCCCGGGGGUAGGGGGCCUUUGGGACCUUGCUAAGGGUGCUGUGGGUGCUGGUGAGGCAGAGGCCAGACAUCCUGGGUUGACUAGCAGAAGCCCAUCAUAGUUGCACUAACCUUCCUGCUCUCCCAUUGCAGUGCAUGCUGGGACCGCGACCAAUAGGCUGCUGCUCCCCGGGCCCCCAGAGGCUGAUCUGUUUGCCUCCCG
rnacentral:lncRNA from 1 species